UAACUCACCCCUCUGUGGAACCGACUAGCGUACCUUAUACAGUAAGCAUGCCUUAAAAACUUUUUUAUGUGUGCACCAAGCAAGUACUAGGAGUUUAGGACUAGAUUUGUGCUAUCUGCACCUCAGGUUUAUGCCUGUUCCUCUUGUGUACAAAAACUACUCGCUCAGCAUAUUCUGACCUAGUUGUUCUAGGGCCACCUGUUGUAUCUAAAUCAUGUGUUAACAUCAUAGACCAUGUGAGUGGCUGGUGGAAGUACUGAGUACGAACUUAUUCCGCUGUUAAACAAGCACAACUGAGUGGCGAUAAUGACGGGCAUAUCUAGAGGCAUUGAACAUUCUCUACCAGGCUGCACCGCCCGGGGUAGCUAGUGGUCCAGUGGCUCUGUAUCUAUCAGUUCAUACAUAAAAGUGCAAACGUAUACUGACCGACUGUAUUUAUUCCCCGUCCUUGGUCUUAUUCCAAGCUGGGAAGAAGAGAUUGACACGGAUCAAUGAUCUUAGUUGUUGAGCUAGAGGCAAAAGGCAGCAGAUCCCUGAAAUCUCUGCUUUACACCAUGAGGGCAACCGCUCCCGGCUCUGUGAUUCUGUGUUAUGUUAAUCUUGCUGGAAAGCAUUCCUUAGUGUUGUUAGAUAUGCUUCUGUCGCACGCACACCGGAAAAAGCUACGCGCUUCGGUGUCUGUAUUUUAUAGGUUUCAACAAAACGGUAUUCGCUUCUUCGGUAGAAGUGCACUGAGCAUCCCAAUGCGUGUGUUUAGCCAGAAACCAAUAAUGCCAUUUCAGGUGGCAUGAUUGGCACUUUAACCGCAGUGAAAACAACUAGAUUGCGGGCGGAUUCUUCCACUUUCGCUUUUUUUCUUUUCUUUCAAGAGCGCAGACCACGGAUCGGAAGGAAAGGAAGUGUCCUUUGUUUAAUCUGAUGCGGUCGCCAUAAGUAAGGUAAGUUCUUACCAUCUAGGUAACUUUCUAUAUGCUCUGGUUCCUCUUCAGCACGGGGCAAGAGGCUGAAGGAAUAAGUUGGAAGAAAGUCGAUUAAAUUUCAGGAUGUGCUACUGGACCAGCACAGGUAUAUGCAUACAAAAAUGAAAAUGGUAUUGAAAAUAUGAUUCAUGGGCAGAUCUGCACUUUGGUUUUCUGAGAACUAAAACUGCGGCUGUUAACAAGAUAGAGUUGUGGAAAGCAAACUGAAAAAGAAAGUGAACUGCAAGUAGGUAGGGUCCUUUUUGUUUCAAGAACAUUCCACUUUUUGUUUGAAAACCUCCAAGAUAGAGCGAGUUGUUCAUUACCUAGAAAAACAGAGUGAGUUGCAAACCUACAAUCUGUCACUUUAUUCUAUAAUAUUUUGCUGGCAGAAACUUUGUCUAUGGGGUAUCUGCUUUAACCUCGCCUUGUUGUCCAACUUCCGAUAGAUACAUAUGGGUGACUUUCUCGCGCAUUCCGUGACAUAAGAUGUUCGUUACUGAUUAUGUCACACCAGUGACGAAAUCUAAUUGGUGAACAGUCCUCCUAUUUGGAGAACCGUUGGUAGUUACACAAUACUCUGUAUGGUUUUUGCAGUAGAGUUGUAUUUAGCAAAUAUGCUGAUUCGGUGCAAGAUUUCGCCGAGCUCUGUUCCGAGCAGUAGAUGAUGAUCUGCCAAGAAGCAAUGAACAUCUUUCCUGCUGCUCAGUGAUUCACAAUGUCUGUGAGGAAAGUGAAAGGGGAAAACACCACACAGUGAAAACAGAGAUAAUUGAGAUUUGGCAAUGCUUUCUUUCACUUGAUUAUAUACUUAUGAUACAAGGUGAAAGCAGCGGCAGCUAAAUUACAAGUAAGAAACUACACAAACAGACUAGUAAAGGUAGAACCAUCUGCCAGCAAAAGCUUCCUGGAGCUACUGGACCUUCUCCCUGCCGUAGAGACCAUGGAGGCUCUCUCUCAAAAUCCACAGCCUUCGGUUCUUAGACACACUCUAUGCUCUAGGUGCCUCUCCGUUUGGGCAGAUAGGAAGACGACCGACCAAAACCCAAACAUACAAGGACAGGAAAAAAAGACAGAGCUACUGAAUGAAACAGAGUGAAAAGAGAGGGAGGAAUUGACGGGCCGAUGAACUGCCCCUGACGACUAGCUAAUCCUAACGACUAGCUAGUACCUGACGAGGGUGGUAAGCCAUGGCGGCGUUGCCCCUGUGAUCAGCCGCAGCUUCGUGGUGGCGCGGCGUGUAGGCGCCGUUGCCGGCGUCGUCGCCGACCUUGUUGUGCCACGCGGGAUGCCUCGGCGGCGUCUCGCCGCCAGCCUGGUCUUGCAAGUAGGCUGCGUGGCUGCCGGCGUGGGCGUGGUCGGCUUUCGGCGUGCUGUCGUGGUAGGCCUUGUGCCCAGCCUCGUGGACGUCGAUGAUGGGCGGCUGCCGGUACUCCGGCGCCGGCUCCGACAAGUAGCCGUGGCCGUGGUUCCCUCUGCUGCGGCCGUAGUCGUCCCGCCUGCCGCCGCCGAAGCACGAGCCGAACUCGAAGCACAUUCUAUAGGUGGCUCGUGCGUGCUGGGCCUGGGGCUACUGGUUGUGGCAAGCAGCACUAUCCUCGAACUAGCGUGGGUAUCGGUGCAGUGGUGGUGUUGAUGGCCCUGAAACUGACAUUGUUGGUGUGGUGGGUGAUAUAUAUCCGGGUGGUGUUGAUGGCCCUGAAACUAGAGCUCUUGCUGAACGCGACGUGUGCGUUCGAAGCCAAGCGAAGCUCCGUAGGAAGGCUGGGUCUAGGUCCCGAUCGACCAGGCUCGUCCAACUCGCUCUCCGGUCUCCAGGGCCGGUCAACCGUGCGAAUCAUGGAUGGAGGGAGGGCGGUGCAGCGGGACGGCAGAAUAUCUUUUUUGGGGCCGGCUGUGGAUGAUAGGGUCUCCUCAGGAUGUUGGACUGGCCGGUCGUCGUACCGUGUUUCAGUUUCAAGCUUUCAACACGGCGCACCUGGGGCGGGCAAUAGCCACAUUGGACUCUUUGUUCACUGGUUUUCGCUGAAUCUGCCGCGCGCUGGAUUCUUUUACCCGUUCAAAAUUGACAAUUUUUGCCUGAAAAUACAAUUAAACAUUUCCUGUAAUCUCUUGUUAGCGGUGGCGGGGCCAGGAAAAUUGAAUGAGGGCUGAAUGUUGUUAAGCUUUGUUAGGACGGGCAAGUCCAUUGGCAAUUUAGAAGGGUUAGGCACACUUUACUGUGUCAUUGAUGUUGUCGGAUUUCCAUAAUUCUUCUACUUCAUCUGUUUUAAAAUAUAAGGUGUAUUGUUUUUUUGAGAAGUCAAUCUUCUUUAAGCUUGACUAAUUUAUUAGAGAAAUAUUUCAAUAUCUAUAAUACCAAAUCAGUAUCAAUAGAUUCAUCAUGAAAUGAAUUUCUAUAUUUCAUUUAUUCAGUAUUGUGGAUGCCGAUUGAUUUUAAAAAUUGUUGACUCGGUCAAAAUUAUGAACCAAAUCCAAAAUUGAAUACCUCGGUUGAAUAGGGGAGUUCCAAAUUAGGGACUAUAGUGGAUUUAAAGGAUUGAGCGACAGAGCUCCUUGAGGAAAAAACAAUGUUGACAUGAUCAAAAUCGGGUGAUCCGAUUUCAAAUUGGAGAGCUCAAUUGGUUGUGAUAGCUCUAAAAUUAAGGACCAAAGUGUAUUUAUAAAUGGACAGUGAUAUCUUUCUUAUGUUCUCAAUUUAAGCGACAUAUCCGAACACACCCUAGCCUAACUAAUCACGUGCAUGCAGCCCCAUUAGUAAGCAAAAAGCGAGAGAAGAGCAUGCAUGGCCUUGCCAUAUGCAUGCAAAGUAAUAUAAAAAUGUGACGAUGUCGUUAAAAGAUUCUCUUUUAUUUUGAAACUUUAAAAUGUUCUAUAGCUCAAACCGACGGUCGGAUUGAAAAAUUACUUUGACAUAAAACAAAAUCGCUACGAAGAGACCUUCGAAACUAGAUCCCAUAUUGUUAUAUUUCGAUAACUUUUUUUUUGGCCAAAAACUACCAGACGUAGUACAACUAAGUUACCACGCAUGCAACACUAGUAGAAAAAGGGUCAAAUGUCAAGCACAUUAGUGCCGGUUUGAUUUUGAGCCGAUACUAAUGUGUGCAUUAGUGCCGGUUUCAACGGCUACCCGGCCGCUCUCAUUAGUACCGGUUCAUGGCGAACCUUUAGCACCGGUUCGUGCCACGGACCGGUACUAAAGUGAGUGGUGGCAGGAUGUUGUCAGUCCGGGGCCCCUCCAGCACCUUUAGUACCGGUUCGUGGCACGAACCAGUGCUAAAGGUCGUCCUACAUAAACCCUUCGUUCACCCGAGCUCGCUCUGUUCUUUCCCUUUCCCCUCUCCUCUCUGUUCUUCCCCUCUUCCUCUCGAGGUCAUCACACAUUUUGCCCAAAAUUUGUCAAGAUUUGAAGGCCCCAAUUCAUUCAAAUGAUCACAAAAGUUAGCAGCUUUGUCCUUUCAUCUCUCAUUGCUAGAUUAGCUCUUGCAAUGCUUUGUAUAGUGAUUAAUUUAUGAGUUUAGUAAUUUGAGAGGACAUAUAUGCGCUAGUAUUUGAUUUAUAUACAAUUUGAGGUCAAAAAUAACACUUAGUUUCCAUAUGUAGGUGUGGUUUACUUAGUGCCUUCUAAAUGUCCGUCGUAACCACCGUCGAUCGCCCGCACCGUCCCGUCGCCGGCACCACCUUGUGGUGAGCCUCUUGUUCAUGAAUGUUUUACAUUAUCAGCUUGAUGUUUGUGUGAUUUGGAUAUAUAGUUACUCGUAUAAUUAUCUUACCCGUACGUUGUUUGUUAUACAUAGUGCCAUGGUUUUGAUAUCCGUCCCCGUCGGCCCUCGUCCUUGUUAUGAUUCAGAUGUGGUAUAUUCUUUUUUAAAACUAGUUGUUGCAUUUCGUGUUUAUGACAAAUUAUGCCCGUCAAGUUGACAUAGAUAUUUUUAUCUAGGAGGUUUGUGAACCGGAAAUUCCAACCGACCCUAUUGUCGAGAGGUUAAAUUUAGUUGAAAGAGCAAACGAGUAUUUGAAAGAAAAAUUGAAAAAAAUUGAGGGGAGAAGAUGGAAUUGGAGUUGCAUGUUGCCGAUGUCGUCGAUGAUCACAAGAUCAAGAUGGAGAAAAUGGGCUUGAAGAUUAGAAAGAUUAGAAAAUAUGCCAUUGAUAGUGAGGCUUGGUAUCAUUAUGCUGUUGGAUCAAUUGUUACCUUAGUUGCAAUCUUGAUCGCAUUUGUUGUUGCAUUUAAAUGCUUUAGUUAGAGAGUUAUUUGUUUGUUGCAUUUAAGUGUUGUAUGAACUUUAUGUAUGAACUUGUAUUAAUUUGGUCUUUUCGGUGUUGUGUAAUGAAGAUGAGCCGACAAUGGAUGUACGAUGACCGAUGCUCUCCCGAGUUCAUUAAUGGCGUGCAAACUUUUUUGCUUGCGGCUGAGGCAAACAAGCGGGCGGAUGGUUUUAUGCCUUGUCCAUGUGUUGUCUGUAAGAAUGAUCACAAUUACUCUACGUCAAGAACCAUUCACGUCCACCUGUUUAAGUCCGGUUUCAUGCCCCACUAUAAUGUCUGGACCAAGCACGGAGAAAGAGGGGUUAUGAUGGAAGACAAUGAAGAAGAAGAGGAUGACGACAGCUAUCCUGGCCAUGGGUUUCCUGAAUACGAUGAUACAACAAAUGGGGAAGAAGCUGAGCCGGCAAUGCGGGAAGAAGCUGAAGAAGAGGCAUCAGAUGAGCCCGCUGAUGAUCUAGGUCGGGCCAUUGCCGAUGCAAAGAGAAACUGGGCAAGUGAUUUGGAGAAGAAGUUGCAGCGCAUGUUAGAGGAUCACAAGAAAUUGUUGUACCCGAAUUGUGAAGCUGACAAGAAAAAGUUGGGCACCACACUGGAAUUGCUGCAAUGGAAGGCAGAGAAUGGUGUAUCUGACAAGGGAUUUGGAAAGUUGCUGGUAAUGAUAAAGAAUAUGCUUUCAAAGGAUAACGAAUUGCCUGAGAGUACGUACGAAGCAAAGAAGGCUGUCUGCCCUCUAGGGUUAGAGGUGCAGAAGAUACAUGCAUGCCCUAAUGACUGCAUUCUCUACCGCGGUGAGUACGAGGAUUUGAACGCUUGCCCGGUAUGCGGUGCAUUGCGCUAUAAGAUCAUCCGCGAUGACCCUGGUGAUGUCGAGGGCGAGCGCCCUAGGAAGAAGAUUCCUGCCAAGGUGAUGUGGUAUGCUCUCAUAAUACCACGGUUGAAACGUUUGUUCCAAAACAAAGAGCAUGCCAAGGCGAUGCGAUGGCACAGAGAAGGCCGUAAGAAAGACAAAAAGUUGAGAGUACCCGUUGACGGGUCGCAGUGGAGAAAAAUCGAGAGAAAGUACGGGAAGGAGUUUGCAGAUGACGCAAGGAACGUAUGGUUUGGUCUAAGCGCAGAUGGCAUUAAUCCUUUUGGGGAGCAGAGCAGCAACCAUAGCACCUGGCCUGUGACUCUAUGUUUGUAUAACCUUCCUCCUUGGUUGUGCAUGAAGCGGAAGUUCAUUAUGAUGCCAGCGCUCAUCCAAGGCCCUAAGCAACCCGACAACGACAUUGAUGUGUACCUAAGGCCAUUAGUUGAAGAACUCUUACAGCUGUGGAAUGGAACAGGUGUACGCGCGUGGGAUGAGCACAUGAGGAAAGAAUUUGACCUAAAGGCGUUGCUGUUCGUGACCAUCAAUGAUUGGCCUGCUCUCAGUAACCUUUCAGGACAGACAAACAAGGGAUACCGCGCAUGCAUGCACUAUUUGGAUGAUACCGACAGUAUAUAUUUGGACAAUUGUAGGAAGAAUGUGUACCUGGGACAUCGUCGAUUUCUUCCGAGCAGGCAUCCCGUAGGAAAGAAAGGCAAGCAUUUCAAAAGUGAGGCGGAUCACCAGCGCCAUCGUACUGGUUCUGAUGUACAUGAUAUGGUCAAGGAUUUGAAGGUAGUAUUUGGAAAUGGUCCUGGCGGACAACCUGUUCCGAAUGACGCUGACGGACGCGCACCCAUGUGGAAGAAAAAUCUAUAUUUGGGACCUGCCCUAUUGGAAAGACCUAGAGGUCCGCUCCGCAAUCGACGUGAUGCACGUGACAAAGAAUCUUUGCGUGACCCUGCCUGGCUUCUUGGGCGUGUAUGGGAAGACAAAAGAUACACCUGAGGCACGGGAGGACCAGCAACGUAUGCACAGAAAAGACGGCAUACAUCAGGGUCAUGCCAGCUACGCUCUUACCAAAGAAGAGAAGGAAAUCUUCUUUGAAUGCCUGCUCAGUAUUAACGUACCGUCUGGCUUCUCGUCGAAUAUAAAAGGAAUAAUAAACAUGGUAGAGAAAAAGUUCCAGAACCUAAAGUCUCAUGACUGCCACGUGAUUAUGACGCAACUGCUUCUGGUUGCAUUGAGGGGCUUCUACCGGAUAAUGUUCGAUUAGCCAUUGUGAAGCUAUGUGCAUUCCUCAAUGCAAUCUCUCAGAAGGUAAUCGAUCCAGAAAUCAUACCAAGGUUAGAGAAUGAUUUGAUGCAAUGUCUUGUCAAUUUCGAGUUGGUGUUCCCACCAUCCUUCUUCAACAUCAUGACGCACGUCCUAGUUCACCUAUGCGAAGAGAUUAACGUUUUGGGUCUUGUAUUUCUACACAAUAUGUUCCCCUUUGAGAGGUUCAUGGGAGUCUUAAAGAAAUAUGUUCACAACCGUGCUAGGCUAGAAGGAAGCAUCUCCAAGGGCCAUCACAAUGAGGAGGUCAUUGAGUUUUGUAUUGACUUUAUUCUUGACCUUAAGCCGAUUGGUGUUCCUGAAUCGUGGCAUAAGGGCAGACUGAAUGAAAAAGGCACGCUAGGAGGGAAUCAACUAAUAUGUAUGGAUGGACAUUCUCUCACUGAAGCACACUACACAGUUCUAGAGAAUUCCGCCUUGGUGGCUCCGUAUAUGGACGAACACAAGAAUUUUCUACGCUCCAAACACCCGGAGCGUCUGAUGACUGGAUUACACGUGAACAAACCAGGAGUUUCGCCGGCUGGUUGCAGACAUGUACCAUGCAUGACGCCUCUAUUAAAGAUGACCUGUACUCGUUGUCCCAUUUACCAUCUUCGAAUAUAAUGACUUUCUAAGGGUACGAGAUAAAUGGUAAUACAUUUUACACGAUCGCCCAAGAUAAGAAGAGCACCAACCAAAACAGUGGUGUCCGCUUUGAUGCAACAACCAAGACGGGAAAGGAAACAUAUUAUGGUUACAUAGAGGACAUAUGGGAACUUGACUAUGGACGUGGUUUGAAGGUCCCUUUGUUUUGGUGCAAAUGGGUCAAUAUGACACGAGGCGGGGUAACGGAAGACCCGCAGUACGGAAUGCCAACAGUGGAUCUCAACAAUCUCGCGUAUGCAGACGAACCAUUCGUCCUAGCCAAUGAUGUGGCACAGGUUUUCUAUGUGAAGGACAUGUCUACCAAGCCGAGAAAAAGAAAAGAUAAGGAAGCGAAUGCAUCAUACGAUGAGCCAAAGCGCCACAUAUUUGGAAAGAGAAACAUCGUGGGAGUGGAUGACAACACAGACAUGUCAGAAGAUUAUGAAAAGUUUGAUGAAAUUGCUCCAUUCACAGUGAAUAUUGACCCGAGCAUCCAGUUAAAUGAUGAAGAUUUUCCAUGGCUACGGCGCAAAAGGACACACGCGAAGAAAAAGUUUCACACCCAAAGAUCUGGGAUGUGAUCGGCUUCACUAUCAUCACUUUCUUCUGUGUUUCGCACCCAGGAGGGAAUCUCUGUAAUAGUUAGGGUAGUUAUGUGUUUUGGCAUUUGAAACGCGAAGAAAUUUUAUGUGCAAACAAAUUCUUUCAUGCAUUUACUGAUUUUUUCAGCUAAAUGACCUUGAAAUUGAAAAGCAUUUCAAAUGAACUCAGAAAAGGUUAAGUUAUUCACAAACUAGUGAUUCACACAAAUUUCAAAUAAUUCAAAAUUUAAACUAUUCAAAUUUGAAAACUAAAAAAAUAAGAAAAUAAAAAAGCCCACCUACUGGACUAGAGCGGCCUGCAUACGACUAGAAACCCAACCUGUAGUUGGGCCAGGAUGCAGGCCCGCAAGCCCAGUAGACCCACAAGCAGAGGAGGAAAGGUAGGCCCAGAAGGCCUGCUUUUGAGAGGAGCUCAAUGCAGUGCCCGCGCCGGGGCUUAUAAACUGGUCUUGGCGCUCCUCAACUAGCGAGGUGGGACUAAACUUCUGCGCCCCUCGCCUGGCAGCGCACACCCUUUAGUACCGGGUCGUGGCUCCAACCGGUACUAAGGGGGGGGGGUGUCUUUAAUACCGGUUUGGAGCCACCAUCCGGUACUAAAGGGGGGCGCUUCCCGCCGCUUGGCCUGGCCAAAACAGACCUUUAGUACCGGUUGGUGGCUCCAACCGGUACUAAAGGGGUGUUCUAUAAGAAAUCACUUCAAAAAAAUUCAGUUUCUCAUCUCUUCCUCUGCUUCUUUCUCCUCUGNNNNNNNNNNNNNNNNNNNNNNNNNNNNNNNNNNNNNNNNNNNNNNNNNNNNNNNNNNNNNNNNNNNNNNNNNNNNNNNNNNNNNNNNNNNNNNNNNNNNNNNNNNNNNNNNNNNNNNNNNNNNNNNNNNNNNNNNNNNNNNNNNNNNNNNNNNNNNNNNNNNNNNNNNNNNNNNNNNNNNNNNNNNNNNNNNNNNNNNNNNNNNNNNNNNNNNNNNNNNNNNNNNNNNNNNNNNNNNNNNNNNNNNNNNNNNNNNNNNNNNNNNNNNNNNNNNNNNNNNNNNNNNNNNNNNNNNNNNNNNNNNNNNNNNNNNNNNNNNNNNNNNNNNNNNNNNNNNNNNNNNNNNNNNNNNNNNNNNNNNNNNNNNNNNNNNNNNNNNNNNNNNNNNNNNNCCCGUCGUCCCCGCCCGGCCCGUCCCCGUCCCCGUCGUCGCCGCCCCGUCCCCGUCCCCGUCGUCACCGCCCGUCUCCGUCCCCGUCGCCGCGCCUCGCCGGUGAGCUCCUGCCCCGGCCGCCAUGUCCACACACACACAUUGUUUUUUAGUUAUAAAUUUUAGUUAUAGAAAUUUAUCUGUUUUUUAGUUAUAGAAAUAUCUAUAGAAAUGUUAGAAAUUUUUCUGUUUUUUAGUUUAGAAAUAUUAGAAAUGUUAGUUAUAUAGAAAUGUUAUAAAUUUUUCUGUUUUUUAGUUAUAGAAAUAUUUAUAGAAAUGUUUGCAAUUUUUCUGUUUUUUAGUUAUAGAAAUAUUAGUUAUAUAUAUAGAAAUGUUAGAAAUUUUAGAAUUAGUUUUAGCUAGAUGAAUUAGAUUAAUGUCAAAUUGUUAGAAUUUGCAUAUAGAAUUUUAGUUAUCACAAUCCAAUCAUUUAAAAAAUGUUACUUUUUGAGGGCAUAUAAUAGUUGUUCUCGACGAUGCCCGGUCCGCAUCCUCGCCGUCGACCCGUUCGCGACGACGUCCGGCUGACCCAUGUCCGGGACUGGGCUCCGCCGGGCUGGCACUGGGAGGUGCUACCUGGAGGGGCACGCCGCUUGGUGAGGAACCCGGCCUCGGGUCCCGUCGUCGACCCUGAUCUCCUUUGGUGGCGUUCGCGUGGGCCACAUUCGGUGCAGAGGGAGCCGGCCCCACCGGAGGUGGUGCGUCGCCGUGUCAGGGAGGAGGACGAGCACGUCCAUCGCUACAUGGCUGCUAUGGACGUCAGGUUCUUCAAUACCUGGCAGGCUCUUUGGGCAGAUGACCGGAGAUAUGAUCCUGUGAUGGUUCCUUCUCUUUGGGUGUCCACCGCCCGUGCCCCAGGAACCGCGAGUGGCCUAGAUUCUUCUGUAGUAUUCGAUCUUUAUUAGCUACCUAGCCAGUGAUGUAUUCGAUAUAUAAUAUUCGAGACGAUGUAUUCGAGAUUAUAUAUAUUAUUAGAGACGAUGUACUCGAGAUUAUAUAUUAUUUGAGACGAUGUAUUCGAGAUUAUAUAUUAUUCGAGACGAUGUAUUCGAGAUUAUAUAUUAUUCGAGACGAUGCAUAUUAUGUACUAUAUGAUUCAGUUUUUCCUUAUUGAUUGCAUCCAUGCAUUGUAAUUUGAAUACUAAAUUGUUUUAUAUUUCUUCUGUAUUAGUUAAAUAAAAGCUAUGGCGGACAAUACCGGCAGAGAGGGAGAAGAGGCCCUGUUCGAGAUCAUAUGCAGCCCUAACAGGCCAGAUGAUCUGAAUGAAGCAGAUGACGGUUCCCAAUAUCUGAACAAUACCGGGGAGGGUGAUGAUAAGAUAUUCAAUCUCGACGACCGAGCUGAUGAAGUCAUGAACUAUGAUUAUGAUUAUGAUGACGCAGACAAUGAUUAUGAUGACGAAUACAAUGUUGAUCUUGAAAUAACAAAGACUACCGGCGAGGUAUAUUUAUAUAAGCAGGCAUCUAGUGAUCAUCACAUGUUUUUUUAUUUGAAGAUAUAUUAACGAAUCGAUCUUUCUUCUUUCAGCCAUCCGGAUCGAGCAAAUCUGCUUCUACAGACAGCAGGACAAAGCGAGGCCCGGGCAAAAAGUUGAAGGAGGGUGUAAAGUACAACAUCGAUUCCAUCAAAGCUAGUGGCGAACCCCUCACGCCUAAGAACAUUGCGAACAAGUUCGUUCGUCAGUGCGGAGUUCUUGUGAAGGACCAACUCCCGAUCUCCAUUCAAGAAUGGAAAGAGCCAAAAACUAAACGUCUAGAUGUUACUUGGGUCAACGACAGAGCAAAACAAAAGCUUUGGGAAUCUCUGAUGGAACAUUUCACCCUACCAGAUUAUUUCACUGAUGCAGAUGUGCAGAAAGUCAAGGACACUGCUCUUAAGAAGAUGACAAUUGCAUUCAACACCCACAAGAAAACUGUAUGGGCCAACUACCUCGCUGCAGAAAGGAAGACUCCAGAAUUCAAGGGAACACUGGAGAAGCAAAGAGAACACCGGCCCGCUUUCGUGAAAUUCAAGGAAUCAGAAUUAUCUAAGGAACGGUUCGAGAAAAAACAAGGCCAAUGCCGCAAAAAAGACGCAGUUCCAUAGGCUGGGUCCAGGUGGCUACGCGGUGGCAAUGCCUAAGUGGGAUAAGUCCGAGCAAGAGAUGGAGGAUGCAGGGGUCACUCCGGUUACUAGGAGCUGCCCCCCCAUGUGCAGAACUUGGUUCUAUGCACAUGGGGGGGGGGGCGUUGGACCCGAAGACAGGCCUGGUUUCGAAGAAGGCAAGUCUAAAAGGAGCCGAACAAAAGUUACUUGACGCAAUAGAAGAUGCUUGAAAGGGGGUGUUCACGCCCAACAGAGAGAACGACGAGCUUAUGCGCGCCCUGGGAAAUCCUGAACACCCGGGAAGAACACGAGGCAAGGGCGUUAUUCCCUGGUAUGAGGGCUUUUCGGAAUGGAACGACGACUACAGGACCCGUGCAAGAAAGAAGAUGGUGGAGGAGAAGAAGAGGAAGCUGGAGGAGGAGCAGAGGAAGCAGGACGCAGAACGCCUUCAAGGCCUAGAAGCAAGGCACGCGGACUUGGCACUCAAAUUCCAGCAGGAGCAGCAGCAGAUCGACUCACUUAGCUAGGAAAGGGGGUCUCAGCAGCGGCAGCAGCAAGCGGAUGGUCGUCCAGCAUUGGAUAGCACCAUCCCAUCCAUGCCGAGAAGGAGCAUUGGUUCCGCCCCGGACGAUGCACUGCUGGAUACAUACCCUGUGGAUGACAUCAUAGAGAACACUAACUCUGAGCUACACUUCAAAAUGAAGAACAUAUCCAUGAAGGUGGCGGACGCCGUUGCUUUUACAAUUACCCCCGAAGCAACCUUCCAUUGCACCCCGAUUCCAGCGGGCUAUGCUCGUGUCUUGGUUGAUGAGGUGGUGGACCCAUAUUUGGGGCUACAACUUGACAUUCCUGGAGGUGACGACGAGCACACACUGGGAGAGGCCAUACAUCGUAUCAUCCUAUGGAGAAAGGAUUGCAUCAUCUUUCGAAGUCCACCGACACCACAUCUGUCGACUCCUCCUCGAAGUCCGCCACCGAGUCAGCAGACUCCCGCUCCUCCAAGUCCACGAACGCGUGAGCCGACUCCUUCUCGAAGUCCGCCACCGUGUCAGCAGACUCCCGCUCCUCCAAGUCCACGAACGCGUGAGCAGACUCCUGCUUCAAGUCCGGCACAGCGUCAGGCCACUCCUCCUGUUUCAAGUCCGACACCAUGUCAGGCCACACCUCCUGCUUCAAGUCUGGCACAGCGUCAAGCCACUCCUCCUGCUCCAACUCAGCCACGUCAGCUGUCUCCGCCGCCUCAGCAAUCGCAGAAGAGACACGCCGCAACUAUGGUGCGUAGCGGUACGAGUCGAGGUAGUACAGGAAGUACAAGCGGAGACAAGCGAUAUAAAUAUGGUCCAAGCCUCGCUCCUCUUCCUCAGAGGCCUUACGACAUGACCGAGGAGCAAAACGAAGCCAUAGUGAAGGCCCAAGUGGACGCCCAUUUUGGACCGAAACCGGCACCGCCGCCGAGGGAGAAAGUGCCUGAGGAAAAGAUUGACCACUUCAUUCGUAUGGCUAGACCACCAGCUCCCAAGCCUGUUGACUCAGACUAUGAGCGCCAAAUCAGGAAGGCACAUCGAGCACGACUACAGAAAGAAGCGAGCUCGAGCUCGAGCCAACAAGCAGCUGUCAAAAAUGCGGGAAAACCGUUCCCCAGCUGGGAGAACAGGCGGCGCAAUCGAUCCCCCCGCUUGUUGUGCCAACAACACAUGCGAGUACGCGCGCCCAAUAUUAUUGUGGGAAAACCGUUUACGUUCCCCAGCUGGGCAAUGUGGUAUAACCGAGGAGCAUAUAAUGCAGGCUGAAAUGCUCAAGAUCACUAUUGGACAACUCCUCGAUAUCGAGCCCAUGUCUCCGCUUAGAGAGGAGGAAAUAAAACGGAAAUAUGUCCGGGGCCAACCUUUGGUCGAGCCAGACGAGGUCAAGAACCUUCCAACGAGAAUGUAUGAAUUGCAUCAAUGGUACAUGAACAUUAUCAAGAUUUCCAAUCGAGAGUCCCUCAUGGUGAAUGUCAAGGAAGAGCAUUACUUCCAUGAGAAAGCUGUGUCCGUUGAGUAUUCAGAACUAUUUCAGUUAUACAAUCAAGACGCACUCGACAAAUCUAUCGUCAGUUGCUAUUGUCUGUAAGUGAUUUCUUUCUGUAAUUUAAGUCUCAAGCUAGCUGUAGUGAUCAUUUUGAUCAAUCAUUACAUGUAAUUAUUCUCACUAUAUUCUUUUCUGUGAUAUUAUGCAGGAUGAAGAUGUAUGAAAUGAAAAUAAUCUGGACGCUAUGGCAUUGGGUUCAUUGACCCAAAUACCAUUAAUGAGUACACAUGGAAUAUUCCAAGUUGUCGAGCAAGUUUAGAGGAAAGCAUGCUAGAGUUCUUCAAGCGCCUCAAUACCAAUGAAGAUAUACUACUUCCUUAUAACUUCCUGUGAGUCACACUGUCUUGUACUAUAAAUUCUGUUUUUGCUUACUAGCUAGCUAGAUGUUAAUAAUUAAGUGUAUAGGGUUUAGGAUAGUUGAUUAGUGUUAUGCACAUGCUCGCUAAAUUAAGACAUGCAAACGUGUGCGCAUGCAAUUUCCACUGGAUCUUGUUAGACAUUAAAGUCGAAGAAGGAAAAGUUGAAGUACUGGACUCACUACUUAAAAAAAAAGUGACUACACCAUCUUGUUUGGGAUAGUCAACAUGUAAUUUCAAUCAUUAUUAACUAUAUCUCGUCCUAUUUAGUUCGUUAUUUCCUGAUAUGAACUAUUUAAUAACCCCUUUAUUAAUUUUCUUUGCCGGCGGGCAGGGCUUGGGCAAAGUUCAUCAAGGUGACUCCAGGCAAAUGGGCAAAAAAUCUGUUUUUGGUAUCGACCCAAGGUAAGUAAUUAAGUAGUACUAGCUAGCUAGUUACCAUCUCUUUAAUUCUUGUUUCAAUACCAUUAAUUAAUUAUCAUGCUUGAUUAAUCAUUAUCUGAUUCAAUUCCAUUCUCGUAAAGGCCCUGAAGCAGGCGCCGGGGACUGAUCUGUGUGCAUACUACGUUUGCGAGAACAUUCGCAUGAUGGCGUCCGAAAGGAGCAGAUCUCAAAGACAGGACUGGGUACGUUUGUCAGAACAUUAUUCACAAUUUUUUACACCAUUAUCGAUAUCUAAUCACACAACUAAUACACAUGCAUAUUGAUCUCCUUCUUAACAGUUCAGAGAGGUGCGGGAGCAGCUCCUACCAACGAAACGCAUACUAGCACUUCAAGAGGAAAUAGCGGGAUUUUUGCUCGACCAGGUCAUAGAUCCCAAAGGAGAAUACUAUUACCCGCUACCGCCCCCAUGAACCACUUGUCAUCGUGCUCCGAAGGCACCAAGGCAACAUGUAGGAGAAAUUGUAUAUAUAUAUACAUGUGUAUGUGUGAAUAAUUAAUGGUGGUGGUUGNNNNNNNNNNNNNNNNNNNNNNNNNNNNNNNNNNNNNNNNNNNNNNNNNNNNNNNNNNNNNNNNNNNNNNNNNNNNNNNNNNNNNNNNNNNNNNNNNNNNNNNNNNNNNNNNNNNNNNNNNNNNNNNNNNNNNNNNNNNNNNNNNNNNNNNNNNNNNNNNNNNNNNNNNNNNNNNNNNNNNNNNNNNNNNNNNNNNNNNNNNNNNNNNNNNNNNNNNNNNNNNNNNNNNNNNNNNNNNNNNNNNNNNNNNNNNNNNNNNNNNNNNNNNNNNNNNNNNNNNNNNNNNNNNNNNNNNNNNNNNUCUACGAGAAAAUCUAUUUAUAUAUAUGCAUAACAUGUACAAUAUAUAGUAUCGUAAAAUACCAGCAAACAAAAGAGAAUUAAAUGGAAAACACAAAAUUAAUGGAAAAGUAAAAAAUAAAACCAACCCCCCAAACAUUUAGUACCGGUUGGUGUUACCAAUCGGUACUAAUGGUCUACCAGCACCCGGGCCUGGCUCGUGCCACGUGGUGGCACUUUAGCGCCAGUUCGUGCCGAACCGGUAGUAAAGGGGGAGGGCUUUAGUCUCCACUCCUUAGUGCCGGUUGUAGAACCGGCACUAAAGGCCCUUACGAACCGGCGCUAAAGCCCGGUUCUGCAGUAGUGCAGAGUGUAUAUUGCCAUGUUGUUUGCAGAGAAGUCAUCGAGUUUAUUUUUUAAUCAAUUUCUUCCCCAGGUCUAAAGUUUACUAGAACGUUGUUGUGGUGUUUAUGCCUAAGUUAUCAUGUGUAUGGUGUGCCUGUUGCCAUCAUAUAAUACAGAAGUUAUCGGGUGUUAUAUAUUCAACAACCAUUUUGCCCAGGCAAAUAGUUACCAUAGUAUUUGUACCUAAAUUAUCAAGUAUGCGGUACAUAUAUUACCAUUCUAUUUAACACAAACCUUACCGGCGGUAUGUUUUCCAACGACCCCCCACCACAAAAUCAAAGUUACCGGCGUUGUUUGUACCUAAGUUAUCAGGUCUACUGUGUGUCUGUUACGAUCAUAUUUACAAAGAAGUGAGCGGUAUGUUAUCCAACAACUCCCCCACAUCAAAAUUACUGUCGUGUUUGUACCUAAGUUAUCAGGUUUGCGGUGUGUCUAUAACCAUCAUAUUUAUAAAGUUAUCAAGGGUGUGUAUAUGACAUUUUUUUGCCCAGGUAAAAAUUUACCGCAGUGUUUGUACCUAAGUUAUCGGAUCUGUGGUAUGCAUAUUACUGUGCUAUCUAACACGAAAGUUGACUGUAGUAUGUUUCCAACAACUCUCCCAUCAAAGUUACUGCAGUGUUUGUACCUAAAUUAUCAGGUUUGCAGUGUCUAUUACCGUCAUAUUUAUAAAGAAAUUAUUGGGGUGUGUAUUCCACAUUUUUUUGCCCAGGUAAAAAGCUACCACAACGUUUGUAUCUAAGUUAUCGGUUCCGCGUUACGUAUAUUACGGUGCUAUUUAACACGAAAGUUACCCCGCGGUAUGUUUUCCAACAACUUACCCAUCAAAGUUAUCAUGGUGUUUGUACCUAAGUUAUUAGGUCUGUGGUGUUUCUGUCACCAUCAUAUUUAUAAACAAGUUAUCAGGGGUGUGUAUUCGACAACUUUUUUUCACAAGUAAGAAGGUACCCACAGUGUUUGCACGUAAAUUAGCAGGUCUGAGGUACGUAUAUUACCGUGCUAUUUAAUAGGAAAAUUACAGGUGGUAUGUUUUCCAACAACUUCCCACAUCAAAGUUAUCUCGGGUAUUUUGUACCUAAGUUAUCACGUUUACGGUGUGUCUCUUACCAUCAUAUUUCUACAACAAUUAUCGGGUGUGUGUAUUGACCAGCUUUUUUGCCGUCGGCAAAAAAGUUACCGUAGUGUUUGUAUAUAAGUUAUCAGGUCUGCGGUGUUUCUAUUACCAUCAUAUUUAUACAGGAGUUAUCGGGGGUGUGUCGAACAAUUUUUUUGCCCAGCUAAAAAGUUACUGCAGUGUUUGUACAUAAGUUAUCAGGUCCGUUGGAUGUAUAUUAUCAUGUUAUUUUACACCAAAGUUACCGGUGACAUGGUGUCAAGAGGAAGUAAAUUUGGCAAAUUAAAAUGGACCUCUCGUAUUUUCUUAUGUAAAACAAUGUAGAAAAAGAAACGACAACAGAUCUCUGUCUACGAGAGUCUGUCUUAAGUUAAAGCUAUAAAAACUGUCUAAUAUGUAUCUAAUCACAACAUACACUCUGUUUAGAUGUUUGUUCGGUAGAUUGCUCACUCACUAGGUUCCAAGUUCAACUCCCCAAGUUGCUUUUUCUUACCAACAUAAAAAAGGAGACAACCAAAAAGGAGACGUGCGGGGAUCGAGCGACCUGGAUCGGGAUCGUUCGGAUAUGAAACAAAAAACAAAACGUUCGGAAAUUUUCAAAUUUCGUUUAUAGAUAGAUUCACAUAUAUAUUAGGCUUAAAUCAAUGAUGUUGCUGGCGAGAGGGGGAUGAGGGAGCCCCCAUGCUGGUCCCCGGUCCUUGUUAGUGUUCUCGUUGUAUCAGAAAGCAACCUUAAAAAUGCUUAAUAUCUUGUCUCUAAACUUGAAGACAUACAAAACCCAAACAUGCGAAGUUGAAACACAUACAUAGUUUGAAAAAAAGUACACAGACAUGCAAACACUUAACACUUAAGGCGACAUCCUAUGACGGCUUACACCACCUCAUGUGACUUCACCUUGAGUGCCAUCAUCGGCGUGGGGCGUCGAGCUCAUGGUGGCUGUGUGGCAAUGGUGUAGUGCGGAGCCAGUCGUGCCGUAAGACUCUGUACUGCACGUAAGUGCGUUAUCUUCCUCACAAAACAUAGGAAGAGGAAAUGACUACAUUGUAAGGGCAUCAAUCAAAGCAUGUCACCACCACAUACUCCAGGCCACACAUGCUAUUAUGUCUUAAACGAAUCUUUAUAGUUUAUAAAGUAACUUUCAUCAUGCUAUUUCUUAUAGUUUUUCUCCAUUGUUUUAUAUUUUAUCGGACCAACUUACUAAUAAAGCGUCAGAGAUGCAACUGCAUGUCUAAUGCCUAUGCCGAUAACUCAUCAUUUUUAGUAUAGCUUAUCUCUAUGUCAUUUAACAAUUUGACAAAGAUUGCAUUUUCUCGCUUUGAAUACCUAUCUUCUUUUAUAGUACUAACUUGCUUAUUUUCAACUGAGGACGCAACAAUGCAAAAAUUCACGCAAAAACAACAUAUUGACAUUUUGACUAAGGGAGGAGUCAAGUGAAUAGUAUUGCCUGAAUUUUGUACUGGUAGAGUAGAGUACAAUAAGUGAAUUGGCGCCCCUAAACUGGUAGCCUACCAAUUGUGGCGGGACAAUAUACUAGUUUCUUUUAAUAGCUCAUAAAAAGAUGAGCUAUACUAUGUUUUUACUUGCUCAUUUUUUUUAAAGAAUCAUCGUGAGCUGAAAAAUGAAGACGUGGGGUGUCAACCACAGAAAGGUAGGAAGUGACCAAGUUUGGUGGGCCCGUCACAUGAUAUUUAUUUUUUGCACGAGGACAUGGUAAUGUUGCUCAUGCUUUAUCCAUCAUGGCCGAGCAUUUGUGGGGAUAGGGUUGUGGGCUGCGAUCACGACGCCUUGUUCCGAGAGGUGUCGCACUGCAGUCGCACCAGUUAGCCAUUCUGGAGGUAGGCAAAGAUGUCAUGGUGGGAUUUACCUUUUGGGUUUGGCAAUCUGGCAGAUGGUGUUGGUGCGCGUGUUGCCUUGCAAACAAACUGGCUGUGGGCAUUACUUCCUGCUUGUUCAUCAAAGCUUACGGACUGUCAGAACACGACUUCUUCAAGAUACAUAUAACUUGAAUCUUAAUUGGGCGUCUACCAAUUCAUGUGUUCGCAAACAUACCUGCUAAGCAGUCAGAAUGGCUGCAAGAAAAUUCCCUCGAAAUGCAAACAAUGCAUCGGUCAUGAUGCAAAACACAGUUUGGAUGUCAGACAAUCUUAUGGUUAGGAGUAGAAUGGAUGAAGGUUGAGGCUUUGAUUCAACCGACACUUCUCCGCCUUAUGGUUAGGGAGCAGAACGGAUGAAGGUUGUAACAUUCUUUAUCUUAGUAUCUUUAGAAAAGAAUGACUAGUCUUCCUCUCUUCUUGUUACAAUAGUGAGGGUACAUUGAUGAAGGAUACCACCCACCAAUUAAUCCAUGCAUGUGGCAUUUGACCUUUAUUUAUUGUGCAUACGUAUUUCUACUCACAACAAUGAUAUUGCAUCAGCUACCAUCGGGUCAUGGAAACAAUAUGGCGGGCAUCUGGAUCUAUGAGAUAGCUGGCAUUUUGGACCAUGUGCGAACUACCAUAUCGAUUGUCAUUAAAAGGCCCUAUGUUCACACUCCUUCCCCUCUCAAGUCUUCACAUCUCACAGAAAUAACCUUACGAAUACAAUGUCAGUAGUCAUAGUCUAGUGUGUAUAAUGGGAGUUCCAACUAAAUUUCUAUCACUUCAAAUCUUCUCGAUUCAUCAACCACAAUUAGUUGUUUAAUAGUUAGAAAUGUUGAGAUGGAAUUCCUUCCUGGGCUCUCACGCGUAGGAAUUGGAGGCAUCAGAAAGUUAGUGAGGACAUGUUGAUAUGCUGACGCGCGAGACACACAUGAACACAAGUCUACCCACCCUAGUUCCAGUUGCCUAGCUCCUGGUCGAUUAGGUAUGUCCACAAACUAACACACAUCUUCUUUGGGUCUGACCUAUGCUCCGCUCAUCACUUUAAGAUUCGGCACCAAUGAUCGUGGCAUUAUAUAGUGCGUCAGGAUUGUGCUCCCCAUGGUUAACUGUGUGAAUAGAGGUAUCAGAGGCCAGUAUAAUCAAAGAGCUUACAUUCUUGAGUCUGACAAGUGGGUGUGGACAACCUUGGGAUGGUUGGUCCGUCCCAUUGGAGGUGUGUCCUAGGUCUAUUGCUUUGUCGACAACUGGACGAAGUGAGCAUUGCCAAUAUGCUCCAUCCCACCAUGUUCACAACCCUCUGUUCCCACCAAUUCCCCAAGCAUGUCUUUUUUUAGAUAAUUAUAUAUUUUUACCUCAAAAUAGGUUUUCACUCCGCUUUAUCUAUAAAUGUCGGGAAGGCUAGUUGCGUGUCUUAUAUUUACACCAAUAACUCUUUACUGUUUUGUACAUGUUAUCAUAAUGUCAUUUAAAUUUUUUCCAAAGAUUGCCUUUCAUGGCUUUAAAUACCGGCAUUUCCAUAAUGUUGGGGCCGGGCGAGGGGGUGGAUGGGAUCUAGUGUUAGGACAUCGCUUUAUUUAUUUAUUUAUUUUAGAUUGCGGGGAGCACAUCGUUUGAUAUGAUGGGGAUGGACCGGUGGGUUAGUGUAUUUGUGUAUAAUAUUGUGUCUUUGUGGUCAUAGAAGAGUUGUUUCCAAAAAUAUCUAACCACGAUGUCUAGCUAUAUUAGUACAUACAUGUAAGAAAAAAAGUGAAAAACACUACUCAUGUGAAAAAGCACCACGAAUGAAAGCAAGAAAAUGCCCAUUGAAAACCUCCCUUUGUGGCUAUUCUUGUCACUACCGAUUUUAGUCAUCCGUCAAUGGUGCACCAAUAACAAUAUGCAAUUAUGCAGCAGUGGAUCUUCACAGAUUAUGUGAUCUUAGACACCGUGAUAGACACGUUUUGGCCUUCCAACUCGCCGACAAUCCAACUUUUUCACAUGAAAAAUUUGAGAAAUUCAAGGCACAAAACAUCUGAACCUACUUUUUCCCGCAAAACAUCCUGACCCACAUAUCGGUCCGCCGACCGAUCCAGACCUACUUUUACCUCCUCAAAGGUCCUUUUUUAAGCGGGCAUCGACAAGAGAGACUUGUGUAAGAUGGCAGUUGUGGUGUCAGGAUUUCUGUGGCAAUGAUGGCGGGGUGAGCAAUAGUAGGGUGAUGGCAGUGGUUGCGGUAGUUGACUCUUUUGCAUGUCCACGGGAUUAUUUCGGGUCGUUUGUUGCAGAGAAGUUGGACCUGACAUGAAGGCCGAGAGGCGGCAAUGAAUUUUUCUCACGGGCGCCGUCGAUGGAUGUAGGAGGAAAAAACCUCAGCACUCCAAGGAAUUUGGAUGUAUGUUGCAAUUUCUGUAAGGGCGUUUUGGUAAGUGAAUGUGUGUACUUGAUAUGUGGCCCUUGACCUAUCCGUAAAAAAGUACGAAUUUGAAAGGGGCCAAGAGGUGAUAUGCUAUGUGAGCUUACCAAUGUGGCAAUUUCUUCAUACUUACAUGGUCUACGAGAGAUCGAUUGUGACGAGUCAUGCCGGGCGGUUUCGCGGCAGGUAGCAUCCGCUGGAUUGUUCGAGUUUGGGGCAAUAAUGCUUGCCUGAUUGGUUGUUGUGCCUUGUUGUUUUCAGGUAUUGUGUCGCUGACGGCAGAAGACUGACUGUUGCCGAUGCUCCAUCUAUGUUCAUGAUACCCACCGACUUGGUGGAACACAAGGUUUCAAGACAAUAAUAAUUUAGUUAGGGCAUUUGAUGUUCUGCCAAAUACUCACCAGGCAGACAGACUAAAGUAAUGAUUUUUUGCUGGAUUUUUUCAUGGCAAGCCAAGCACAAUCCAGAUCCUAAUUAGAGACCCUACGGAUCCUAAGAGUAAUGAUUUACUGUGUGGCCUGUCGAUCUACUGUCUGUUCAUUGCUCUCGGGAAUAUUUUGAUUCUCACAAAUCAAUCAGUUAGGUGGACUGGGUCACGAGUCAUGAGAUCUGUGUCUACACUUGCUUCAUUAGUUUGAAAAUGUUGACCAUUAAUCUGGACUGGCACUAGAGUAUGAGUUUAAGUCAUGGUCACUGUUGCUAAAGAAUGUACUUAAUUUUCAUCAUUUUAACCUUCAAUAAGGAGAAUGAUAUCAUCAACCGCCAAGAAAAUCAACAAAUUUGACAUCAGAACCAUAUGAGCCACUUGCAACUAAAUAGAAAAGAAAGCACAUCAUUUGGCACGUGGGCUUAUUCAGUUGCAUUACUCACUAUAUAUGGAGAAACAAAUGAAGAAUCAACUGUCAUUUGCUUCUGCACUCCAUAUGCUGCUGCCUUUAUUCUCCUACACAAGGCUGGUGGAAUCUGCUGUUCUCCCUCCUCUUCUAAUUGGAUAUGGCAAAAUGAUUGUUCAUGCACACCACAAUAUGCUUUAACAAGAAGAAACCAAAGGGACCGAACAUUCUUGGUAAAAAAGAGGAACCAAGAAUUGGAUUUGGGACAAAUUGCAGGGUGCCACCAAGGAUGGGCAUGGAUGAGCACCGAAAAGUUAGUUAGACCUCAAUCCGUAGAGUUGAUUGUCCACUGAAAGUCCUAAUUAUUGUAGACUGAUGCCACCCGUUAUGUGGUAUCAAGUGGUUAAUUUCUAGUUUGCGGUCGACCAAGAUCUUGAUCGGUAAUCCAAUGUAAAUAAGAGUAUCUGUUGUGGAGAUCGUACCAUUGCAUUUUCCAUGAUGGAGAUUUCUUUUCAUAUUCCAUGCAGCACGAAUUGGAUCGAAUUUUGGGUAGGGAUCGCCUGUGCCAAACAAGAAAAGGCUGGAGUAAUAUUCUGCAAAAGAGAAGUUGUCCCAUAUUUUAAACAGUGCAGUGCUUUCCGAGCUCUUCUUAAGCUAAUUUAUUACACAAACUUUUGCAGUUAUUCUAAAAAAGUAUUUUAAGCCCCAGCAUAAAGCACACUUUGUUGAUAUGUACUAUCAAAGCUUGUGACCACCAAUAAAAUUAUGGAACCACUAGUAGGAUACAGAUGAUCACUGUUCUUAUAUAUGAUCUACUAUAGUUAUGAUAGUUUGUAAUGAAAAGUUAUGUUAUAGACCCGUACAUCUCCAAGCUCACAUGCCAAAGCAAAAUAACUUCUUUACAAAAAGCACCCAUCGAAUUAAGCACUUGUGUACAUGCUCUAAGAAUGAUUGUUAUUGGCACAGGCGUUCACAGGAUAUAUAUUAUUCGGUUGCUGAAUAAAGCUUGAUCAUCAAUCUUAACAAUCUCCAAGUUACUUUUUGUUUUUCUCGUACAAGACCUCGAUCAUAAAUCCUGUGAAAAUAGGAUCAUUUCCAUGGGAGAUCUAGCAAUUGAAUUUCUUAUGAUGGAAUUUUCUUGUAUGUACUACACAGGAGAAUAUGGAUCAAACUCUGGCUAGUGAUUGCCCGGGUGGCCGGACCGAACUAUGGAAAGUUGUAAAAUCCUGAAAAAGAGAAGUUGUUUCUUCAACAUAGCUAGUGCUUUUUUAGCCAUUUCCCAGUUAAUUAUACUUGAGGAGUAAAUGUAUAAUGCUUUACAUCAUCAGGGCAACUGCGGCCUGCUAUUCCAAGCUGAGAAGAAGAGAUCGAUACGGAUUGAAGAUCUUAGUUGUUGAGCUAGAGGCAAAAGGCAGCAGAUCCCUGAAAUCUCUGCUUUACACCAUGAGGGCAACCGCUGCCUGCUCUGUGAUUCUGUGUUAUGCUAAUCUUGCUGAAGAGCAUUCCUUAGUGUUGUUAAAUAUGCUUCUAUCGCACGCACACCGGAAAAAGCUACGCGCUUCCGUGUGUGUAUUUUCGUUUCAAGAAAGCGGUCUUCGCUUCUUAGGUAGAACUGCACUGAGCAUCCCAAUGUGUGUGUUUAGCCAGAAGCCACAUAAUGCCAUUUCAGGAAGCAUGAUUAACACUCUAACAGCAGUAAAAACAUCUAGACUGUGGGCGGUCAUCCGCCUUUCACUUUUUCCACAAGUCCGUAAUGGCUAAACGCGGGGAAAGAGGCUGAAGGAAUAAGUUGGAAGAAAGUCGAUUAAAUUUCAGACUCUGCUACUGGACCAGCACAGUAUAUUAUGCAUACAAAAAUUGAUAUGCCAUCAAUCAUCUAAAAAAAUGGUAACAGAAAUAUGAUUCAUGGGCAGAUGUGCACUUUCCUUUUCUAAGAACUAAAAUUGCGGCUCUUAACAUGAUAGAGUUGCGAAAAGCAAACUGGAAAAGAAAGGGAGGUAGUGUCCUUUCUGUUUCAGGAACAUCUUUAAGAAAGAACUUCUAACAACAUGAUAGUGAGUUAUCCAUUAUCUAUAGUAGUGAGUUGUGUUACCUACAUCUGUCACUUUAUUAUCUAAUUUGCCGGCAGAAACUUUGUGUAUCUGGGGUAUCUGGCUGCUUUAACAUCGCCUUGUUGUCCAACUUCCAAUGCAUCAAUAUGGGCGGCUUUCUCGCGCAUCCCCGUGACAUAAGACGUUUGUUAUCGACUAUGUCACACCAGUGACGAAAUAUAAUGGGUGAACAGUUCUCCUUUUGUGAAACCUGUCAGUUAAACGAUUUAUUGCAAUUUGCAAAUAUGCUGAUUCAGUGCAAGAUCUUGCUGAGCUCUGUUCCUAGCAGCAACGAGAAAAACAUCUGUGCUGCUCUCCCAAGACGUGUUUGGCAAGUGAGCAGUGCUUUCUUUCACAUAGUAGCAAUAGUAGAAAUGGAGACAUAUCUGAGAUUUGACAGUGCUUUCUUUCACUAGAUUAUAUAUGAUACAAGGCAAAAGCACCCACGGCUGAAGUACAAGCAACUACACAAACAGACUGGUGAAAGUAAAACCAUCUACCAUCAAAAGCUUCCUGGAGCUGCUGGACCUUCUCCCUGCCGCACGAAACAUGGAGGCUCUGUGUCAAAAUCCACGGCCUCCGGUUCCUCACACACAGUUUUCCAGGCGCCUUUCAACAGAUCGGAAGACGACUGACCAAAACCCAAACAGAAAUUGAGGAGGAAAAAGACAGAGCAGAAACAGAGGCAGUAGUAGUGUUUAGGGGAGGAAGGGAGGGAGGGAGGACUUGAUGAACUGCCAUGGCCGUGCUAUAGCUAAUCCUAAGUCCUAACGACUGGCCAUCUGGUACCUUGCGAGAGUGGCGGUAGUGGUUGGGUACUGGUGGCAAUCCAUGCCAGCGUGCUCCCUAUGAUCAGCCGCAGCCUCAUGGGGGCGCGGCGUGUAUGUGUAUGCGCCGUUGCCGGCGUCGUCGCCGACCUUGUUUUGCCAUGCGGGAAGCUUCUGCGGCGUCUCGCUGCCAGCCUUGUCUUGCCAGUCGGCGUACCCGCCCUGGCCGGCAGCGUCGCCGUGGUCGGCUUUUGGCCGGCCUUCGCGGACGACGACGGUGGGCGGCUGCUGGUACGCCGGCGCCGACCAGUUGGCGUUCCCUCUGCUGCGGCCGUAGUCGUCCCGUCUGCGGCCGCCGAAGCACGAGCCGAACUCCAGGCACAUUCUUUCUUGGUGGCGAGUAGUGAGGUGGCCGACUCGGCGCCGGGUGCUUCUUCGAACUACUCUAGCUGGGAGCUGGGAGCUACUGGUAGUGGGAAGCAGCACUAUCCUGGAAGUAGCUGCUGGGGGUAUCUGUGCAGUGGUGGUGUUGAUGGCUCUGAAACUGACAGUGUUGGUGUGGUGGGUGAUUUAUAUUCGGGGCCGAGAAGAGAGCUCGUGCUGGACGCGACGUGUGUGUAGCAAGCCAAGCGAUUCGAAAGCUCCGUAUGAAAAGAGGGGGGUUUAGGUCCCGAUCGAUCAGGCCCAUCGUCGACGCGUCUCACGUUUGACACGUCUUCUAACACACGGACGUCGUCGUUUAGGUCCCGACCGAUCAGGUCCGUCCAACACCAUCUAAUGCGUGUCCCACAGACCGCCCCACUUAUCUGGGGGACAACUUCGACAUUUGACUAGAUAUAUAAAAAAAACAUCUUCAACCUUCGUCAAGAAAAGAGCAUCUUCUACCGGACUCCUCAAAUUCAGCCCCGUUGUUAGUCUGGCCCACCUUAGACCCGAUAAAACCCCAUCCUUAACCCACUUCGGCCUCCUUUGGUUUGUAGAAAUUCUAUAGGAUAUGAUUUGCAAAGGAAAAACUCCGACGAAGCCCUUUGGUUUAUAGGAAUGAAUUCCUAUUCCUAUAUAGGUAUGAAUAGGAAUCAAUCCUUCAUAUUUUGGAGAAAAAAUAUAUUAGCCUAGACUUGAUGGAAAAAUUUCUAUCCUAUGCACUAAAUGACAUCUCUUUCUUUAUAGGAAUUGAGAUGCAUGUCAUCUUACUUCCUAUGAUUUUCCUAUUCCUAUAAAAAUCCUAUCCUAUGAACCAAUGGAGGUCUUUACUCUAUUUGCUCCGCCACUCUAUGCUCCUCCCUCUCCGGCCAUGUCGACCUUUGGGUCGGAGUCUGUCUGCUUCAGAUUUGACGCCAACGUGAAUUGGGAGUUCAUUGCAUGCUUGGAUGACGAUGAGUUUGCCCUCCGUCUCUCACUUUGCCAGUCUUGGCGUUGGUGUAUUAAAAAUGAGUGUUUAUACCCUGACUAUAGUGCACAGACAGUAGGAGCCUUCCCGACGGCAAGAGUUUGUCGGAGGAUGGCUCUUACCAACACUCAAGACUUGGUAAUCAAACCAUGAAGAAGACCUCGAGGCAGGUCAUAGAGAAGUACUAAAGAAGUAGUAAAGAUCAAGACUCAAGUCACCGGCAAGCUUCAGGCCGGCAGGCUUUGGACCGGCAACCUCAAGAACGACAAGCUCAUCCCCACCGCUCCACUGUGGCAACAGACAAGAGCUUGCCGACAGGCGUCGAGCGGGCAUGUGGUUAUGUGAAGCUUGUCGGGACACAUGGCGGCCCAUCGCUGAAGAAGUAGCUUUAUUGACACCCAUCCAAGUGGCAUUGUCGAUAGAAUAGAAGGUAGCUGAGCGAGCGGUGCAGGUGGAGAUGGACGGCCUUGCCGGCAUUCUCCCUCAGCAUGACACCUAAUGGAGCAUCUAAGUUAGGUAUUUGGAACUAUAGCCACUAUCUGCCUUUGUAAUUACGAUUUUGCCACUGUGGUAGCCUUCAUCUAUAAAAAGAGGCCCAUGACAACCUUUACAAGGGUCGACACCAUGCCCAAUUGCACUAAUUAGCUGCACUUCCCGAGAACUUUGCCGGCAAGCUCGCGCUCUCUUGUAACUUGGGUACUUUUAUCAUAUAGUUUCACCAAAGCAGGAGUUGUGUUUUACACUUCACAGCGGCCCGAACUUAAAUAAUUCUCUGUGUGUUUGCCUGCUAGAUCUGCUCUUUGUGCAUUGUGAUUCUCACAGCCAAACCACCAAGGGGCCUUGCUGGUCCUAAAGAUUGUUGUAUGUCAAGUGGUCGAGACUUGGCUUGAGACCCGAGCUAUACCGUCAGCGGGCCAGCGCGGAUACAACAGUACGGCGUCUUCACCGCCUCACCGCCACAUCAGUGUGAGUUCAGCAACCGCGACGCGUCCACCGAUAACUCAAGGCACCCGCGCACUGCCGACGCGUGUUCGUGCCGUUCCUGCAGCACGGCCAUGCUGGCUCGAGCUGCUUCGCUCCGUCCCCGUCGGACCAGCCGCUAGGUUCUUAUCCACCACACACCAUUGUUGACUUUGGCAACGUCGUCCCCGCUGGCAUGUGGCGGCUACAGGAGUCGAGGCACAACGUGCUCGUUGUUAGUUGGAGAAGGCGCACCGUGACUCUACUCCGGUGGUGCUGGUGCUGUCGGACUCCGACAAAGACCCGGUCAUCUGUGGCAUCAAUUAGCGGUCCCUCACCACCACCAAUGAGUCAUACGUGCACCGCUGCCGGAAGAUCAACACCGAAGGUCCUCGCUCGGCAUUGGGUAAUCGCGUUGCGACGCUAAUAAGACGGUGCUGGUUUUCGGUGGAUUUAUUUGGAUUCAGUUUUCGUUCUUCUUCGUUCAUGUGGUUACAAGUUUGAUCUUUUCGACCUACGACUCUCUUCAACGACGAGGGUUGCUGCCCUAGUGCGCCGAUUCUUUAGUCCUUUGGCUCGCUCCAGUAUUUGUAGUCGUCGGUCUAUGGAUCUGGUUGUAAUUUUUACCUCUAGGCUUCCUUGUACUCCCAUGAUUGAUUAUGAAUUGAUCGGAAAGUUUUCUUGAAAAUGCUUUGAAAGCCUGCACCAUACAACUUUGCAUUACCUGUCUUGCUUAGUGUGCUUUUGCCAAAUUGCCAAGAUCGACUGGCAAUCCUAGCUUCAAGGCUCGGAUAGUGAGGUGAUGUGAUUUUCCGGGUGGUGCUCCGCAGGGUCAACCGUGCGAACCGGCGGAACCGGACGUUGGCACGCAACGAGUCGUGGCGCGGGCGGUGCCGCGGGACGGCAGAGAAUCGAUCCUAUGGUCCUACCGGAGGCAAGCAAGGCACGCGGGACAAAGGAUGAUUGCCGUUGACUGGGGCAUGCGCUCGGCCGGUUGUGGUUAGGUCGUGUUGGAAUGUUGGACGAGCUGGUCUUACUGUGUUUUCAAGCUGUCGACAUACGCGGCGCACAUGGGGAUAGCGACGACGUUAGACUCUUCACUGGUUCGCUUAUCCGUGGCCGCAUAUUUUUUUUCGCGAAUUACGCAAAGCUUGCAUACCUUUUCAUUGAUAGAAGAAGUUGAAAUGUGAACAUAGGGGGAGGGGUACAUCGCAUGACAGAACCAAACAUGGCAUACACAUGGUGUCCGGAGUAGAGAGACAUGGGUUGCUCGGCCCAAACAGAAGCUACAACACAGCGCUAAACUACCCUAUCCAAGCGAAACAACCCAAACAAGAUGAUGUCCCGAAACUCAAAAUCUAGUGCCAAACACGCCACGAGCAAGCAAGACGAUGCCUUCAUGAAGGGGAACGACGUCAUGACGUCGCCGUCGUCCGGUCCAAGGAACUGGACCUGGGGUUUCCCCCGGAGCUCGAGCAGGGAACGGAGAAAAGGCCGUGGCAGUGCCUCCAGGAUGGUGACGGCACCCGCAGGUGUCGCUGCUGUCAGCAUCAGCAAGCCAUGCAUGGAUUUUGCACUGGCCAAUGUCCGAAUAAUCCCAUGGCCGCCAGGAUAGAAUCCAAAGAUGAGAACAUGUCAUAAGCUGGGGCCGCCAUUGCUUGAAGGGGAGCCAUGCCCACUGCCGAAGUGGCAAUGGGAGCCGCCGGAAGCGCGAGCAUUGGUUCUGUUGAAGGAGGGGCGACGCAAGGUGUGGCUGUCGGGGAUGAAGAGACGGCGACAAGGCAUAGACAACCAGCACACGGGAGGCGACAGCAACCGGCAUGACGACGAGCCAAGAUUUGGAGAUACGCAGAUCUGGAACGACAAGGCCGAAGCUGCCAAAAUGCCGAUGCCCGACAAGCCCAGGAAGCCGGAAAAGAGCGUAGCUUCAAGAGCGCCAGGGUCGGAACCGCCAAAACGUCGACGAGCCCGAUAAGCCGGAAAGAACGCAGCUUGUGGGAUGCCGGGGUCGAAGCCACUACGGGAGCGCCGACAAGCUGGACACCAGAAAAUGCGGGUCCAUGCCUACCGGGCCACAAUAGCAACGGCCAGAUCCACCGCGUGCAGGCCAUCACGCCGUCGAGGAAAAGAAGAUCCGCACCACCACCAAGCAGAGUGGCUGCAGGCCCGCGUGAGCCCAGCUUGGGGUCGCCUGCAGCACCAGCGCACGGAGCAUCCAUCGGCGCACGGCCGCAACCAUCAGCGCACACGCCGGAGAAAGGAGGCGCACCAUGCUCGCCCACAGCCGGCCCCCGCCCGCGCGCCAGAUGAAGACGCAGCACACACCGGUAGUGCGCCCACGCGCUGGAUCUUUCCGUCGUGGCCCCCAUGGCCAAAACCGCCGCUCUCGUGCGCGUAGCUAGGGAGGGAAGGACGCCGCCAGGGACAGGAUUGCCAGCCAGAGAGGGGAGGCGCCGCCGCGAGAGAAGAAGGCCGCCGCCGUGGAACCCGCCCCGCGCCGUCGGGAGGCCAUGGCCCCGCAUCUCGACGCCACAGGAGCAAGAACGCCCCGCCGCCACCAUCCUUGGAGACACGCGAACUUNNNNNNNNNNNNNNNNNNNNNNNNNNNNNNNNNNNNNNNNNNNNNNNNNNNNNNNNNNNNNNNNNNNNNNNNNNNNNNNNNNNNNNNNNNNNNNNNNNNNNNNNNNNNNNNNNNNNNNNNNNNNNNNNNNNNNNNNNNNNNNNNNNNNNNNNNNNNNNNNNNNNNNNNNNNNNNNNNNNNNNNNNNNNNNNNNNNNNNNNNNNNNNNNNNNNNNNNNNNNNNNNNNNNNNNNNNNNNNNNNNNNNNNNNNNNNNNNNNNNNNNNNNNNNNNNNNNNNNNNNNNGCGGAUUCGAGGUGCGGCAGGCGGCGCGGUUAGGGUUCCCCCCGAGUCGCCUGCGUGGCGGCGCGGGGGGCGGGGGGAGGCGAUCUAGCAAAGUGUGUUCAUGACAUAAUUCCUAUGCUUGUAUAGAUGAAUAAAGGAUGUUUGGCCGCAUAAUUUUUUUUACGGAUUUGCUAUUUUACAGUUGAGCGUUUUUCAAUUCGUUAUCAUUCCUAUCUCUGCCCGUCCGUUCUCGCACGCAGAUUCACGCUAGGAGGUGUGUUUUUCGGUUCGUUUUGUUUCUGGGCGCGGUUUUGUUUCUGUCCCAGCCCGUUAUCACCGCCCGACCCGGCAUCGAUUGCUUUUUAUUUUUAUUUUGGGGUGUCGUUUCCCCUUUUCAUUUGGGAAGAGAGAGAAAGAGAGAGGAACAGGCGCUCAUGCAGCGGAGAGAAGAUGUGAUUCUAUCUGUUCAUGUCGAUUCCAAGUUUCCCCACUGCUCGAUCUUGAUUUCUUUUCCCUUUCUCUUCGAUCCAUGGCUGCCGCGGUUGGUUACUCUCAUCUUUCUCCCUCCCCCAUCUGAUUUUGGCUUGUUUAUGCCUAUCUAGCUUCCAAAUCUAGGUGAGUUUUUUGUUAGGAUUCAUCAUAGGUGUAUGUUGCUGCCCUUUUGUUGCUCUUUGUAAUUUUAGCUGUUGGUUCUGGAUACUGGCAUGCUUACUCCGCCAUUGCUCCCCCUCUGCUCGCCUAGGAUCGAUGUAUCAUUUCUUCUGUUAGUGCUAGGUCAUCUGGUGUAGGCGCUGGUAGCUGGUUCGAUUUUGUAGGUUGGUUUACAUCUAGGUCAUCAGAUGGAUGUUUAUGUGGUUAGGGUUGGUGAUUUGUGCUGGCAGGUGGCCUCUGUUUUGGUCUUGUUGCUCUUGCUGUUCCUGUUACCUCUUGAAUGUUUGUUGUAGAUUUAUGGCUUUUGGUAGGUUAGAUGUAGGUGUUAGUUUCCUUGGUUUAGGGUUUUCUCGGUGCAUCAUAUUUACUGAGUUAGCUUUGCUUUUGCACGAUUAGUAUGUUUUUCUGGUGCAUUUCCUUGGUUUUAUUUCACUGUAAUCCCAUGUGUUCUAGUCCUGUAGGUGUUCCUCCACUAGUAGAAAAAGGGUCAUCUGUCCCGGUUGGUAAGGACCCUUUGUCCCGGUUGUUGAACCGGGACUAAAGGGUCGUUACUAAUGCUCUAGCCCUUUAGUCCCGGUUCUUACAUGAACCGGGACAGAUGUGCCUCCACGUGGCCGGUGCGGCGAGCCCAGGCAGGAGGGUCUUUGGUCCCGGUUGGUGGCACUAACCAGGACCAAUAGGCAUCCACGCGUCAGCAUUUCAGGGGCUGGGGUUUUUGUUUUUUUGAAAGGGGGGAGGGGUUGGGGGUUUUGGGGGGUUAAUUUAGGUGUUUCAUAUAUUGUGUUAGCUAGCUAAUUAAUAGAGAGAAGUGUCCUCUCUUAUCUCCGUGCUUGGUCGAUGCUACGUACUAUAUACGUAUAGAGAGGACUAGACACGCUAGCUAGUAAGCAAAUGAAGGAAACAGAAGACCGUCAUGAACAUAUGCAUACAGAGAGAAGUGAUAUCGACCACCUCUCCUUCUCCGAGAGAUUGGUCGAACAACAAGUUCUCGUAUAUCUAUCCGACACUACCGGCUACAUAUAUACAAUAAUUAUCUCUUACAAUAUAAUCUCCUAAUUAUAUAUGAACACAGGGUCCACAUAGUAUUCUCCGUUUUCAGCGAUCACGUGGUCAAGGAAGAAUGCCGCCAAUUCCUCUUGAAUUGCUCGCAUACGAUCUGGUGGUAGGAGUUCAUCCCGCAUCCGAAAGAUCUAAUUUGAAGAAGGGGGUCAAUACAUAUAUAUAUGAAUAAAUGAAACUCAACACAAAUGAUGGUAAUAAAAUAAAAUUGUGAAUAUUAUUCCUUACGCACUUCAUAUUGUUCGUCAGAGUAGCCCCGCUCACAGGUCGUGUGGCGGAUGGACUCGCAAACGUAGUAUCCACAGAAAUUAUUCCCUUGUUCCUGCCACAACCACUUUACAAGAAAUAGAGGUCAAUCAAACUGAUAAGCAAACAUGCUAAAUGGUAUUGAUAAAACUAGCGCUUGAAUCACUAGGAGAUGCGCGGAACAUGCUACUAUAGUACUUACUUUCGGGUGUCUAAAUUGCAGCUUCUUUGGCAGUCCCGGAGCUUUUUUGGUGAAUUUUCUCCAAACCCUGCCAGACAAAGAAAACAAUUACUUGAUAUCAGGAAAUGAACAAAGUUGCUGAUAUGGUGGAUAAUGAUCGAUUUAACUUACUUCUCGAGCAUUUGAGUCAUGUCCGCAUAGUCCUGGGGAACUUUUCGUCUCGAGUCUAAGACGGUUACUACUCCCUGCUCAAGCUUAAUCUCUAGGAUAAUAUAGUGAAAGCUGCGCACGCAUGCAUAAGUCAUCAAUUACAUUACUAUAACCUGGACUAAUAAGGGAAACCGAAUAUGCACAAGACAGUAACACUCACUUGAAGUUGUAAGGAAAGAGUAUUAUAUCUUUGUUUUCAUUUAUUACCAACGAUCGUAGCAAGUUGGCCUCGGUAUUUUCGGCAUGAUAUUUAACCUUAGUUGCAUCUCUGAGAUUUGUGUUAAUGGACCCAAUAUCACCGAUUUGUCUUUUCUUCAAUUCGGCGAUCUUCAAUCUGCAUAAUAUAGUGAGGAUAAUUAUAAAUACAUGCAAUGAAAGAGCUGACCUAUAUAAAGAGACUUAAUGACAGAAGUAGUACUACUUACAGACAGUAGCAAGUGACCCUUGAUUUAUUGAGGGCCUUUUGAUUGAAAAACUAGAAGAACUCCUCAAAUGGAACAUUCAACAGUUCAAUUCCAACGAGGUCAUGCUCCUCUUUAACUCUCAGCGUUAAAGUAUUCCUCCCCCCAGACUCUCUGCAGGUUUUCAUGUACCAAUCAUGGAAUCUUCGCAUCAUCGUUGUUAGAGAUCUUUCAUCUUUGACGAGAGGCUUCCCGUACUCGUAUCUGUGUUCCUCCACCUCCAAGAAAUCAUAAUGUACAUCGUCGGGCAGGUAAUCUCCAAGAGUGCUAUAACCGGGCACCAUCCUCGGAUCAUUAGCGACGAUGUCGCUAGACACCUUGAGCGGGGGGCACGAUUGGUUCGCUUGUUCGCCGAGCUGGGCAAUUUUUUCCCAGCUCGUCGUUCUUUUAACCUUUGAUCACUGACAGUACUUCCCGACCGCUCCGCUUCGACAAAUGUCUUUGCAGUAAUGCCCUCAUAGUUGCCUUUCGGCAGAGACUUUGGUGGUUUUGUCAGGGCAGCCAGAGUGCGCUUCGCUUUCACCGGAUCUACGUUCUCCUCCGGAGGUGGAUGUUUCUUUGCUUUCACCCCUUCAAAGAAGUUCGUCACUUCGACUCGCACGAUCUUCGCGUUCUCCUCCGGGGUCCUCUCAUAUGGUAACUUCUCUGGAGUCUUCAGAGAAGUACCGAAUCUGUAUUGCCUCCCGCCUCUGGCUGUACUGCUAGACGCCGGCAGAGUAGACGGAGCGGCUGCGGCUGUCUUCUUUCCUUGCUUACGAGGCGGAGGAGAAGGACUACGAUGCGCCGGAGCAGCCGGAGCGGCGGCGGGUCUCUUCCGCCCUUGCUGACGAGGCAGAGAAGGAGGAGGCUGGCUGCUCGGGCGUGCCAGCGCAGGCGGAGAAGGAGGCGGAGUGCCGCCACGCGCCGGAGAAGGAGGCUGAGUGCCCUGAUCACUCCCUAGAGGAGGAGGCGGAGGCGGAGUGCCCUUACUCGCCGGAGGAGGAGGAGGAGGCGGAGGCGUCCAGUUCGGAAGGUUGAUGAGCUCCUUCUGCCAUAGGCAUGGAGUCUUCAGAGCAGAACCCAGCCGAGUCUCCCCUUCACCGGUAAGGUGGUCAAGCUGGAGGUCCUCAAAUCCCUCCAUUAUUUCGUCCACUGUCACCCUAGCAUAUCCUUCUGGAAUCGGACGACAGUGAAAUGUUGCGCCGGGUUCAGGAGGUCGAAUAGAGCCGACAGCCGCCUUGACUUUGAAGUUCUGCCAUUGCGUCAUAAGGUGGCAAUGUUGAGACUCCGUGAUAGCAUCCACGGGGUAGCUAGCAGGAGCCGUCAAGACAUGCUCCGGCUGAAGCAGCUUGGUGGAAGCCAUGCUGCUUCUCUGCUGAGAUGGCGGGGUAGCUUCGGGGGUAGUUUCGGCAGGUCGCUUGCUGCGAGCUACGUCUCGUUCCUCUAGCGCUUGAACCCUUUCGUGCAGCUUCUGAAUUUGGGUGUGCUCCACUUUUUUCCUCCUCUCCUGGCAUUUGUAACCGCCUGCGUCCGGAAAACUAGCCUUCCACGGAACGGAGCCUGGCGUGCCUCGUGUCCGUCCAGGGUGCUCAGGAUUCCCGAGGGCCAUUGUGAGCUCGUCGUUCUCUCUGUCUGGAACGAACGUCCCUUGCUGCGCUGCAUCGAUAUAGUGCUGAAGCCUCUUGACUGGUAUUCUCAUUUGCUCGUCCAUCCAAACGCACUUCCCUGAUAGAGGGUCCAAGGUUCCGCCAGCCCCGAAGAACCAAGUCUGGCAACGGUCUGGCCAGUUCAUUGUCUCUGGUUCGAUCCCUUUAUCAAGCAGAUCAUUCUCAGCCUUGGCCCACUUAGGCCGGGCUUUGAGGUAGCCACCUGACCCCGUGCGAUGGUGAAGCUUCUUCUUCGCAGCAUUUUUCUUGUUUGUCGCUGACAUCUUCUUACUCUUUUCCGAUGUCUUGUGGGCCACAAAUGCGGGCCAGUGAUCUCUGAUCUUCUCAUAUUUGCCGAUGAAUUCUGGUGUCUCUUCUUUGUCGACAAACGUUUUCAGCUCAUUCUUCCACCUCCUGAAUAGGUCUGCCAUCUUCUUAAGAGCAUGAGACUUGAUUAAUUGUUCUUUAACUAGCUACUCCGGAUCCUCCUCUGGCGGUAGGGUGAAAUUUGCCUUCAGCUCAGUCCAAAGAUCAUCUUUCUGCAUAUCAUUGACAUAAGACCAGGGUCUUCCUUCUUAGGCUUAUACCAUUGGCGGAUGCUGAUCGGGAUCUUGUCCCUAACAAGAACCCCGCACUGAGCAGCAAAUGCUUCCUUUGUCCGGAUGGGUUCAAUCGGUUGGCCGUCACGCGCGAUUGCUGUGAUCUCAAACCUUUCAUCUGAGCGCAACUUUUUCUUCGGGCCUCGUCUCUUUACCGAAGUUGUGCUCGAUCCGGAGGGCUAGAAAAAAGAAGAAAGACGAGAGUUAAUUAAUAUGUGUACAUACCAAAACAAUGAAUGCAUCAAUUAGCUAGUCAGCACAGGCUUAACUAAUAUAUUUACCUGGCCGGACUCUGUUCGGUCACUGGAGCCGUCACCACGGGCUCCUUCUUGCACCAGCAUUGGGUCACCGGAGCCAUCAUAAUCAUGUCUUUCCUCCUCUACUCUUCGAUCAUCGUAGCCUGCUUCUUCACCCUGUUCUUCCAGACCAUCAUUGUCGUUAAGAUACGACAAGACAUCACCUCCGGCUAAGAUUAUGUCCCCCAACACCUCUUCUGCUUCCUCGUCUUGUCCGUGCUCCAUUGUUUCUGCAAAUAUUACAAUAUGGCAAUUAUUACACAAACAUGACAGCAGGUGGAUAUAUUAGUGCAAACGUAGACCUAGCUUAUUCCGGGUUUGGAUGGCCUCGGCAACGCUUCAAGGGUAGGGGCGCGGCGGGAGGGGGUAGGAGACCGACAUCAUUUUUUUCUAGGGUUUGGGUGUCCUCGAGAGUUUUGAUCCCCAACGACGACAUACAUACAGCUUCUCUUCUUCUUUUUCUUCUAUUUUCUUCUUCUUAUUUUCCUUUUUCCUCUCCUUCUUUUUCUUCUUCUUCAUUAUCUUCCUAGCUGGAUAUAUAAUACUUUUCUAAAAAUGUAACUUUUGCACAUAUAAAACUUUUUCUUCUUCUUCCUUCUUCCUUCUCUUCCUUCUUUUCCUAAAUAUAUAAAACUUUUCUAAAAAUGAAACUAACCUAAAAUGUACUAAAUCAGAGAACAUAUAUAGAUAAAACUAACCUAAAAUGUACCCAAAUGUACUAAAAAUCUAACUUUUAUAUGCACAGAGAACAUACAUACAUAUAUACAUUUUUAUAAAAAUGCAAAAAACAAAUCAUCAUAUAUAUGAANNNNNNNNNNNNNNNNNNNNNNNNNNNNNNNNNNNNNNNNNNNNNNNNNNNNNNNNNNNNNNNNNNNNNNNNNNNNNNNNNNNNNNNNNNNNNNNNNNNNNNNNNNNNNNNNNNNNNNNNNNNNNNNNNNNNNNNNNNNNNNNNNNNNNNNNNNNNNNNNNNNNNNNNNNNNNNNNNNNNNNNNNNNNNNNNNNNNNNNNNNNNNNNNNNNNNNNNNNNNNNNNNNNNNNNNNNNNNNNNNNNNNNNNNNNNNNNNNNNNNNNNNNNNNNNNNNNNNNNNNNNNNNNNNNNNNNNNNNNNNNNNNNNNNNNNNNNNNNNNNNNNNNNNNNNNNNNNNNNNNNNNNNNNNNNNNNNNNNNNNNNNNNNNNNNNNNNNNNNNNNNNNNNNNNNNNNNNNNNNNNNNNNNNNNNNNNNNNNNNNNNNNNNNNNNNNNNNNNNNNNNNNNNNNNNNNNNNNNNNNNNNNNNNNNNNNNNNNNNNNNNNNNNNNNNNNNNNNNNNNNNNNNNNNNNNNNNNNNNNNNNNNNNNNNNNNNNNNNNNNNNNNNNNNNNNNNNNNNNNNNNNNNNNNNNNNNNNNNNNNNNNNNNNNNNNNNNNNNNNNNNNNNNNNNNNNNNNNNNNNNNNNNNNNNNNNNNNNNNNNNNNNNNNNNNNNNNNNNNNNNNNNNNNNNNNNNNNNNNNNNNNNNNNNNNNNNNNNNNNNNNNNNNNNNNNNNNNNNNNNNNNNNNNNNNNNNNNNNNNNNNNNNNNNNNNNNNNNNNNNNNNNNNNNNNNNNNNNNNNNNNNNNNNNNNNNNNNNNNNNNNNNNNNNNNNNNNNNNNNNNNNNNNNNNNNNNNNNNNNNNNNNNNNNNNNNNNNNNNNNNNNNNNNNNNNNNNNNNNNNNNNNNNNNNNNNNNNNNNNNNNNNNNNNNNNNNNNNNNNNNNNNNNNNNNNNNNNNNNNNNNNNNNNNNNNNNNNNNNNNNNNNNNNNNNNNNNNNNNNNNNNNNNNNNNNNNNNNNNNNNNNNNNNNNNNNNNNNNNNNNNNNNNNNNNNNNNNNNNNNNNNNNNNNNNNNNNNNNNNNNNNNNNNNNNNNNNNNNNNNNNNNNNNNNNNNNNNNNNNNNNNNNNNNNNNNNNNNNNNNNNNNNNNNNNNNNNNNNNNNNNNNNNNNNNNNNNNNNNNNNNNNNNNNNNNNNNNNNNNNNNNNNNNNNNNNNNNNNNNNNNNNNNNNNNNNNNNNNNNNNNNNNNNNNNNNNNNNNNNNNNNNNNNNNNNNNNNNUUUGCUUUUAAUGUUUUGAACAGAAAAUACUUUGAUAAUUUUAGUUGCAUAAAUUCUAUAUAAUUUUAGUUUCAAUAAUAUUAGAGGUUUAUAAAAGCUUUUUAGUUGAUUCCUUUAGUACCGGUUCUUUCUGCCUUUUCUGACUUCAUUUGUUAUUUUUCAUGCAUUUAUUGAUUAUUUUGAGCUAUAAGACUCUGAAAUUGAAAAGCAUUUCAAAUGAACUCUGAAAAGGUUGAAAGUUGGCAUGGUAUCAUCAUUUCAUCCACAUAGCAUGUGCAAGAAAGUUGAGAGGGUGACGGCAAAAACUGGAUGCACUUCGUGUAGAAAACGGACAAUGGUAUCAUACUCGUCUGUUACAAAGUUGGCAUGGUAUGAUCAUAAUAGUUGCGGGACUUCACUUUUUCUUCGCUUGUGUCAUUUGCUUAUUGCGCCGUAACCAUGGAUAAUCUUCAUCGUUUAUCAGGAUGCUUGGGUCAGCCUUGACUUUGAAGGGAGGAAUUUCAUGAAACUUUUCAUAAUCUUCAGACAUGUCUGUCUUGCCCUCCACUCCCACGAUGUCCCUUUUUCCUGAAAGAACUAUGUGGCGCUUUGGCUCAUCGUAUGAUGUAUUCGCUUCCUUAUCUUUUCUUUUUCUCGGUUUGGUAGACAUGUCCUUCACAUAGAUAACCUGUGCCACAUCAUUGGCUAGGACGAACGGUUCGUCAGUGUACCCAAGAUUUUUCAGAUCCACUGUUGUCAUUCCGUCCUAUGUGUCUACCUGUACCCCGCAUCCUAACAGAUUGACCCAUUUGCACUUAAACAAAGGGACCUUAAAAUCAUGUCCGUAGUCAAGUUCCCAUAUGUCCACUAUGUAACCAUAAUAUGUGUCCUUUCCCCUCUCGGUUGCUGCAUCAAAGCGGACACCGCUGUUUUGGUUGGUGCUCUUUUGAUCUUGGGCGAUUGUGUAAAAUGUAUUCCCAUUUAUCUCGUAUCCUUUGUAAGUCAAUACAGUCAAAGAUGGUCCCCUGGACAACGAGUACAGCUCAUCACAAACAGUGUUGUCACCUCUGAGACGUGUUUCCAACCAACUGCUGAAUGUCCUGAUGUGUUCACAUGUAAUCCAGUCGUCGCACUGCUCCAGGUGUUUGGAGCGCAGACUGUUCUUGUGUUCAUCGACAUACGAGGUCACCAAGGUAGAGUUCUGUAGAACUGUGUAGUGUGCUUGAGACCAAGAAUGCCCGUCCCUGCAUAUUAUUGAGUCCGUUCCUAGCGUGCCUUUUCCACUCAGUCUCCCCCCAUACCGCGACUUAGGGAGACCUAUCUUCUUAAGGCCAGGAAUGAAGUCAACACAAAACCCAAUGACAUCCUCUGUUUGAUGGCCCAUGGAGAUGCUUCCUUCUGGCCUAGCGCGGUUACAGACAUAUUUUCUUUAGGACUCCCAUGAACCUCUCAAAGGGGAACAUAUUGUGUAGAAAUACGGGGCCCAGAAUGACAAUCUCGUCGACUAGAUGAACUAGGACGUGCGUCAUGAUAUUGAAGAAGGAUGGUGGGAACACCAGCUCGAAACUGACAAAACAUUGCGCCACAUCACUCCUUAGCCUUGGCAUAAUUUCUGGAUCGAUCACCUUCUGAGAGAUUGCAUUGAGGAAUGCACAUAACUUCACCAUGGCUAAUCGGACGUUUUCCGGUAGAAGCCCCUUCAAUGCAACCGGAAGCAGUUGCGUCAUAAUCACGUGGCAGUCAUGAGACUUUAGGUUCUGGAACUUUUUCUCUGGCAUAUUUAUUAUUCCCUUUAUAUUCGACGAGAAGCCAAUCGGGACCAUCAUACUGAGCAGGCAUUCAAAGAAGAUUUCUUUCUCUUCUUUCGUAAGAGCGUAGCUGGCAGGACCUUCAUACUGCUUCGAAGGCAUGCCGUCUUUUUCGUGCAAACGUUGCAGGUCCUCCCGUGCCUCAGGUGUAUCUUUUGUCUUCCCAUACACGCCCAAGAAGCCUAGCAGGUUCACGCAAAGGUUCUUCGUCACGUGCAUCACGUUGAUUGAAGAGCGGACCUCUAGGGCUUUCCAGUAGGGUAGGUCCCAAAAUAUAAAUUUCUUCUUCCACAUGGGUGCGUGUCCCUCAGCGUCAUUCGGAACAGCUAGUCCGCCGGGAGCCUUUCCAAAGAUUACGUGUAAAUCAUUGACCAUAGCAAGUACGUGAUCACCGGUACGCAUGGCGGGCUUCUUCCUGUGAUAUGCCUCGCCUUUGAAAUGCUUGCCUUUCUUUCGACAUUGAUGGUUGGUCGGAAGAAAUCGACGAUGGCCCAGGUAAACAUUCUUCCUCCAUUUGUCCAGGUAUAUACUUUCAGUGUCAUCUAAAUAGUGCGUGCAUGCGUGGUAUCCCUUGUUUGUCUGUCCUGAAAGGUUACUGAGAGCGGGCCAAUCGUUGAUGGUUACAAACAGCAACGCGUGCAGGUUAAAUUCCUCCUAUUUGUGCUCAUCCCAUGUACGUACACCGUUUCCAUUCCACAGCUGUAAAAGUUCUUCAACUAAUGGCCUUAGGUACACAUCAAUGUCGUUGCCGGGUUGCUUAGGGCCUUGGAUGAGAACUGACAUCAUAAUGAACUUCCGCUUCAUGCACAUCCAAGGAGGAAGGUUAUACAUACAUAGAGUCACGGGCCAGGUGCUGUGAUUGCUGCUCUGCUCCCCGAAAGGAUUAAUGCCAUCCGCGCUUAAACCAAACCAUACGUUCCUUGGGUCACCUGCAAACUCAGCCCAGUACUUUCUCUCGAUUUUUCUCCAGUGCGACCCGUCAGCGGGUGCUCUCAACUUCCCGUCUUUCUUACGGCCCUCACUGUGCCAUCGCAUCAAUUUGGCAUGCUCUUCGUUUCUGAACAGACGUUUCAACCGUGGUAUUAUAGGAGCAUACCACAUCACCUUCGCAGGAACCCUCUUCCUGGGGGGCUCGCCGUCAACAUCACCAGGGUCAUCUCGUCUGAUCUUAUACCGCAAUGCAACGCAUACCGGGCAUGCAUUCAGAUCCUUGUACGCACCGCGGUAGAGGAUGCAGUCAUUAGGGCAUGCAUGUAUCUUCUGCACCUCCAAUCCUAGAGGGCAUACGACCUUCUUUGCUGCGUAUGUACUGUCGGGCAAUUCUUUAUCCUUUGGAAGCUUCUUCUUCAAUAUUUUCAGUAGCUUCUCAAAUCCUUUGUCAGGCACAACAUUCUCUGCCUUCCACUGCAGCAAUUCCAGUACGGUACCGAGCUUUGUGUUGCCAUCUUCGCAAUUGGGGUUCAACCCUUUUUUGUGAUCCUCUAACAUGCGAUCGAACUUCAGCUUCUCCUUUUGACCUUCGCAUUGCGUCCUUGCAUCGACAAUGACCCGGCGGAGAUCAUCAUCAUCGGGCACAUCGUCUGGUUCCUCUUGAUCGUCAGCAGCUUCCCCCGUUGCAGCAUCAUUGGGCACAUCUUCUGGUUUCUCUUGAUCUUCAGCAGCUUCCCCCGUUGCAACAUCACCGUAUUCAGGGGGCACAUAGUUGUCAUCGUCCUCUUCUUCUUCGCCGUCUUCCAUCAUAACCCCUAUUUCUCCGUGCCUCGUCCAAACAUUAUAGUGUGCCAUGAAACCCUUGUAAAGCAGGUGGGUGUGAAGGAUUUUCCGGUCAGAGUAAGAGUUCGUAUUUCCACAUUUAGGGCAUGGACAACACAUAAAACCAUUCUGCUUGUUUGCCUCAGCCACUUCGUGAAAAUCAUGCACGCCCUUAAUGUACUCGGAGGUGUGUCUGUCACCGUACAUCCAUUGCCGGUUCAUCAGAGCUUCGAGAGGAAAAAAGCUUAACUAGUGUGGCUCGGGCAUUUCAUCGAACACCUCAUGUGCAUAGGAGGUGAGCUAGAGCACCACAAAGCCCUCCCCUCGCCGGCCAGAGAAAAACAGAGCACUGGAGUGCUCUGCUCGCGGGCGAGGGGUAUAUAUAGGCACCUCAUUGGUCCCGGUUCGUGGCAUGAACCGGGACUAAAGGGCAGCCUGCGGUCCCGGUUCAAGCCACCAACCGGGACCAAUGGUGGUGGGCCAGGAGCGAGGCCCAUUGGUCCCGGUUCGUCCCACCAACCGGGACUAAAGGGGCCAGACGAACCGGGACCAAUGCCCCCACGAGGCCCGGCAGGCCCCUGGCCUCACGAACCGGGACCAGUGCCCCCAUGGGUCCCGGUUCUGGACUGAACCGGGACUAAUGGGCUGACCCGGCCUGAACCAAAGCCCUCUUUUCUACUAGUGCUCUAUGUACUAGCACUGCAGUUUCCCUGAUUUUGUCAGUGUUAGAUCAUCUCACCGAAUUUCUGUGUGCUAGCUCUAUAGUGGUGAUGUAUUAGAGUGUAAGCGUAGGAAUUACAGUGUAAUCUAGCCCAUAAUUACAGUGUAAUUUAGCCCAUAAUUUCAGUGUAUUAUACUCCCAGAGUUAUAGUGUAAUUUAGCCCAUAAUUACAGUGUAUUAUACUCCCAGAAUUACAGUGUAAUUUAGCCCAGAAUUUCAGUGUAAUGUCCAUGCUUCCUUUUUGUAAUUGCAGUGUAGUUUACCCUAGAAUUGAAGUGUAAUUUAGCCUGGAAUUUUUAAGUGUAAUCCCAGUGCUUCAUUUUUAUAUUUACAGUGUAAUUUUUACCAGAAUUACAAUUUAACCCUUAUGCUUCAUUUAUUUAAGUGCAGUGUAAUCUUCCCCAGAAUCACAGUGUAAUUUUUUUUCUAGAAUUUCAGUGUAAUUUUCAUGCUUAACCUCUGUAUUUCUUGAUAUUGGAGCUUCAUUCAUGUUCAGUUUUGCUUGAAUUACAGUGGAUUUUAUCUCUGACUAGUGUGAUUAUUCUUUGUAGUUCCUGUUUUAUUUUCAUUUGUAACUUCCUAGUGUGAUUAUUCAUUCCUUCACUGCCCGUGUGUACUAGCAGUGUAAUAUACCCCAGAUUUUCACUGCAUUUUGUAUGCUUCAGGACUGUAAUUGUUGCAUAGUUACACUGUAUUAUUUCAUAGUUUUACAUUGUAAUUGUUGUAGGGUUUUCAUUUUUUGUCAGAUAUAAUAUGUUCAAAUGCUUCAUCAUUGUAAUACACGCCAGAUUUUCUCAGUAACUUGUAUCCUUCAGAACUGUAAUUGUUAUAUCCUUCAGAUAGAUUACAUUGGCUUUUCGUCUGGUCUUACACUGUAGUAUACCAUAGUUUUACCCUAUAAUUUGUAUGGUUCGGCAUUGUAUUUGUUGUAGGUAUUUUGUGAGGUAGAUUACAGUGGAUUUACCUUUGAAUUGGAAGGCUUACACUAUAAUUUACUGCAGAUUUACACUGUAAUUUGAAUGCUUCAACACUGUAAUUGUUGUAGGGCUUACAACGUAUUUGUCAGAUAAAUCACAGUUGAUUUACCUCUGAUUUUGUAGUGUAAUUAGCAUGCUUUUAGGACUGCAAUUCAUGUAGUUUCUUGCCUUUUAUUUUCUUCUUUUCUUGUGCUAGCGUGUCUCUGUUGCAUUGAGCGAGGUCCUAUUUUAGGUUGAUGAUUGUUUUGGUGUUCUUUCUUGAUUUCUCUAGUUGAUAGUGUUGCAUUAGCUGUUCAUGUGUAUUCUUUAAUGAAGUGUAUGAAGAUUUGUUCUACUAUUUUACUUCUUUUCUUUUUCCUCCUUAAUCUAUUCUGCUUAUAGGUUUAGUUUAAUGAGUAGGCUACGGAAAGUCUCUCAUUAGGAUGUUCGGUUAGUAUCAUCUCUUGAGAAUGUAGAUUCUGUGGGUGAACCUAUCGUGCCUAACGACUUUGCGGAAGGUGGUCCUUAUCCUAUGUCUAUGGUAGUUAUUUCUUUCUUCUUAUCUAGCUUUAUUUUACUGUUCUUAGUUAUUGAGAUUGUUUUAUUUAAUUUUAGUCUGUUGACUUUUUCAUUUUUUUGCAGGAACUAUCUGAUGAUAAGGAGGGUUUGAAAAAAUCUCUUUUGGAGUUCUAUCUGAAUCAAGUGUGUUUUUCUUUUCUUGUACUAUUUUGAUUUUGUUUUGGGUAUUUUCUUUGGGUGACCCUUGUGUUUUUGUCAUUUCAGAAAGUAAAAUGCUUGAAGAGGAAAUUAUCAUCUGCUUCCAUGUUCAUAGGCCCAUCUCCUGAGUGUGCCUGCAAGCAAAAGGGCAAUUUAUUUUCUAUAGUUGUACUUUUCUCAGAUUGGUAGCUCUGUGGUAUUUGAAUUUUGCCUUUACCUUGAAUAUAAUUUCGGAAUGUUUAAGCGCAGUGAAAGAAAAUGUGUCCUGCAACAUAUUUUUUGUGAGUUAUUAUUAUUAUUUAUGUAUUUAGAAUGUUCCUAUAGUGUCUUGCAGCAUAUCCCGAAACAAAUGUGUAACCACAUUUAGAAUGAGUUCUUCCUGUGACAAUCUCAGUAGAUCCUCUUCAGUUACUAUCUUUAUCGUGCUCCUCAUCUUGCAUAUUUGAACAAAAAAUGUCAGUGUCAACGUAAUAUUGAGCAACAAACCGUUUAGAUAUAGAUGAAUUUUGCUCGGUACUUAAACCGUUGUACAUUUGUGCAUUUUUGCCGCCAAUAGUUGGGGUAUUCCCUAUGUAUCCUCGGAACUGACACUGUAAAUUAUAGUGAAGUAGCUCUGAAGUUUCAUUGUAAUUUAUUGGGUUUUUACAGCAUAACUUCAUCACUGCAAAUCCCUGCAUAAUUUCAUUCUAAUUCCUUGUGUAUUUUAUCUGUAUUUUUUGAGGGUAUUGCACUGUAAGCACUUUCACUGUAAUUCUUGGGUAUUACAGUGUAAGCCAUGGGUACUUGCUGACUUGCUGUGUAAUUCCUAUUUGUAUGUAUACUAUAUUUAAUAUAGGUUUUACAAUGUAAUUCUUGCUCACUUGCACCGUAAUUACAAGCUUUGGAUUCUUGGGUUUCACACUGUAAUUCCUGCUCACUUACAAUGUAAUUUAGUGUAAGCUCAUCAGUUUUUACAAGUGUAAUUCCUUGUGUGCUUGCUGUGUAAUUACUGUGUAUGUACUACGUAAUUUAUAGGGGGAUUUACACUGUAAAUCUUGAUCACUUUCAGUGUAAGUCUUGGGUAUUUUUGUCAUCCGUUUUUACUUGCAUUGUCAUUAGUUUCUGCUACUGAAUGUUUCUGAAAAUUGCCCCAGAUUUUACAUUGGAACUACCUCAAUAUUUUAGAGUAAUUUCCACAUUCAUGUCACUAUAACUUCUGCAUGUAGCAUGCAAAGGCUAUGUAAUUUCCCAGGUUUACAAUUGCUAUUGAUCUGUGUCUUGUAUUUACACUGUUUUUACCCACUUACAUUGAAACUACGGCAGAAUUUCAGUGCAAUUGCUACAUGUAGCUUGCAAAGUUCAUGUAAUUUCCCAGAUUUACAGUUUGUUGUUGACCUGUCUCUUUUGUAGAUGAAGAAACUUCCUCCUGAUUUGUUCAUGCAAGAGGUGAAGACAGUGAAGGGGGUGAAAAAUUGGAGUAGGAGUGUUGCUGACCUGUGGAUCGUCCUAUUUCAAUUGGAGGAGAGUUGUCUCCAGGCGAACCGGGUCAGAGAUUAGCCAGAACCGUUUUAUUUCAAAUAUAAAACAUAAUUGUCGUGGUGGAUGUUUUUGGACGCACAGGUGUCAGCUGUUUAUUUGUCUGGAAAUUUGAAUGUUCUUGAAUUGAAAAACAGUCAAAUGCUAAAUAGACAAUCCCUUCUUUUAUCCUUCCAAUCAGAAGGGAAAAGUUUUCUCCACAAGUAAAUAUAAAUAUAUUAAAGAAUUGCGUGGGAAAUUAAUUUUCUAUGGCGUAAGCUUUUAAUAAUGUUAUCAUCACCGCAUCAAAAUGAUACGUUCAAUAAAAUGUUUCAAUAUCUCGUCUCUGCAUUCCAAAGACGCACACGACCCAAACAUGUGAAGUUGAAAAUAUACAUCGUUGGGAAAAAGUUUACAGAAAUAUGGAAACACUUAAAGUGCCAUUGCAUGUGACUUCAAUUUGAGCGCCAUCACGGGCAUCAUGUCGCCACCACAUCCUCUAGGCCACACAUGCUAAUACGCCCUAGCCGAAUAUAUAAUUUAUGAAGUAAUCUUCAUCAUGCUAUUUCUUAGUAUUUAUUCCUCAUUUUAUUUUUUAUUGGGCCAACCUAUGGAUAAAGCGUCAGAAAUGCCAGUUGCAUGUCCUAUGUUUAUGUUGAUAACUCAUCAAUCUUUGGUAUAUAGCUUAUCUCUAUGUAAUUUACAAUUUUGCCAAAGAUUGCCUUUACUUGCCGUGAUGAAAAAGGGUUUCCCCUUUAUAUUAUAAAGCAACCAUCACUUACAUCCAAGCAACCGAUACAAACGCACGUCACACACAUACCCAAGGCAAGGUACAAGAAUGCCAGGCACCGAGACACAACCUCAACGACUAUCAAGACCUACUCACUAGUAGAAAAAGGGCCAUUUGUCCCGGUUCGUAAGGCCCAUUUGUCCCGGUUGGGGAACCGGGACUAAAGGGUCGGUACUAAAGCCCUAUACCUUUAGUCCCAGUUCUUAUAGCAACCGGGACAGAUGGGGCUCCACGUGGCCGCUGCGGCUUGCCCUGGCAGGGGGGCCUUUUUUCCCGGUUGGUAGCACCAACCGGGACCAAUAAGCUACCACGCGUCAGCAGUUCAGGGGCUAGGGUAUUUGUUUNNNNNNNNNNNNNNNNNNNNNNNNNNNNNNNNNNNNNNNNNNNNNNNNNNNNNNNNNNNNNNNNNNNNNNNNNNNNNNNNNNNNNNNNNNNNNNNNNNNNNNNNNNNNNNNNNNNNNNNNNNNNNNNNNNNNNNNNNNNNNNNNNNNNNNNNNNNNNNNNNNNNNNNNNNNNNNNNNNNNNNNNNNNNNNNNNNNNNNNNNNNNGGGGGGGGUUGGGGUUUUUGGGGGUUUUGUAUGGUUAAUUUAGGUGUUUCAUAUAUUGUGUUAGGUAGCUAAUUAAUUAAUAGAGAGAAGUGUCCUCUCUUAUCUCCGUGCUUGGUCGACGCUACAUACUAUACGUAUAGCGAGGCCCUCAACACGCUAGCUAGUAAGCAAAUGAAGGAAACCAUUAAGUACAGAAGUUCGUCAUGAACAUAUGAUACAGAGAGAAGUGAUAUCAACCUCUCAUUCUCCGAGAGAUUGGGCGAACAACAAGUUUUCGUAUAUCUAUCCGACGCUACUGGCUACAUAUAUACAAUAUAAGAUCUCUUAGAAUCCCCUAACAUCUGAACUCAACUUCCACAUGGUAUUCUCCGGCUUUAUUGAUGACGUGAUCAAGAAAGAAUCCCGCCAAUUCCUCUUUAAUUGCUUUCAUGCAAUCUUGUGGUAGGAGUUCAUCCCGCAUCUGCCACGUCUAAUUUGAAGAAGGGGGUUAAUACAUAUAUAUGAAUGAAACUCAACAGAAAUGAUGGCGUAAUAAUGCUUACGCACUUCAUAUUGUCUUUUAGAGUAGCCCCGCUUAUUUUUGCAAGUCGCGUUGUAGAUGAACUCGCACACGUAGUAUCCACAGUAAUCAUUCCCGGGUUCCCGCCACAAGCACUUUACGAGAAAUAGAGGUCAAUCAAACUGAUAAUGGAGCAUUAUAAAUGGCAUUGAUGAAAGUAGCUAGAAUCAACGGGAUCGAGAUGCGCGAAACUAGCUAGCUAGUAGUACUUACUUUCUGGUAUGUAAAUCGUAGCUCCCCUGGCAGUCCCAAAGCUUGUGCGGUGAAUACUUUCCAAACCCUGCGAGACAAAGAAAACAAAUACUUGAUGUCAGGAAAUGAACAAAGUUGCCGAUAUGGUGCGAUAAUGAUCGAUUGAACUUACUUCUUGAGCAUUUUAGUCAUGUCCGCAUAUUCCUCGGGAUCUUUUCGUCUCGAGUCUAAGACGGUUACAAGUCCCUGCUCAAGCUUAAUUUCUAGGAGAAUAUAGUGGAAGCUGCGCACGCAUGCAUAACUCAUCAAUUACAUUACUAUAACCUCGAGUAAUAAGGGAAAACGAAUAUGCACAAGACAGUAACACUCACUUGAAGUUGUAAGGAAAGAGUAUUUUAUCUUUGUUUUGAUUUUGAAGCAACGAUUUGAGCAAGUUGACCUCGGUGUCUUUGGCAUGAAAUUUAACCGUAAAUUCAUCUAUGAGAUUUGUGUUAAUGAACCCAAUAUCAUAGAUUUCUGCUUUUCUGCAUUCGACGAUCUUCAAUCUGCAUAAUAUAAUGAGGAUAAUUAUAUAUACAUUCAAUGAAAGAGCUGAGCUAUAUAUAGAGACUUAAUGACAGAAAAAGUACUUACAGACAGUAGCAAGUGACCGUUAAUUUAUCUAGAGCCUUUUGAUUGAAAAACUGGAAGAACUCCUCAAAUGGAAGAGUCAACAGUUCAAUUCCAACGAGGUCGUGCUCCUCUUUAAGUCUCAGCGUCAAAGUAUCCUUCCCCCAGACUCUCUGCAGGUUUUCAUGUACCAAUCAUGGAAUCUUCGCAUCAUCGUUGUUAGAGGAGUUCCAUCUUUGACGAGAGGCUUCCCGUAAUGGUACUUGUGUUCGUCCACCUCCAUUUUAUCAUAAUGUACAUCGUCGGGCAGGUAAUCUCCAAGAUUGCACGUACCGGGCAAAAUCUCCGGAUGAUUAGCGACGAUAUCUCUAGACACCUUGAGCGGGGGGCACGAUUGGUUCGCUUGUUCGCCGAGCUGGGCAAUUUUUUCCCAGCUCGUCGUUCUGCUAACCUUCGAUCACUGAUAGUACUUCCCGACCGCUCCGCUUUGAUAUAUGACCUUUCAAUAAUGCGCUCGUAGUUGUUUUUCGGCGGAGACGGUGGUGGUUUCUUCAGGGCAUCGAUAGUGCGCCUUGCUUUCACAGGAUCUAUCUUCUCCUCCGGAGGUGGAUGUCUCUUAGCCCUUUGCGUUUCAAAGAAGUCCCUCACUUGGGCUUCACAGAUAUUUGCAUUUUCCUCCUUGGUCAUCUCGUAUGGUAACCUCUCUAGAGGCUUGAGAGAUGGACUGAAUCUGUAUUGCCUCCCGGCUUUGGCUGUACUGCUAGACACCGGAGCAGACGGAGCGACUGUGGCUGUCUUCUUUCUUUGCUUAAUAGGUGGAGGAGAAGGACUACGACGCGCCGGAGCAGUCGGAGUGGCGGCGGCUCUCUUCCUCCCUUGGUGACGAGGCGGACAAGGAGGCGGGCUGCUCGGGCGCGCCGGCGCAGGCGGAGAAGGAGGCGGAGUGCCGCCACGCGCCGGAGAAGGAGGCGGAGUGCCCUGAUCACUCGCUGGAGGAGGAGGUGGAGGAGGAGGCGGAGUGCCUUGACUCGCCGGAGGAGGAGGAGGAGGAGGCAGAGGCGUCCAGUUAGGAAGGUUGAUGAACUCCUUCCGCCAUAGGCAUGGAGUCUUCAGAGCAGAACCCAACCGAAUCUCCCCUUCACCGGUAGGGUGGUCAAUCUCGAGCUCCUGAAAUCCCUCCGUUAUUUCGUCCACCGUCACCCUAGCAUAUCUUCUGGAAUUGGACAGAAGUGAAAAGUUGUGCCGGGUUCAGGAGGUCGAACAGAGACGACGACCGCCUUGACUUUGAAGUUCUGCCAUUGCAUCAUAAGGUGGCAAUGUUGAGACUCCGUGAUAGCAUCCACGGGGUAGCUACCAGGAGCCGUGAAGACAGGCUCCAGCUGAAGUAGCUCGGUGGAAGCCACGCUGCUUUUCCGCUGAGAUGGCGGCGUAGCUUCAGGGGUAGCUUCAGCAGGUCGCUUGCUGUGAACUGCUUCUCGUUCCUCUAGCGCUUGUACCCUUGCGUGCAGCUUCUGCAGUGGGGUAUGCUCCACUUUCCUCCUCCUCUCCUGGCAUUUGUAACCGGCUGCGUCCGGAAACCCAGCCUUCCACGGAACGGAGCCUGGCUUGCCUCGUGUCCGUCCAGGGUGCUCAGGAUUCCCGAGGGCCAUUGUGAGCUCCUCGUUCUCUUUGUCUGGAACGAACGUCCCUUCCUGCGCUGCGGCGAUAUAGUCAUGAAGCUUCGCGACGAGUAUUCGUAGUUGCUCGUUCGUCCAAACGCACUUCCCUAUUACAGGGUCCAAGGUUCCGCCAACCCCGAAGAACCAAGUCCUUGAACGAUCUGGCCAAUUCAAUGUCUCUGGUUCGACCCCUUUAUCAAGCAGGUCAAUCUCAGCCUUGGCCCACAACGGCCGGGCUUUGAGGUAGCCACCUGACCCCGUGCGAUGGUGAUGCUCCUUCUUCGCAGCAUUUAUCUUGUUUGUCGCUGAUAUCUUCUUACUCUUGUCCGAUGUCUUGUGGGUCACAAAUGCGUCCCAGUGAUCUCUGAUCUUCUCAUACCGGCCGGUGAAUUUUGGUGUCUUUUCUUCGUCGACAAACUUUGUUUUCAGCUCAUUCUUCCACCUCCUGAAUAGAUCUGCCAUCUUCUUAAGAGCAUGAGACUUGACCAAUGGCUCUAUAAUAGCUGGCUUCUCCGGAUCCUCCUCUGGCGGUAGGAUGAAAUUUGCCUUCAGCACGCUCCAAAGAUCAUCUUUCUGCCUAUCGUUGACAUAAGAUACCUCAGGGUCUGUGUUCUUAGGCUUAUACCAUUGCUGGAUGCUGAUAAAAAUCAUGUCCCUAACAAGAACCCCGCACUGAGCAGAAAAUGCUUCCUUGGUCCGGAUGGGUUCAAUCAGUUGGCCAUCGUGCGCGAUUGCUGUGAUCGUGAACCUUUCAUCCGAGCGCAACUUUUUCUUCGGGCCUCGUCUCUUUACCGAAGUUGUGCUCGAUCCGGAGGGCUAGAAAAAAGAACAAAGACGAGAGUUAAUAUGUGUACAUACAAAAACAAUGAAUGCAUCAAUUAGCUAGUCAGCACAGGCUUAUUUAAUAUAUAUACCUGGCCGGACUUUGUUCGGUCACCGGAGCCGUCAUCAUGGUCUCCUUCUUCCACCGGCAUUCGGUCACCGGAGCCAUCAUAAUCAUGCCCUUCCUCCUCCAUUGUUCGAUAACCGUAGCCUGCUUCACCCUCUCCUUCUAGACCAUCGGUUUCGUUGAGAUACGACAUGACAUCACCUCCGGCUACGAUUAUGUCCCCCAACACUUGUUCUGCUUCCUCGUCUCGGCCGUGCUCCAUAGUUUCUGCAAAUAUUACAACAUGGAAAUUAUUAUACAAACAUGACAGAUGGAUAUAUUAGUGGCAAACAUAGACCUAGCUAGAUAAUCACAAAAAGGAAUCAUAUUAGUGGCCUCGACGCUUCUCUAGGGUUUGGGGUGGCCUCGGCAACGCUUCAAGGGUUCGGGGUGGCCUCGACGACAAUGCUCUUUUAACUUGGUAAAUUUGGGUGGCCUCGGCAGGGCUUCUAGGGUUUGGAUCAACUUGUGCACAUUGCCAGACCCUCGACCCUCGACCGCUCGGCGAUCCACGACCCUCUACGUACCCUAUUUCCCGACCCUCGAUCCCCUCAUGUCACGUUUGUAUAGAGUCAAAGGAUUCAACAAAACGAUGUCUUCAUCAUUAGGCGAAAGUAACAGGCGCAUGAUGGUAUGAAGUUCUGCAAAGUUGUUCUGGAACAGAGUCCCAGAUAGGAUAAUUCGCUUUUUCGUACAAAGUUCAGCAAGAGCCUUCCGAAUAUCGCUAUUUGGAAGGCCUUUGCAUAACUUCAUACAAAAAGGCGAAUUAUCCUAUCCGGGACUCCGUUCCGGAAUAACUUUGCACAACUUCAUACCAUCAUGCCCCGGUUACGAUGAAGCCAUGGAUUUCUUCAAUACUUUGACACUAGGCAACCUCUCGACCCCUCGGCGAUCCUCGACCCUCGACCGCUCGGACGAUCCACGACCCUCUACCCUAUUUCCCGACCCUCGACCCCCUCAUGUCACUGCUACCUCUUGAGCACUGCGUUGGUUUUCCCUUCAAGAGGAAAGGGUGCUGCAGCAAAGUAGCGUAAGUAUUUCCCUCAGUUUUUGAGAACCAAGGUAUCAAUCCAGUAGGAGGCUACGCGCGAGUCCCUUGCACCUGCACAAUACAAAUAAAUCCUCGCAACCAAUGCGAUAAGGGGUUGUCAAUCCCUUCACGGUCACUUACGAGAGUGAGAACUGAUAGAUAUGAUAGGAUAAUAUUUUUGGUAUUUUUGUAAUAAAGAUGCAAAGUAAAGAAAGCAAAAUAAAGACGGCGCCCGAAAUAGCUUGUUGUAGGGAGAUUAAUAUGAUGGAAGAUAGACCCGGGGGCCAUAGGUUUCACUAGUGGCUUCUCUCAAGAGCAUAAGUAUUUUACGGUGGGUGAACGAAUUACUGUUGAGCAAUUGACAGAAUUGAGCAUAGUUAUGAGAAUAUCUAGGUAUGAUCAUGUAUAUAGGCAUCACGUCCGAGACAAGUAGACCGACUCCUACCUGCAUCUACUACUAUUACUCCACUCAUCGACCGCUAUCCAGCAUGCAUCUAGAGUAUUAAGUUCAUGAAAACAGAGUAACGCCUUAAGCAAGAUGACAUGAUGUAGAGGGAUAAAUUCAUGCAAUAUGGUAAAAACCCCAUCUUGUUAUCCUCGAUGGCAACAAUACAAUACGUGCCUUGCUGCCCCUACUGUCACUGGGAAAGGACACCGCAAGAUUGAACCCAAAGCUAAGCACUUCUCCCAUUGCAAGAAAGAUCAAUCUAGUAGGCCAAACCAAACUAAUAAUUCGAAGAGACUUGCAAAGAUAACCAAUCAUACAUAAAAGAAUUCAGAGAUGAUUCAAAUAUUGUUCAUAGAUAAUCUUGAUCAUAAACCCACAAUUCAUCGAUCUCAACAAACGCACCGCAAAAAGAAGAUUACAUCGAAUAGAUCUCCACGAGAGAGGGGGAGAACAUUGUAUUGAGAUCCAAAAAUAGAGAAGAAGUCAUCUAGCUACUAACUAUGGACCCGAAGGUCUGAGGUAAACUACUCACACUUAAUCGGAGAGGCUAUGGUGUUGAUGUAGAAGCCCUCCGUGAUGGAUGCCCUCUCCGACGGAGCUCCGGAACAGGCCCCAAGAUGGGAUCUCGUGGGUACAGAAGGUUGCAGCGGUGGAAUUAGGUUUUUGGCUCCGUAUCUGAUCAUUUGGGGGUACGUAGGUAUAUAUAGGAGGAAGAAGUAUGUCGGUGGAGCAACAUGGGGCCCACGAGGGUGGAGGGCGCGCCCUGGGGGGUGGGCGCGCCCCCUACCUCGUGGCCUCCUGGAAGCUUCUCUUACGUAGGGUCCAAGUCUCCUGGAUCAUGUUCGUUCCAAAAAUCACGUCCCCGAAGGUUUCAUUCCGUUUGAUAUUCUUUUUCUGCGAAACUUUGAAAUAGGCAAAAACAACAAUUCUGGGCUGGGCUUCCGGUUAAUAGGUUAGUCCCAAAAAUAAUAUAAAAGUGUAUAAUAAAGCCCAAUAAUGUCCAAAACAGUAGAUAAUAUAUCAUGGAGCAAUCAAAAAUUAUAGAUACGUUGGAGACGUAUCAAGCAUCCCCAAGCUUAAUUCCUGCUCAUCCUCGAGUAGAUAAAUGAUAAAAAAGAUAAUUUUUGAUGUGGAGUGCUACUUGGCAUAAUUUCAAUGUAAUUCUUCUUAAUUGUGGUAUGAAUAUUCAGAUCCGAAAGAUUCAAGAUAAAAGUUCAUAUUGACAUAAAAAUAAUAAUACUUCAAGCAUACUAACUAAGCAAUUAUGCCUUCUCAAAAUAACAUGGCCAAAGAAAGUUCAUCCCUACAAAAUCAUAUAGUUUAGUCAUGCUCCAUUUUCGUCACACAAGAAUGCUCUCAUCAUGCACAACCCCGAUGACAAGCCAAGCAAUUGUUUCAUACUUUAGUAAUCUCAAACCUAUAAACUUUCACGCAAUAUAUGAGCGCGAGCCAUGGACAUAGCACUAUGGGUGGAAUAGAAUAUGAUGAUGGGGGUUAUGUGAAGAAGACAAAAAGGGAGAAAGUCUCACAUCAACGAGGCUAAUCAAUGAGCUAUGGAGAUGCCCAUCGAUUGAUGUUAAUGCAAGGAGUAGGGAUUGCCAUGCAACGGAUGCACUAGAGCUAUAAAUGUAUGAAAGCUCAACAAAAAAAACUAAGUGGGUGUGCAUCCAACUUGCUUGCUCACGAAGACCUAGGGCACUUGAGGAGGCCCAUUGUUGGAAUAUACAAGCCAAGUUCUAUAAUGAAAAAUUCCCACUAGUAUAUGAGAGUGACAAAACAAGAGACUCUCUAUCAUGAAGAUUAUGGUGCUACUUUGAAGCAUAAGUGUGGCAAAGGAUAGUAGCAUUGUCCCUUCUCUCUUUUUCUCUCAUUUUUUGGGCCUUCUUUCUUUUUUUUAUGGCGUUUAUCUUUUUUUAUUCCUCACUUGGGACAAUGCUCUAGAAAAUGAUGAUCAUCACACUUCUAUUUAUUUACAACUCAAUGAUUACAACUCGAUACUAGAACAAAGUAUGACUCUAUAUGAAUGCCUUCGGCGGUGUACCGGGAUAUGCAAUGAACCAAGAGUGACAUGUAUGAAAGAAUUAUGAACGGUGGCUUUGCCACAAAUACUAUGUCAACCACAUGAUCAUGCUAGCAAUAUGACAAUGAUGAAUGUGUCAUGAUAAACGGAAUGGUGGAAAGUUGCAUGGCAAUAUAUCUCGGAAUGGCUAUGGAAAUGCCAUAAUAGGUAGGUAUGGUGGCUGUUUUGAGGAAGAUAUAAGGAGGUUUAUGUGUGAAAGAGCGUAUCAUAUCACGGGGUUUGGAUGCACCGGCGAAGUUUGCACCAACUCUCAAUGUGAGAAAGGGCAAUGCACGGUACCAAAGAGGCUAGCAAUGAUGGAAGGAUGAGAGUGCGUAUAAUCCAUGGACUCAACAUUAGUCAUAAAGAACUCACAUACUUAGUGCAAAAAUCUACAAGUCAUCAAAAACCAAGCAUUACACGCAUGCUCCUAGGGGGAUAGAUUGGUAGGAAAAGACCAUCGCUCGUCCCCGACCGCCACUCAUAAGGAGGACAAUCAAAGAACACCUCACGUUUCAAAUUUGUUACAUAACGUUUACCAUACGUGCAUGCUACGGGACUUGCAAACUUCAACACAAGCAUUUCUCAAAUUCACAACUACUCAACUAGCACGACUUUGAUAUUAUUACCUCCAUAUCUCAAAACAAUCAUCAAGCAUCAAACUUCUCUUAGUAUUCAACACACUCAUAAGAAAGUUUUUACUAUUCUUGAAUACCUAGCAUAUUAGGAUUAUUUAAGCAAAUUACCAUGCUAUUUAAGACUCUCAAAAUAAUCUAAAUGAAGCAUGAGAGAUCAAUAGUUUCAAAACAAAUCCACCACCGUGCUCUAAAAGAUAUAAAUGAAGUACUAGAGCAAAAACUAUAUAACUCAAAAUAUAUAAGUGAAGCACAUAGAGUAUUCUAACAAAUUCCAAAUCAUGUAUGGCUCUCUCAAAAGGUGUGUACAGCAAGGAUGAUUGUGGUAAACUAAAAAGCAAAGACUCAAAUCAUACAAGACGCUCCAAGCAAAACACAUAUCAUGUGGUGAAUAAAAAUAUAGCUCCAAGUAAAGUUACCGAUGGAAGUAGACGAAAGAGGGGAUGCCUUCCGGGGCAUCCCCAAGCUUUGGCUUUUUGGUGUCCUUAGAUUAUCUUGGGGGUUCCAUGGGCAUCCCCAAGCUUAGGCUCUUGCCACUCCUUGUUCCAUAAUCCAUCAAAAUCUUUACCCAAAACUUGAAAACUUCACAACACAAAACUCAACAGAAAUCUCGUGAGCUCCGUUAGCGAAAGAAAACAAAAGACCACUUCAAGGUACUGUAAUGAACUCAUUAUUUAUUUAUAUUGGUGUUAAACCUACUGUAUUCAAACUUCUCUAUGGUUUAUAAACUAUUUUACUAGCCAUAGAUUCAUCAAAAUAAGCAAACAACACACGAAAAACAGAAUCUGUCAAAAACAGAACAGUCUGUAGUAAUCUGUAACUAACGCAAACUUCUGGAACUCCAAAAAAUCAGAAAAAAUAGGACGACCUAGGCAAUUUUUUUAUUGAUCAUCAGCAAUUGGAAUCAGUAUUUUAUCACGUUCUGGUGAUUUUUAACAAUUUCUUUCGUGAACAGAAAGUUUCUGGAAAUUUCUGCAAGAUCAAAUAACUAUCAUCCAAGAAGAUCCUAUAGGUUUAAAUUGGCACAAACACUAAUUAACACAUAAAAACACAUCUAACCAGAGGCUAGAACAAAGAUUUAUUCCUAAACAGAAGCAAAAAGCAAAAAACUAAAAAUAAAAUUGGGUUGCCUCCCAACAAGCGCUAUCGUUUUACGCCCCUAGCUAGGCAUAAAAGCAAGGAUAGAUCUAGGUAUUGCCAUAUUUGGUUUUAGGGAAAAAGAGAGAAAACUUGUUCUCUAUGGAAUUAAUCUUUAUAUUUUGACAAAGUACAUGGCCAUCAAUGGUAGAAGAAAGAUUAAGUAUAUUGCGGAAAUUGGCAUCUAGGCUAGCCUUUAUCUCUUUGAUAGAUUCGUUUUGGUAAGAAAGCAAAAGAGAUGUGAUUUCAACUUUCUCAUUAAUGGGGUGCCCAAAUAUAGUUUUCAUAUUUUCAUAGGUACCUAUGGGGUCCCCUUCGAGAAAACCUUCUUCAAAAAUAGAAUCUAAAACUUGUUUGAACGAAGCGGGCAACCCAACAUAAAAGCUUUUUAAGUAGACCUCAAUUUGGUAUUGAGGUACAUAGCUAGCCUGGAUCCUUAAUAACCUAUCCCAAGCAUCUUUCAAAGAUUCAUCGAGUAAAUAACGAAAUAUUCCAGAAUCUUCUUCAUCAAAAUUGCUAAGGUUUUCAUUGAUAACUCCGGCAGGUUUUUCCAUAGCAUUUUUAUUUAUGAGUUUAGAUAAGAUAGCAGGAUUGUCUAAAGUGCUAAAACUUGGGAGAGGAGCCCCAAAUCUUUUCGGUUCCGACAUGGCAAGGUAAAAGUGAACGAAAAGAGGCAACCGGAAAAGAGAGGGCGAAUAAAACGGCAAGGGUGAAGUGGGGGAGAGGAAAACGAGAGACAAAUGGCAAAUAAUGUAAUGCGGGAGAUAAGGGAUUGUGAUGGGUACCUGGUAUGUUGACUUUUGCGUAGACCUCCCCGGCAACGGCGCCAGAAAUCCUUCUUGCUACCUCUUGAGCACUGCGUUGGUUUUCCCUUGAAGAGGAAAGGGUGAUGCAGCAAAGUAGCGUAAGUAUUUCCCUCAGUUUUUGAGAACUAAGGUAUCAAUCCAGUAGGAGGCUACGCGCGAGUCCCUCGCACCUGCACAAUACAAAUAAAUCCUCGCAACCAAUGCGAUAAGGGGUUGUCAAUCCCUUCACGGUCACUUACGAGAGUGAGAACUGAUAGAUAUGAUAGGAUAAUAUUUUUGGUAUUUUUGUAAUAAAGAUGCAAAGUAAAGAAAGCAAAAUAAAGACGACGCUUGAAAUAGCUUGUUGUAGGGAGAUUAAUAUGAUGGAAGAUAGACCCGGGGGCCAUAGGUUUCACUAGUGGCUUCCCACAAGAGCAUAAGUAAUUUACGGUGGGUGAACGAAUUACUGUUGAGCAAUUGACAGAAUUGAGCAUAGUUAUGAGAAUAUCUAGGUAUGAUCAUGUAUAUAAGCAUCACGUCCGAGACAAGUAGACCGACUCCUGCCUGCAUCUACUACUAUUACUCCACUCAUCGACCGCUAUCCAGCAUGCAUCUAGAGUAUUAAGUUCAUGAAAACAGAGUAACGCCUUAAGCAAGAUGACAUAAUGUAGAGGGAUAAAUUCAUGCAAUAUGAUAAAAACCCCAUCUUGUUAUCCUCGAUGGCAACAAUACAAUACGUGCCUUGCUGCCCCUACUGUCACUGGGAAAUGACACCGCAAGAUUGAACCCAAAGCUAAGCACUUCUCCCAUUGCAAGAAAGAUCAAUCUAGUAGGCCAAACCAAAGUGAUAAUUCGAAGAGACUUGCAAAGAUAACCAAUCAUACAUAAAAGAAUUCAGAGAAGAUUCAAAUAUUGUUCAUAGAUAAUCUUGAUCAUAAACCCACAAUUCAUCGGUCUCAACAAACACACCGCAAAAAGAAGAUUACAUCGAAUAGAUUUCCAUGAGAGAGGGGGAGAACAUUGUAUUGAGAUCCAAAAAAAUAGAAGAAGCCAUCUAGCUACUAACUAUGGACCUGAAGGUCAGAGGUAAACUACUCACACUUCAUCGGAGAGGCUAUGGUGUUGAUAUAGAAGCCCUCCGUGAUGGAUGCCCUCUCUGGCGGAGCUCCGAAACAGGCCCCAAGAUGGGAUCUCGUGGGUACAGAAGGUUGCGGCAGUGGAAUUAGGUUUUUGGCUCCGUAUCUGAUCGUUUGGGGGUACGUAGGUAUAUAUAGGAGGAAGAAGUAUGUCGGUGGAGCAACGUGGGGCCCAUGAGGGUGGAGGGCGUGCCCUGGGGGGUGGGCGCGCCCCCUACCACGUGGCCUCCUGGAAGCUUCUCUUACGUAGGGUCCAAGUCUCCUGGAUCAUGUUCGUUCCAAAAAUCACGUUCCCAAAGGUUUCAUUCCGUUUGGACUCCGUUUGAUAUUCUUUUUCUGCGAAACUCUGAAAUAGGCAAAAAACAGCAAUUCUGGGCUUGGCCUCCGGUUAAUAGGUUAGUCCCAAAAAUAAUAUAAAAUUGUAUAAUAAAGCCCAAUAAUGUCCAAAACAGUAGAUAAUAUAGCAUGGAGCAAUCAAAAAUUAUAGAUACGUUGGAGACGUAUCAGUCACGUUUGUCUAGUGUCAAAGGAUUCAACAAAACCAUGUCUUCAUCAUUAAUCGAAAGUAACAGGCGCAUGAUGGUACGAAGUUCUGCAAAGUUGUUCUGGAACGGAGUCCCAGAUAGGAUAAUUCGUUUUUUCUUACAAAGUUCAGCAAGAGCCUUCCGAAUAUCGCUAUUUGGAAUGCCUUUGCUGAAAUUCAUACAAAAAGGCAAAUCAUCCUAUCCGGGACUCCGUUCCAGAACAACUUUGCACAACUUCGUGCCAUCAUGCCCCGGUUACUUCUGGCUAAUGAUGAAGCCAUGGAUUUCUUCAAUACUUUGACACUAGGCAACCUCUCGAUCCCUCGGUGAUCCUCGACCCUCGACCCUCGAACCCUCGGCGACCCUCGACCCCUCGGCGUUCCACGACCCUCGAACCCUAGGCCCCUCAACGACCCUCGAACCCUCGGUGACCCUCGAACCUCUACCCUAGUUCCCGACCCUCGCCCCUCGAACCCUCGGCGACCCCCCUCAUGUCGAAGUUAUCAGGGAGGGGGUAUAUCGACCCCCCCCCUCAUGUAAGAAGAGGAAAAAAAUCGAAGAAGAAAAAAGAGGAGAAGAAGAAAGGAAUAGAGGAGAAGAUCGAAGAAAAAAAAGAAGAUAAAAAGAGGAGAAGAAGAAAGGAAUAGAGGAGAAGAAGAAAAAAUAGAAUAAUUCAAUUUUUUCUUCUUCUNNNNNNNNNNNNNNNNNNNNNNNNNNNNNNNNNNNNNNNNNNNNNNNNNNNNNNNNNNNNNNNNNNNNNNNNNNNNNNNNNNNNNNNNNNNNNNNNNNNNNNNNNNNNNNNNNNNNNNNNNNNNNNNNNNNNNNNNNNNNNNNNNNNNNNNNNNNNNNNNNNNNNNNNNNNNNNNNNNNNNNNNNNNNNNNNNNNNNNNNNNNNNNNNNNNNNNNNNNNNNNNNNNNNNNNNNNNNNNNNNNNNNNNNNNNNNNNNNNNNNNNNNNNNNNNNNNNNNNNNNNNNNNNNNNNNNNNNNNNNNNNNNNNNNNNNNNNNNNNNNNNNNNNNNNNNNNNNNNNNNNNNNNNNNNNNNNNNNNNNNNNNNNNNNNNNNNNNNNNNNNNNNNNNNNNNNNNNNNNNNNNNNNNNNNNNNNNNNNNNNNNNNNNNNNNNNNNNNNNNNNNNNNNNNNNNNNNNNNNNNNNNNNNNNNNNNNNNNNNNNNNNNNNNNNNNNNNNNNNNNNNNNNNNNNNNNNNNNNNNNNNNNNNNNNNNNNNNNNNNNNNNNNNNNNNNNNNNNNNNNNCGCGGCGACGGGGGCGGCGACGGCGUCGACGGGGCGAGCUCGGGCAGCCUGGCGGCGUCAUCGGGGCAGGGCAACUGCGGAGAUGAAAAUGAAAAAGCUAAGUGUUUGCUUAUAUAGCAAAGCCAUUGGUCCUGGUUCGUGGCACGAACCGGGACCAAUGCACACCUUUAGUCCCGGUUGGUAGCACCAACCGGGACUAAAGGGGGGCAUUGGUGCUACCAACCGGGACUAAAGGGGGGCAUUGGUCCCGGUUGUUGCCACAAACCGGGACCAAUGCACCCCUUUAGUCCCGGUUGGUUGCACCAACCGGGACCAAAGGCCUUGUGCUGCCCGCGUCAAAAGUUUAGUCCCACCUCGCUAGAUGAGAGAGCUCGAGAGUGGUUUAUAAGCGCUGCUGCGCCCGCCCUCUCGAGCUCCUCUCAAUUGCAGGCUUUCGGACCUAACCUGUCACUGUGUGCAUGUGGGCCUACUGGGCCUGUUGCGGCCCUGAAUCCUGGCCCAUGAUUGGGUUUCUAGUCGUAUUCAGGCCGUGGUGGCCUAGUAGGUGGCACUUUUUUUUUGUUUUUGUUGCUUUAUUUAUUUUAUUUUGUUUCUACUUACAACAAAAUACUUACUGUUGCUAUUUUAUUUUAUUUUUUCUACUUAUUUAUUAAAGUUUAUUUUGUUUCUACUUAUUUAUUUUAUUUUGUCUACUUAUUUAUUUUAUUUUGUUUCUACUUAUUUAUUUUAUUUUUGCUUAUAAUUUUUUGAACAGAAGAUACUUUGAUAAUUUUAGUUGCAUAAAUUUAAUAUAAUUUUAGUUUCAAUAAUACUAGAGGUUUAUAUAACUUUUUAGUUGAUUCCUUUUGCUAUUAGAGUUUAUUAAAGAUGGUCCCCUGGACAACGAGUACAACUCAUCACAAAUAGUGUUGUCACCUCUGAGACGUGUUUCCAACCAACUGCUGAAAGUCCUGAUGUGUUCACAUGUAAUCUAGUCAUCACACUGCUCCGGGUGUUUGGAGUGCAGACUGUUCUUGUGUUCAUCGACAUACGGGGUCACCAAGGUAGAGUUCUGUAGAACUAUGUAGUGUGAUUGAGACCAAGAAUGCCCGUCCCUGCAUAUUAUUGAGUCCCCUCCAAGCGUGCCUUUUUCAGUCGGUCUCCCCUCAUACCGCGAUUUAGGGAGACCUAUCUUCUUAAGGCCAGGAAUGAAGUCAACACAAAACCCAAUGACAUCCUGUGUUUGAUGGCGCAUGGAGAUGCUUCCUUCUGGCCUAGAACGGUUACAAACAUGUUUCUUUAGAACUCCCAUGAACCUCUCAAAGGGGAACAUAUUGUGUAGAAAUACGGGGCCCAGAAUGACAAUCUCGUUGACUAGAUGAACUAGGACGUGCGUCAUGAUAUUGAAGAAGGAUGGUGGGAACACCAGCUCGAAACUGACAAAACAUUGCGCCACAUCACUCCUUAGCCUUGGCAUAAUUUCUAGAUCGAUCACCUUCUGAGAGAUUGCAUUGAGCAAUGCACAUAGCUUCACAAUGGCUAAUCAGACGUUUUCCGGUAGAAGCCCCCUCAAUGCAAUCGGAAGCAGUUGCGUUAUAAUCACGUGGCAGUAAUGAGACUUUAGGUUCUGGAACUUUUUCUGUGGCAUAUUUAUUAUUCCCUUUAUAUUCGACGAGAAGCCAGACGGGACCUUCAUACUGAGCAGGCAUUCAAAGAAGAUUUCCUUCUCUUCUUUGGUAAGAGCGUAGCUAGCAGGACCUUCAUACUGCUUUGGAGGCAUGCCGUCUUUUUCGUGCAAACGUUGUAGGCCCUCCCGUGCCUCCGGUGUAUCUGUUGUCUUCCCAUACGCGCCCAAGAAGCCUAGCAGGUUCAUGCAAAGGUUCUUCGUCACGUGGAUCACGUCGAUUGAAGAGCGGACCUCUAGGUCUUUCCAGUAGGGUAGGUCCCAAAAUAUAGAUUUCUUCUUCCACAUGGGUGCGCGUCCCUCAGUGUCAUUCGGAACAGAUAGUCCGCCGGGACCCUUUCCAAAGAUUACGUGUAAAUCAUUGACCAUAGCAAGUAUGUGAUCACCGGUACGCAUGGCGGGCUUCUUCUGGUGAUCUGCCUCGCCUUUGAAAUGCUUGCCUUUCUUUCGACAUUGAUGGUUGGUCGGAAGAAAUCGACGAUGGCCCAGGUACACAUUCUUCCUGCAUUUGUCCAGGUAUAUACUUUCGGUGUCAGCUAAACAGUGCGUGCAUGCGUGGUAUCCCUUGUUUGGCUAUCCUGAAAGGUUACUGAGAGCGGGCCAAUCGUUGAUGGUUACAAACAGAAACACGUGCAGGUUAAAUUCCUCCUGUUUGUGCUCAUCCCACACACGUACACCGUUUCCAUUCCACAGCUGUAAAAGUUCUUCAACUAAUGGCCUUAGGUACACAUCAAUGUCGUUGCCGGGUUGCUUAGGGCCUUGGAUGAGAACUAGCAACAUAAUGAACUUCCGCUUCAUGCACAUCCAAGGAGGAAGGUUAUACAUACAUAGAGUCACGGGCCAGGUGCUGUGAUUGCUGCUCUGCUCCCCGAAAGGAUUAAUGCCAUCCGCGCUCAAACCAAACCAUACGUUCCUUGGGUCACCUGCAAACUCAGCCCAGUACUUUCUCUCGAUUUUUCUCCACUGCGACCCGUCAGCGGGUGCUCUCAACUUCCCGUCUUUCUUACGGUCCUCUCUGUGCCAUCACAUCAACUUGGCAUGCUUUUCGUUUCUGAACAGAUGUUUCAACCGUGGUAUUAUAGGAGCAUACCACAUCACCUUCGCAGGAACCCUCUUCCUGGGGGGCUCGCCGUCAACGUCACCAGGGUCAUCACGUCUGAUCUUAUACAGCAAUGUACCGCAUACGGGGCAUGCGUUCAAAUCCUCGUACGCACCGCGGUAGAGGAUGCAGUCCUUAGGGCAUGCAUGUAUCUUCUGCACCUCCAAUCCUAGAGGGCAUACGACCUUCUUUGCUGCGUACGUAUUGUCGGGAAAUUCGUUAUCGUUUGGAAGCUUCUUCUUCAAUAUUUUCAGUAGCUUCUCAAAUCCUUUGUCAGGCACAACAUUCUCUGCCUUCCACUGCAGCAAUUCAAGUACGGUACCGAGCUUUGUGUUGCCAUCUUCGCAAUUGGGGUACAACCCUUUUUUGUGAUCCUCUAACAUGCGAUCGAACUUCAGCUUCUCCUUUUGACUUUCGCACUGUGUCCUUGCAUCAACAAUGACCCGACAGAGAUCAUCAUCAUCGGGCACAUCGUGUGGUUCCUCUUGAUCUUAAGCAGCUUCCCCCGUUGCAUCAUCACCGUAUUCAGGGGGCACAUAGUUGUCAUCGUCCUCUUCUUCUUUGUUGUCUUCCAUCAUAACCCCUAUUUCUCCGUGCUUCGUCCAAACAUUAUAGUGUUGCAUGAAACCCUUAUAAAGCAGGUGGGUGUGAAGGAUUUUCCGGUCAGUGUAAGACUUGGUAUUCCCACAAUUAGGGCUUGGACAACACAUAAAACCAUUCUUCUUGUUUGCCUCAGCCACUUCGAGAAAAUUAUGCAGGCCCUUAAUGUACUCGGAGGUGUGUCUGUCACCGUACAUCAAUUGCCGGUUCAUCUGCGUGCAUUAUAUAUAGUUAUGUGUGUCAAAAACCAUUACAGAUUCACAUGGAUAGAUAAGUGACCAAACUAAUACAAGUUCAUCAUCACAUUAAAACCAAAGUACAUACAUAGUUCUCAUUGAACAACUUAUUGCUCUCCAGAGCAUCUAAUUAAACCUUACAUUGAAACUAUGUAAAAUCUUUCAAUGCAACAACAAAUGCGAUCAUAAUCACAACCAAGGUAACAAUUGAUCCAACGGCAUAAUGAAACCAAGCCUCGGUAUGAAUGGCAUAUUUUCUAAUCUUUCUAAUCUUCAACCGCAUUGCAUCCAUCUUGAUCUUGUGAUCAUCGACGACAUCCACAACAUGCAACUCCAAUAUCAUCUUCUCCUCCUCAAUUUUUUUUCCUUCAAGUAAUUGUUUUCUUCUUCAACUAAAUUUAACCUCUCGACAAUAGGGUCGGUUGGAAUUUCCGGUUCGCAUACCUCCUAGAUAAAUAAAAUCUAUGUCACGUUGGUUGGCAUAAUUGUCAUAAACAAUAAAUGAACCAAAUAGUUAUAAAAGAUAAUAUAUAUCACAUCCGAAUCAUAGACAGGACGAGGGACGACGGGAGAGGAUACCAAAACCAUUGCACUAUAUAAUAACAAGCAAUAAUAAAAGUAAGAAAAUUAGACAAGUAUCUAUCUAAAGUAAGAAUUUUUUCUUUCAGAAAGAAGAUAAGAAUAAGAGGCUCACCACGGUGGUGCCGGCGACGAGAUGGCGCGGGCGAUCGACGGCGGUGAAGACGGGGACAGGACGUGACAGACCGCUAAACCUAGACAAAUCUCGGGGGAAAUGGGGCUCGGAGGUCGAGUUUCGAGAGGAGAAAGCUUAACUAGUGUGGCUCGGGCAUUUCAUCGAACACCUCAUGUGCAUAGGAGAUCAGCUAGAGCACCACAAAGCUCUCCCCUCGCCGGCCAGAAAAAAACAUAGCACUGUGGAGUGCUCUGCCGCGGCGAUGGGGUAUAUAUAGCCACCUCAUUGGUCCCGGUUCGUGGCUGGAACUGGGACUAAAGGCCCCCCUUCUGUCCCGGUUCUAGGCACGAACCGGGACCAAUGGCUGUGGGCCAGAAGCGAGGACCAUUGGUCCCGGUUCGUGCCUAGAACUGGGACAAAUGUGUCUACACGAACCGGUACAAAUGCCUCCCGAGGCCCGGCCGGCCCCCUGGGCGCACGAACCGGGACGUAUGCCCCCCAUGGGUUCCGGUUCGUGACAGAACCGGGACUAAUGGGCUGGCCAGGCCCCAACCAAAGCCCUGUUUUCUACUAGUGACUUGAUGUGCAAAAAGAUCUGCUUAGAGCCGACGGAGACCAUCACCAAGAUGAGCGAUUGUCCGUGAAGAUGUGCGACAGACAACGCUGGACCGAGGACUCCAAGACGAUGCCUCCAAGAAGGGCACGACCACGAAACGUUGCCAACGUCCGAUCCGAAGAUCAAGUUUUCACCUGGAGCUUGACGGGAGGAGUGGGAGCACCACGAUGGAGCAUGCAAGGAGGAACAUGACGUCCGCGGACGCCGUCACCGUCGACCAGUGCACGGACUGGGCCAGUGAUGUACUCCGGUGCUUCAACCCCUCCGCCGCAUCCCCGGUCCGCCAACCACCUGCAGCCAUGCCGCCCGAGCGGCCAUGGUUGCUCGCCCGCCUCCGAGCCGUGCCAUCCGCCCACGACCAACACGACUCCCACCGCCAGACCACCCCGAGAGCCACCAAAGGCCAGGACUUUGACCAUAUCCACGUCCCCAACCACCUCUGGAACACCCUACCUCGAGAGGAACCGUGACCAGACAACGGCCGGGGGAAGGGGGAGGAGCAGGAGCGGAACACGGCCACGACCGACACCCCUGUGAUGGCGACGGAGCACGUGACGGCGCACCCGACCCUCCUACCAGCCCCACCGAAACCACAUGUUUCGCCCCCGAAGCCGAGGCCCAGACCAGCAAGAGAGCACUGACCACUGCCAGAUGCCGAGGAGGAGAGAGGAAGGGCAGAACCGACGCCGCCGCAGCCAUGGGAGGCCCACCAGGGAGGCCCUCCUGCGCUGAGCGCCACCGUCCAACCGCAAGGGCCCAACUGGACGGGGUAGCUCACCUCCACCGCUGCCGCGCCACCCCCCACCACCAGAGAUCCACGACAAGAUGGGCCGCCCGCGAGCCGCAGCGCCAGACGCGGCUCCGAGGCACUGUUGCGAAGCAUCCGCCGCUGACGCCACCCGCUGACCUGCACCACCACCAUGCCGCAUGUCGGCCAACGCCACGCCGCCAUCGGUGGCCCAUUCCGGAGUGCCGCCGCGCCCGACAUCGAGCGCUGCAUCCCAGCACACGAGAUUUGGCACACGCCGCAUCCCCCACGCGGGGAGACGAAGGGGCCCCGCCUCCACCGGCGACCACGGGCUUCGCCCGCUUGUGCCCCCAGGCGGCGGCGAGGGAGCUGAGGGGGGAGAGGAGGAGGAGGGUGGAGGCGGCGGCGCUAGGGUUUCCUCCCGGACGCUCGCGGGAGUAGGAGCGGGUUCCCGCAAGGGAUCCAACUCUUGGCUUUUGCUCCCUUUACUUGCUUUGGGUACCUAUGUUUUCUUGUGAUCGUAGUAUAAAAAGUAUGGUUAAUAGUACUAUUUUUCUUGGUUUCGAUCAAAAAGGGAACAGUACAAAAAUUCACGACGGAAACAACAUAUUGACGUUAUAACUGUGGGUGGUUAAGUAAAUAAUACUGCCUGAAUUUUGUAGCGCGUAGUGGAGUACACAAUGGCCAGUGCUCAUGAUGCCGCCACUACUUAUGAUGCCCAAUUCAUCGGAACCAUUGUGAAGCCAGAGUUGAAUGCCAUUUUAAAUCAAAGGUGGAAGGGGAAAUAGAUUUUUUUUGCAUGGCUACGGGGCUCAAAAUAGACUGCCAACUGUUGAUGGUCUCCGUGCGCGAUCAUGUGAACACAAUGACACCUGCUCCCUCUGUAAUCAUACGACUGCUGCUCAUCUGAUCUGUACAUCAUGCUUCCUAACAUUCAGCGUCAACCCACGUUGCGGUUUACUUCAACAACAACCUGGUGGGUAAGUUUUGCCUACAGGCAGAAGAACAAGGCAGCUGUUGCACUCUGCUUCGUCUGGAACAUCUGAAACGAACGAAACCAAGUAAUCUUCCAAAAUCACUCUUCAACUGUUGAUAUGGUGACUUCCUAGUCAGGUUUGACUUAACAUACUUGGAUAUGGCCUCUUCGAUGCAUUCAACUGUGUAAAUAUGUUAUUUUUCUUUUUUCUUUUGGUCUGCCUUAAGGCUUCAGACUUUUCUCUUGUAAACUCAUAAUAUAAUGCAAAGUCACAAGACCUGCCAUUAGCCAUAAAAAAUGGACGGUCAACUACCAACCAGGAGCAGGCUAUAUACUAGUUUCUUUUAAUAGUUGAGCUAUACUAAAAUUUUCACUUGCUCAAAUUUUUAAAGAAUAAUUGUGAGCCAAAAAAGAAGACAUGUGGGUGUCAACCCCACAAACUCAAGAAGUAACCAAGUUUUGUGACCGACACGUGAUAUUCAUUUUUCGCAUGAGGACAUGUUUAUGUUGCUCAUACUUUGUCAGUCAAUGAUGAUGUAGACUUCCCCAUGCUUCCUAGUCCUAUAAAAAGAAAUUCAUUGGCAUUUUGUUGGGCUUUACGAAAUACAAUGUUUCGAUUGAUCCACCAGCAAAAUUAGGGAUAACUGGUCUAGAUUUCGACUUCCAAGUACCAUACAACAUCUUUGGAGGAGAUGUUGGGUGCUGGUGUCUGGGACCCUAGCGGGUGGAAGAUUUUGUUUUAGGUGUGUGACGGGUGGGGAGGGGGAUUGGUCAUGGGAAUGGGUGGAUGAGAUAUAAUCUUAAGAUAUUGUUUUAUAUGACGGGCAUGGACCCGGUAGGUUAUAUAGAGGGGAGUCUUGGGCAUAGUACAGAACUUUGUCAUCAUAAAAGUUCUUUGUGAAUAAGGUACCCGUUUAAAAGCUCUGCUUGUUGCGAGUCCUACUACUAACUAUCUGGACCAUCCAUCAAUAAUGAACCAUCAAUGUCAGACUGUUCUGUGGUUGUGGACUUCCAUGACAGACUAUUCAACUACAAGGGUCCAUUCACCAGCUUCACGCCACUUCAACGUAUCAUCGAGCAAAUUGAAGCUGAUGCUAGACAGUGGGCUGUAGUAAGCUGGAGUCGCUUCUAAUUGCAUUAGAGAGUUCAUUUAUUGGGUUGCCGUGUGGUAGUACUGGUGGUUUUGGGCCGUGUGUGGUUGUUUAUGGGUUUUAUUUUUUAUUUUUGUUGUACUGUGGUCCGUUUACUUUUCCACCUACCUUUAAUAUAAAUACACAUGCAGUUCUUCUGGAUGGUUCCAAAAAAAAGUUCAUUCAUCAGCUGUGUGCAAAAAAUGAGUAAAUAGCAUAAAACACCAUAAUUCCGGCUAGGUUCGGAAAAACUACCACUUUUUGAAAAUUUACUAAAACCUACCACUUUAUCAGUAUGAUGUUUCAGAAAACCCAAGCUGACGAAUCUUAAAUUUUCAAUGUGGUUUAUGACAAGCUAUGCCCACUCGUCAGGGCGACGUUAGACGUCGACAGAUGGCGUGCCCGCGCACAACCGUUAGGGUCCCGACCUGGUCAAAACGACCCAAUUUGGGUCAUCUCUCUUCCUCGCUCUUACUCUCUCCUUCGCUGUCCUUUGUCUCUCCGAGCUCGCUCGACGACACUGACGACCAUAGUCCUUGUCCCCGGUGACCAUGCCGUUGUGGAAGGAUGGAGACGAGAGCACUGAUGAGGACAUCAACAUGGGCAACAACUUCAUGGACAUGGAGUACUUUGUAAGAUUUCUCCUCUUUUAUUAGUUAAGGUUAGGGUUUUUGGAUUUGGGUAUUUUUAUUUUGAGCUUUGUUGCACCGAUUCGAAGAAAUCUUCCAUUGUUCUGGCUUCUAACGGAUCAAGGAUACCUUGGAAACCAUUCCUGAGCCACUUUACUGUGGUGAUGUUAUAAUGACGUGCCGAAGUGCAUGCUGCACUAACAUAGGGUGAAUAAAUGUGUUUCUUUUGAAGGAAUUGAUACUGGAAGAAGAUUCCUUGGCUACUCUAUGCAGGUGAGUAAUCAGCAGAUGAAUUCGUAAUGUUUCACAGUACCUAGGUAGCACAUAUAUCUCAAAUGUGAGAGUAUAGUGUAGUAGGUGACAUGGUGAUAGUGGUAUAUUGGCUGCACAAUUGAGAAUCCGUUAUCUUGGUGCUUAGUUAGUCACUGACCAUGAACUUGCCAAUUGACACUCUAAGUACAAGUACAAUGUCUAGCACAUGAAAUUGAUGUGUGUUUACAUAUGGAAAUUGCAAUGUAGAUAUUUGUUGUUUAAUUUGGUGUAAGGAGAUCAAUAAUUAAUGUUAGUUUUACAUUGGCUAGCGCAUGAAAUAGCCAUAGGCUUUGUACUUUGGUAGGGAAAUUGCCAUCUGAGGUAGCAUUAACAGUAAUGUUAGUUUUGCAAAUCUGUUAAGUUUUGCAAUUGCUGAAUUUAGUGGUGAAUGCCAAUAGUUCUUACAUUUAGUUUCCUUUAACAUGGAGGCGUAACCUAUGGAGUAGUGCAUUGGGUUGAUGGGCAUUGGCCUAUCAUACAAGAUAACUGCUUGACCAAGCUAUCGACAUGUGUUAUGAGCAAAACUUUGGCAGGGUGACAAGCAGGCAAGCCUAUGACACAGAGCCAGCCAAGUUGAAGAAGGAGAAUGAGCAUCUCUGCAAUCAAUAUAAAAAAUGGUGGAUGAUGUUAGCAAGAUGUUUGAUUGGCAUGAUGGGGUUCGAAAGGUGGAUUACCAAAAAGCAAUGGAUGCUAGAGAAUUUGAGCAGAAGAGGGAAGAGCUACACUUGGAGGUCAAGAUGGAGAAGCCGCGACUUUCAAAGGAGCAAAGGUGUAUCCUACAAACCCAGGAAAAUAUCAUCAAUAACACCAGGAAGGCCAUUUAUGAGAUCCAGGUGGACAUGGAUCUACUUGCAGAAGAGAAGAAGGAUCUUGCGAAUACAGUUGCUAACCUAAAUACUUUGCAUGAGAGCAAGGACAACCUGGAAAAAAUCAAGGCAAUAUCAGAGGUAUGAAUAUGAAGGGAAUCUUGGAUAAGUAAAUAGUAGGCCUAUAUAUAAUAGGCCUUGCAAGUUGAUGGUCGUAGGUGCAUAUUUUUGUGAUCUGGUCUAUGAACUGCUUACUUAAGCUAUUAUGGUAAAUGCAAUGAUGUUAGUUAAGGUAUGAACAACCUGGUUAUGUUAAGUAUUGCAGUGAACAACUGCUUAUGUUAAGUUAUGCAGUGAAGAAGUACUUAUGCUAAGUAAUGCAAUGAUCAACUAUUAUGUUAGGUAUUCAUGUUUUAGCUUUCAUGCACGAUCAACUAGCUUAUUACUUUGUUCAGUACUCUCAUGUAUUGUGAUUUUGUGAUCAUUUAGGUGGUGCUUUGUCCACUUAGCAUGUCAUGGUGUGUAUUAAAGCCGCAACGUCACCUCCCCCACAACCAUAACCCUACCUCCCCCUCAGUCGCCAACCAACAUCAUACAAUGCUAGUUAGCAAGCACCCUAGGAAGAUGGAUCCUACCCUGGGAGAGGUGGCCCGCACAAACUCUACAUUGUGGCCCUGCCACAUGAUAUUUAUAUUUUGCUUGAGGACAUGUUUAUGUUGCUCAUGCUUUUCUGUCACUCAUGAUGGAGAUUCAUUGUCCUAUGAAAAAUAAAUUCAUUGACAUUUCGUUGAGCUUUUCGAAAUACUAUGUUUUGAUUAAUCCACCAGGAAGAUUAGGGAUAACUGGCAUAGAAUUCGACCUCCAAGUACCAUACAACAACUUUGGACAAGAUGUUGGGUACUGGUGUGUGCGGUCCUGGCGGGUGGAAGAUUUAGGUUUAGGUGUGUGACGGGUGGGGGAGGGGAAAUUGGUCAUGGGAGUGGGUGGAUGAGAUAUAGUGUCAAGACAUUGUUUUAUUGAUGAAGAUGGACUGGAAGGUUAUAUAGAGAGCAGUCUUGGGUAUAGUACAUGACCUUUGUCAUCAUAAAUGUUCCAUGUGAAUAAGGUGCCAGUUUUAAACCUCGUUUGUCGUGAGUCCUACCACUAACUAUCUUGACCAUCCGUCAAUAAUGAACCAUAAAUGGUGUACUAUUCUGUGGUUGCUGACAAGGUCAGGCUGGCUCCAGUAUGGGAGCGGCAACAGCAGCGCGUUGGCGGCUUGUUUUGGCAGCUGCAAUGGUCGUUCAGUGGUCCAUUGAUCUUGAUGUAAGUUUUGUUUUGUUUGAGGUGUUUUGUACUUCCAGUGAAUGUUUAUAAUAGAACUGAUCUUUUCGCAAAAAAAGUCUUUUGAAAUUGAAGCUCUGACCUUUUUUGUUAUGGAAAAACAAACUUAAUUAGUUUUUUUUACUUUAGAAUGUAUACAUAUCAUUGGAGCUCACACAUGAAUUAAGCAAAAAGCCCACAUGAACCCCAUGAAAUACUGUAGACUAAUAGACGCUUCUUGUGCUUGCCCUUAUUGCACUUUUUCGGGUACUUAAUUACGGUAGGAUGCAGGAGGUCAAUCACGGCGUGUCGUGCCGGGCGAUGCCACAGCAUAUAGCAUCGUACCCCAAGUCAGGCUGAACUUAAAAUGAUUCCCCUGGACUGUUUGGGUUUGGGGCAAUAAUGCUUGGGCGGUAGGUUUAUACACCUUGUUGUGGUCAGCUAUUGUGUGUGGACGGCCAUAGACUGACUGUUCCCGGUGCUCCAUCCAUGUUCAUGAUACCCACUGACUUGUCGGAACACAAGUUUUCAAGACAAGCAGAAUUUAGUCAUGGCAAUUGUCGUUCAGCCAAAUACUCGCUAGGCAGACAAACUAGCAAGGUUCACUGUGAAGAUAGAAUAUUUUUUGCUGAAAUUUUUCAUGGCAAGCCAAGCAGAUUCAAGAUCCUAAUAAAGAUUUCUCGCAAAAAAAAGAUCCUAAUAAAGAUGCCACACAUUCUAAAGCUAAUGGUUUACUGCAUGGCAUGUCGAUCUACUGGGUGUUGAUUGCUCUAUGGAAUAUUUUGGUUCUCAGAGUUAUCAAUCAGUUCGGCAGACUAGUUCUUGAGUCAUGAGCAAUAAUUUUUGGAAUGAGAAUACGAGACCGAAAAUAUCUGUGUCUACACUUGCUUUUUCGUGGAAGGCCAUUGACCUGGAUUCACACUAGUGUCUGAGUUUAAGACGUGGCCAAUGUUACUAAACACUGUAACUAACUCAGACCAUUAAUCCCAAUUUUGCCAUUUUAAACUUUCCUCAUUCUAACCUCCAAGACAGGAGCUGUCGUCAUCAACCUCCAAGAAAAACAACAAAUUUGACGUCACAAACAUGUGAGCCACUUGCUAGAAAACAAAGCACUACAUUUGGCACGAGGGCUUAUAUGAGUGCAUUACUAGGUGUAUAUGGAUAAACAAAUGGAUAAUCACAUUUCCUUUGCUGCUGCAUUCCAUAUGCCACUGCAUUUAUUCUCCUACAAGCUUGCUAGAAUCUGUUGCUCUAUUUCCUCCUCAGAUUGUGUAUGGCGAAAUUCGUAAACAAGAAGACACCAAAGGGAGGGUACAUUAUGGUAGAAAGGAGGGGAACCAAAAUUGGAUAGGGGACAAAUUGCAUGCGGCCAUCAAGGAUGGACAGGGAUAUGCACCGGAAAAUCAAUUAGCACUCAACCUGUCAAGGUCAUUGUCCGUCGAAAGUUCUAAUUAGUGGAAUUUGACUAACUGACUGUAUUUAUUCCCUGUCCUUGGUCUUAUGCCAAGUUGUUGAGCUAGAGGUAAAAGCACUAGAGCACUGAAAUACCUACUUUACACCAUGAGGGCAACUGCUGCCUGCUCUGUGAUUCUGUGUUAUGUUAAUCUUGCUGGAAAGCAUUCCUUGGUGUUGUUAAACUUAAUACGCUUCUGUCAUAUGCACGCCGGAAAAAGCUCCGCGCUUUGGUCCGUGUACUUGAGUUUCAGUAAAGCGGUCUUCAGUUCUUAGGUAGAACUGCACAUAGCAUCCCAAUGCAUGUGUUUAGCUAGAAAUCAGGCAAUGCCAUUUCAGGUGGCAUGAUUGACACUUCUACAGCAGUAAAAAUUAGAUUGCGAGCGGAUUCUUCCGCUUUUGCUUUUUUUCUUUUCUUUGAAGAGUGCAGACCAUGGAAAGAAAGCUAGUGUCCCUUGUUUAAUCUGAUGCGGUGGCCAUCAGUAAGGCAAGUUUUUACUGUUUCUGUGUAGCUUUCUAUAUGCUUUGUAUUCCUCUUCGACAAUGGCUAUACACGGGGCAAGAGUUUGAAGGAAGAAGUUGGUAGAAAGUUGAUUAACUUUCAGAGUGUACUAUUGGACCAACACAUUUAUAUGCAUACAAAAAUGAAAAUGCAGCAAAAAUAUGAUUCAUGGGCAGAUCUGCACUUCCCUUUCCUGAGAACUAAAACUGCGGCUGUUAACAAGAUAGAUUUGUGGAAAGCAAACUGAAAAAGAAAGUGAACAGCAAGAAGGUAGGGUCCUUUUUGUUCGAAGAACAUUCCUUUUUUUUGUUUCAAAACUUACAACAAUAUAACAGAGUGAGUUGUUCAUUAUCUGGAAAAACAGAGUGAGUUGCAAACCUACAAUCUGUCACUUUAUUCUCUAAUUUGCUGGCAGAAGCUUUGUCUAGGGGGUAUCUGCUUUAACCUCAUCUUAUUGUCAAAAUUCCAAUGCAUGCACAUAUGGGUGACUUUCUCGUCCAUUCCGUGAAAUAAGAUGUGUGUUACUGAUUAUGUCAUACCAGUGAUGAAACAUAAUAAAUGAACAGUUCUUCUUUUGGGGGAAACUGUCAGCUAAAUAAUACUCUACUAGUCUAUAUACGGUUUUAGCAGCUGGUAUGUUCAGCAAAUAUGCUAACUCAGUGCAAGACUGCGUUGAGCUCUGUUCCAAGCAAUAGAUGAUCUGCCAACAAGCAAAAAACAUCUAUCCUGCUGCCCGGUUUGUGAGGAAACUGAAAGGCGAAGACACCGCACAGCGAAAACAGAGAUAUCUGAGAUUCGGCAAUGCUUUCUUUCACUUGAUUAUUUUUUUAGAGCAUUAGGGGAUUCCCCCGGUUCCAUUAGCAAAUGAAACCAAGUAGUCUUACAUCACACUCCAAACGAGCAUGUUCCAGGUUCACAACCAUCAUAAAAAUUAGAGAAAAGUGAUCGCCUUGGCCUCCAGCCAAACUACUUAAAACUUUAUAUUACAUUAGAUAAAACUCUCCUAGGAUUUCACUACUCUCAGGGCAGCAUCUCUGAAACAACACCUUCACCAGGGGCAACGCAACCCGGCCAUCUUGCUUUGUCUUUCGCGACCAGCAUCAGGCUCGCCAUCUUUACUUGCUCCAGGACAUCACUCCUCAUCUUCUUGAGCGGUUGGGUCGGUGAGCCAGGCAGCUCCAAAGGUGUACCUGGGCUUGAUGUGGUCUGAACAGAUUUCUUCAAUGGAGCAUCUUGAGGCCGGGCAGUAGCCUGGCUGCUCUCUAUCCGAAGAUCUCCCCCCGCCCUCAGCGACAGAUUGGCGAGCUUAGAGGUUUGCGAGACACCUUCAGUGUCAACCUCUCUCCCAAUCACCCCACUGUCAACUGGAAGGGCGCGUCAAGGAUGUUGGAUAUCCAGAGUGAGAUUUUAUGCAUCCUCUCCAGCGACUCCCCUUUGUACAGUAUCAUCCAUCUUUUGAGCGUCCUCCAGACUUGCCACCAUAUCUGCUUCAAGUCAGACCAGAUAGCGUUAUUAAACACUUGGUUAUUCCUAGUUUUCCACAAGCUCCACAAGAGACAAGCCACAAAAGGAUUCAUAGCUGUAUGUUUCUUGUUAGCCGGCCAAAACCUGGCAAUGGAGAGGUAGUUUGCUCCUAAAUCAACAGAAAAGAAAUUUGAAAUAUCACUCCAGAGUUUCCUAGCAACCACACAUUCGAAGAACAAGUGAUCUGCUGUUUCUUGCUCAGAGCAGAAUACCCAUUCUGGAGGUUUUUCUAUCCCUCUUUUGAGCAAGUUAUCCUUGGUCAUCAGCUUAUUGUGAGCUAGUAACCACAGGAAAACUUGUACUCUGGGCGGUACAACUAUAGACCAAAUAGAUGGAAUGUAGACAGGCUGCACCCCCCUAAAGUUUAUAAUAGCAUAGAGAGAGCUGGAGGUAUAUUCCCCUUUUGAUUCAUAUUGCCAGAUCAUAGCAUCAUCCUCAUCAGAGAGAGGAGUCUCUCUAAUGAUUUGCUUGAGGCAGUACCAAUCCUCCAUCAUACCACGUGUAAAAGCUCUCCUAAAUGUUAGCUUGGUACUCUCCCCAUCCCAAACAUCGGACACUGUCACACAUUGUUGAUGACAGAUAGAAUACAAAUGCCAAAACUGCACAGAAAGGGGUGAGGUCCCAAACCAUAUAUCCUCCCAGAAUCUGUUUUUUCUCCAACUCCCUAUUUUCCAUCUAUAGCCAAACUUCAAGUCUUUAGAGGCCCACAUUACACCUUAACAAAAUUUUGAGGGUGCCUGUGGUCUGCUAGCAAAUAUAUUGGGGGCAUUCCUAAUAUAUUUGUUAUCUAUAAUAGUUUUCCAGAUCUUCCCAUUGUCUUGAGCAUAUCCCUUAACCCAGCUUCCUAGCAAGCAAAGAUUAACAUCUUUGAUGUUUGGGACACCUACGCCUCCAUGCUCUUUUUUCAUGCAGACCAGGUGCCAAUUAGCUAGAUGGAAUUUUCUGUUCCCCUCAAAAUUACUCCACAGACAAUGUGCCAGUUGACUAUUAAUUAAGUCUAGGGCCCAUUUUGGGAACUUGAAGAAGGAUAGACUGGAGUACUAGCUAAGCAAGCUUUUACAAGAGUAAGCCUAGCCGAAUAAGAUAGUAGCUUCCGCCUCCAUCCAGCCAUCCUUUUCAAGAUUUUAUCUAUAAGUGGUUUGAUGUCCUCUCUUCUAAGCUUAUCAUAAUGCAAUGGGAUUCCCAGGUAUUUUAUGGGAGAAGUACCUAUAGUACACCCAAAGAUAUCAGCAAAGGAAGCUACAUCCCCAUCCUCUACACCUAAAGGGAUCAGCUCACUUUUAGUAUAGUUAAUUCUCAUACCUGAGACUUUCUCAAAAUAGGUUAAGAUCUUCUUAAGAUUAGAUGCUUUGCUCUUAUCAUCAUCCAUGAAUAGGAUGGUAUCAUCUGCAAACUACAAGCAGAUGANNNNNNNNNNNNNNNNNNNNNNNNNNNNNNNNNNNNNNNNNNNNNNNNNNNNNNNNNNNNNNNNNNNNNNNNNNNNNNNNNNNNNNNNNNNNNNNNNNNNNNNNNNNNNNNNNNNNNNNNNNNNNNNNNNNNNNNNNNNNNNNNNNNNNNNNNNNNNNNNNNNNNNNNNNNNNNNNNNNNNNNNNNNNNNNNNNNNNNNNNNNNNNNNNNNNNNNNNNNNNNNNNNNNNNNNNNNNNNNNNNNNNNNNNNNNNNNNNNNNNNNNNNNNNNNNNNNNNNNNNNNNNNNNNCAGAGCCCAGCCCUUUAAUUAAGUUAUGAGAGGAUGCUUUAACAAGCAUUCUGGUCAAAACAUCUACAACUAGAUUAAAGAGCAGGGGUGAGGCAGGGUCCCCCUGCCUUAAUCCUUUGUUAGUUACAAAGAAGUUACUCUCUACUCCAUUCACCUUAACACCUACUGACCCCAUAUGAGUGAUCUGAUGGAUCCAUUUGAUCCAUACAUUACCAAAGUUCCUUUUUGAAGGAUUUCCAUCAAGAAGUCUAAAUUAACUUUAUCAAAGGCCUUCUCAUAAUCUAGUUUAAGCACCAGCCUUGGGCUAUCAGAGUGGUAAGUGGAGUGCAAGACCUCAUGGGCAGUCACCACACUUUCCAGAAUGAACCUCCCCUUGAUGAAAGCUGACUGGUUAUUAGAGGUCAGGAAAUUCAUAAUGAUAGCAAGUCUAUUAGUUAGCACUUUAGUGAAGACAUUAAAAAUGCAGUUCAACACACUAAUUGGCCUAAACUUUUUCAUGCUGGUGGCAUCUUCCUCUUUUGGAAUAAGAGAAAUCAUGGCAAAGUUAAGCCUAUAAAUGUCUAAAUUACCAGAGUGGAAAUCCUCAAACAAUGCCAUUACAUCAUGUUUAAUGAUUUCCCAAAAUUCCUGUAGGAAGAGGAAUGAGAGGCCAUCAGGUCCAGUAGCACCAUCAGAGUAUGAACCAAAUAUGGCCUAUUUUACUUCUUCCUCAGUAAAAUGGGCUUGAAGGGAUUCAUUUUUGUCAUCAUAGAUUUUCUCAUCUGGGGAGAAGAAAUCCUGACUUAGAGUGAAGCCGUGUCUAUCCUCUUUUCUGAACAAAUCUUUAUAAAAAUCAGAAGCUAUUUUUGUCAUCUCAUUGAUGACAGUUGUGGUACCAUCUGGACCAUCAAGAGUAUGAAUCAGGGUUUUUCUCCUCCUAUGAUUAGCUACUGCAUUAGAGUACUUAGUAUUCCUAUCUCCUUCAAGAAUCUCUCUGUCUCUGGAUCUCUGUCUAGCUUUGGUCUCUUCCUUCAGCCAAAUGGCCUGAAGUUCUUUAAGGAUGUUCUGCAUCCUGACAUUCUCCACAUCAAACAGAUGUGUGAUGAUCCACAAGUAUAGGGGAUCAAUUGUAGCUCUUUUUGAUAAGUAAGAGCGUCGAACCCAACGGGGAGCAGAAGAAAAUGACAAGCAGUUUUCAGUAAGGUAAUGUCUGCAAGUGCUGAAAUUGUAAGUAGCAGAGUAGUUUGAUAGCAAGAUAAUUUGUAACGAGCAAGUAACGAUAGUAGCAAUAAGUAUGCAGCAAGGUAGCCCAAUCCUUUUGAGGCGAAGGACAGGCCAAAACGGUCUCUUAUGAUAAGCAAAGCGUUCUUGAGGGUACACGGGAAUUUCAUGUAGUCACUUUCAUCAUGUUGGUUCGAUUUGUGUUCGUUACUUUGAUAAUUUCAUAUGUGGGUGCACCGGUGCUUAGGUGUUGUUCUUACUUGAACAAACCUCCUACUUAUGAUUAACCCUCCCUCAAGCAUCCUCAACUACGAUAAAAGUAUUAAGAAUAAAUUCUAACCAUAGCACUAAACUUAUGGAUCCUAUCGGUCCCUUACGGAAUAGCGCAUAAACUGGGGUUUAAGAUUCUGUCACUCUCGCAACCCAUCAUCUAUUUGCUACUCCACAAUGCAUUCCCUUAGGCCCAAAUAUGGUGAAGUGUCAUGUAGUCGACGUUCACAUGACACCACUAAGUGAAUAACAACAUACAUACUAUCAAAACAUGGAACACAUGUCAAAUUCACAUGAUUACUUGCAACAUGAUUUCUCCCGUGACCUCAAGAACAAAAGUAACUACUCACAAAUGAUAAACAUGUUCAUGAUCAGAGGGGUAUUAAAUAGCAUAAUGGAUCUGAACAUAUAAUCUUCCACCAAAUAAACCAUAUAGUAAUCAACUACAAGAUGUAAUCAACACUACUAGUCACCCACAAGCACCAAUCUAUGGUUCCGGUAACAAGAUUGAACACAAGAGAUGAACUAGGGUUUGAGAUGAGAUGGUGUUGUUGAAGAUGUUGAUGGAGAUUGCCCUCCCCAAGAUGGGAGAGUUGUUGGUGAUGAUGAUGACGAUGAUUUCCCCCUCCGGGAGGGAAGUUCCCCCGGCGGAAUCGCUACGCCGGAGGGCAAAAUUGCUCCUGCCCAAGUUCCGCCUCGAUACAGCGGCGCUCCGUCCUGAAAGCCUUCUCCUUAAUUUUUCUAGGUAAAAAUGACUUAUAUACCAGAAGAUGGACACCGGAGGUGGGCCGAGGAGGGCACAACCCACCAAGGCGCGCCUGGUCUCCUUGGCGCGCCCAAGUGGGUUGUGCCCACCAGGUGGGCCCCCUCUGGUAGUUAUUUGCUCCAAUAAUUCUUAAAUAUUCCAUAAAAAAUAUCUGUGAAGUUUCAACUUGUUUGGAGUUGUGCAGAAUAGGUAGCCUGACAUAGCUUUUUCAGGUCCAGAUUUCCAGCUGCCAGAAUUCUCCCUCUUUGUGUGUACCUUGCAAAUUAUCAGAGAAAAGGCAUUAGAAUUACUCCAAAAAGCAUUAUUAUGAAUAAAAACAUUAUAAAUAACAACAAGAAAACAUGAUGCAAAAUGGACGUAUCAACUCUCCCAAGCUUAGACCUCGCUUGUCCUCAAGCGAAAACCAAAAUCGAAAAACAUGCCGACAUGCUUUGAGAGAGAGGUGUCGAUAAAAACAAAAUACGGACAUAGAAGCAUCAUGUUGAUUAUUAUUACAGCAACAAAAUUAAACAUAAGACUUUUAUCAUAGAACUUUCAUCAUACCCUUCUCAUGAAUAAGUAGCAGUUCAUCACACAAUCGAAGUAUAAAGAAAACCUCUAUUAGAAACUAACAAACUAUGUUCUCAGUCAACUUUGCAACUACAAUUCAUCAUCUUUUCAGGAAGAGCCACGUAUCGGAGCCUUUAGGUAAGUCCACAUACUCAACCAUCAUAUAGUCUUCUAUGAUUGCUAACACUCACCAUGUACACAUGAGCAAAACGUUUCAACCGGACAAUUAGAAAGAUAGGGGCUUAUUGUUUCGCCUCCCAACAUACUCACCUCAAGGGUGAUGUCAACAAUAAUAACUCAUGCUAUCUAUAUUCAACUGGACAUAUGUGCCUAGAUCUUUCCUCACCACAUGAUGCUUGCCAAAGGAGAAAAAUAAAAAGGAAUAGAAGGAAAACUUUGACUCUUUGCAUAAAAGUAAAUACAUAAAAGUAAAGGAUAGGCCCUUCGUAGAGGGAAGCAGAGGUUGCCAUGCGCUUAUUUGUUUGCAUGCUCAAUCCCUUAGUGCAAGAGAAAGUCACAUUGUAUUGCCCCUUAAGAUGACAACCUUUAUUAUGCAGUCUGUCGCUUUUAUUCUUUGUCAUCCAAGUUCGUACAACGCUCAAUUUUCUCUUACACUAAAUGAUCUCACAUAUUUAGAAGCAAUUUUAUUGCCUUUUUCCACCGAUGACAACUUACUUGAGGGAUCUUGUUCAAUCCCUAGGUAGGUAUAGUGGACACUUGAAAAAGAUUUGGGUUUAAGGGUUUUUGGAUGCACAAGUAGUAUCUCUACUUAGUGCGGAAUUUUUGGGUAGCAAAGAUAGGGGCAAGCAUCACAUGUUAAAGGAUCUAUGACAAUACGACUUAUAUGUGAAUAUAAACAAACAUAAACCAUUAAGUUGUCUUCCAUGUCCAACGUCAACAAUUUUGGCAUAUAAUAUUUUGAUGAGGGCUCACAAUCACAAAAGAUUUCUAGGAUAGUAUAUUUAUAUGUGGAUCUUCUCUUCCCUUAUUAACUCUUUCAUGAGUUGCAUCAUUGACUAAUGCUAUGUUUGUCAAUCUCUAAUAAAAUUUCCUACUUAUACUUUUCCUUAUGUGGUGCCAUCAGCUACCAUAGGAUUAGUAAAUGAUCUUAUUGAUUUAUUUCCUUUCUUUUAUUUAUUUCCUUUCUCUUUUUCUUUUCUUUAUUUCUUUUCUUUAUUUGCAACAUGAAAGUAAAGAAAGCAAAAAAUCAAACUAAACUUUAUUAUAUAACUUGCACACGAUUACAAUGAUAGAUCACUAAGCGACCUCUCAAAGAAGAAAGGAUCAAACUAAACUUUAUUUCAUCGAAAGCAAAAAGAUUGAACUAAGAUAAAUAAAAGAAAAAAGAUAGUGGGAUGAUACGAUACCGGGGCACCUCCCCCAAGCUUGGCGGAAGCCAAGGGGAGUGCCCAUACCCGAUACUCAGUUCUCUUUUGGUGGUGAAGAAGAUGGUGGUGGUGAUGAAGAAGAGGUCUUGUCCUCAGAUUUCCAUGGCAGUGGUCCACCAUCAUAAGAGGAAGAGUGAGUCUCACGGGUCCUGCAACUAGCAGCCAAACUCAUACCUUUAAACCUCGCCUCAUAUUCAAAGACUUGGUUCUGGAGGUCAUAGAUCUGGCUUUGGAAGAAGUUGAUUUCCUCAUUGAGGGUGAAGAUGAUGUCCUUCAUGGGCUGGCCAUCCACCUUGAGAUCACGGGAGAGGUCCGUGAUCAUUAGGUGAUUGGCAUGGAGUCCACGCUCCACCAUCCCCAUGCACCGGAUGACAUCUUGCUCCAUAGCUUCAAGCCUAGCCUCCACGGUUCCCGUCCCCUUGGGAAAGGGCACAUCGCGAAGGUGAAGCCCUCAUGCAUCUCAAUGACCUGAGGGUGCUGCACCACCUCCCGCAGAUAUGGGUUGAUGACGUUCUUGAAGAACUUGUCCUUGGAGGAGCUCGAACCAGCCAUGGUAGAUGGGAUCCGACAGAAAACAGCAAGGGAAAAAGAGAACAGAGGACACAAUAAAGUGGUUAACAGGUUCGGGAAGUAUAUAUAGAUUUUUUUAUCUUGGAGGACAAGUAUACCGAAGAAAAACGGAGUACGAAAGGUGUCCCAGGUGAGCACAACCCACCAGGGCGCGCUAGGCAUGCCUUGCGCACCCUAGUGUCUUGUGCCUACCAGGGGACGCUUCCUUGGAGUUUCUUUAUUUCCAAAAUUCUAAAAUAUUCCAAAACUGAUAAAAAAUAUUUUUGCAGAUUUUUCGGAGUCCGUUUACUUAUCGUAUUUCGUACCUCCUUAUUUUCACGAUUCUGGAGUGUUCCGGAAGGACUCUUUUAUGUGUUCUUCCGGUGUCAAAGUUUGGAUAAUAUUACUUUCAACAUUAAUAGGCGUAGCUAAGAUAUAAUGCUUUAUUCGUUGUCCAUUGACAACCUUUGGGUUAGUACCUUCGGAAUUAUUUAUUUUGAUGGCUCCAGACCAGUAAACCUCCUCGAUGACAUAUGGGCCUUCCCAUUUUGAGAGGUGCUUUCCUGCAAAGAAUCUAAAACGAGAGUUGUACAAAAGAACAUAUUCUCCGACUUUAAACUCACGCUUUUGGAUUCUUUUGUCAUGCCAUCUUUUAACUUUCUCUUUGAAUAAUUUUGCAUUUUCAUAAGCUUGGGUUCUCCGUUCAUCUAAUGAACUAAUAUCAAAUAACCACUUUUCACCAGCAAGCUUGAAAUCAUAGUUGAGCUCUUUAACUGCCCAAUAUGCUUUAUGUUCAAACUCAAGAGGCAAAUGACAAGUUUUUCCAUAAACCAUUUUAUAAGGAGACAUACCCAUAGGAUUUUUAUAUAUUGUUCUAUAAGCCCAAAGUGCAUCAUCUAAUUUCUUAGACCAAUUCUUUCUGGACCUAUUAACAGUCUUUUGCAAAAUUAAUUUUAUUUCUCUAUUGCUAAGUUUAACUUGACCACUAGACCGAGGAUGAUAGGGUGAUGCAAUUCUAUGGUUAACAUCAUACUUGGCAAGCAUUUUACGGAAAGCACCAUGAAUAAAGUGUGAACCACUACCAGUCAUUAAAUAUCUAGGGACUCCAAACCUUGGGAAAAUAACUUCCUUAAGCAUUUUAAUAGAGGUGUUGUGAUCAGCACUACUGGUUGGAAUAGCAUCUACCCAUUUAGUAACAUGAUCAACAGCAACCAAAAUAUGUGUAUACCCAUUAGAGGAAGGAAAAGGUCACAUGUAAUCAAAUCCCCAAACAUCAAAUGGUUCAAGAGCAAGUGAAUAAUUCAUAGGCAUUUCUUGACGCUUACCGAUAUUACCUAUUCUUUGACAUUCAUCACAAGAUGAGACGUACUUAUGGGCAUCCUUGAAGAGAGUAGGCUAACAAAAUCUAGACUGCAAUACCUUAUGAGCAGUUCUAUCUCCAGCAGGAUGCCCUCCAUAAGCCUCGGAGUGACAUUUCCAUAGGAUUUGUCCCUGUUCAUGCUCAGUUACACAACGUCUAAUAAUACCAUCUACUCCUUCUUUAUAAAGAUGUGGGUCAUCCCAAAAGUAAUGUCUUAAAUCAUAGAAGAAUUUUUUCUUUUGUUGGUAUGUAAAGGUACGUGGUAAAUAUUUAGCAACAAUGUAAUUAGCAUAGUCAGCAUACCAAGGACUACUAUUAGCAACAUUUAUUGCAGCUAAUUGUUCAUGAGGAAAACUAUCAUCAAUAGGAAGUGGGUCAUCAAGCACAUUUUCGAGCCUAGACAAGUUAUCAGCUACGGGGUUCUCAGCUCCUUUUCUAUCAAUGAUAUGUAAAUCAAAUUCUUGUAACAAGAGAACCCAAUGAAUAAGUCUAGGUUUAGCAUCUUUCUUUUCCAUAAGAUAUUUAAUAGCAGCAUGGUCUGUGUGAAUAGUUACUUUGGAAUCAACAAUAUAAGGUCUAAAUUAAUCACAAGCAAACAACACUGCUAAGAAUUCUUUUUUAGUAGUAGCAUAAUUUCUUUGAGCACUCUCUAGAGUUUUACUAGCAUAAUGGAUAACAUUUAAUUUCUUAUCAACUCUUUGUCCUAGAACAGCACCAACAACAUAAUCACUAGCAUCACACAUAAUUUGAAAAGGCAAGUUCCAAUCAGGUGGUUGAACAAUAGGUGCAGAAAUUAAGGCUUUCUUGAGUGUUUCAAAGGCUUCUAAACAAUCAUCAUAAAAAACAAAAGGAAUAUCCUUUUGCAAAAGAUUAGUAAGAGGCUUAGAAAUUUUAGAAAAGUCUUUGAUAAUUCUUCUAUAGAAACCAGCAUGACCUAGGAAACUACGAAUACCUUUUAUAUCUUUAGGACAUGGCAUUUUCUCAAUUGCAUCAACCUUAGCUUGGUCCACUUCAAUACCUCUUUGAUAGAUUUUAUGACCCAAGACAAUGCCUUCAUUAACCAUAAAGUGGCACAUCUCCCAAUUCAAGACAAGAUUUGUUUGUUCACAUCUCUGCAAAACUCGAUCAAGAUUGCUUAAACAAUCAUCAAAAGACUUCCCAUAAACAGAGAAGUCAUCAAUGAAAACCUCAACAAUCUUUUCACAAAAGUCUGAGAAUAUAGCAGUCAUACAUCUUUGAAAGGUAGCAGGUGCAUUACAUAAACCAAAAGGCAUAUGUCUAUAAGCAUAGGUUCCAAAAGGACAAGUAAAAGUGGUCUUUUCUUGAUCAGCUUGAGAAACAGGUAUUUGUGAAAAGCCAGAAUAUCCAUCAAGGAAGAAAAAGUGUGUGUGCUUAGAUAAUCUUUCAAGAAUUUGAUCAAUAAAAGGCAAAGGGUAAUGAUCUUUUCUAGUUGCUUUAUUUAAUUUUCUAAAAUCAAUUACCAUUCUAUAGCCUGUAACAAUUCUUUGUGGAAUAAGUUCAUUCUUAUCAUUAGGAACAACAGUAAUACCUCCUUUCUUAGGGACACAAUGAACAGGACUUACCCAUCUACUAUCAGCUAUGGGAUAGAUAAUACCAGCUUCCAGAAAUUUUAGUAUUUCGGUUCUUACCACCUCUUUCAUCUUCGGAUUUAACCGAUGUUGGUGAUCAACAACAGGUUUAGCAUCAGGUUCCAUAUUAAUUUUGUGCUGACAUAGAGUGGGACUAAUGCAGCUCGGUGCUUCCUUAGAACUUUCAAUAAUCUUUCUUCUUCAUGUUCUGAAAGGUUAGCACUGAUAAUAACAUGAUAUAUUUUCUUUUCAUUAAGAUAAGCAUAUUUCAGAGUGUCUAGCAAUUGUUUUAAUUCAAACACAGGAUCACCUUUAGGUGGAGGUGGACCUCCUAGAGUUUCAAUAGGUAAAUUGUGUUUAAGUAGAGGACGUUGUUCAAAGAAAAUCCUAUCUAUUUCAUUUCUUUCAUGCAUAUGUAAAUCAUUUUCAUGGUCUAGCAAAUAUUGUUCUAAAGGAUCAGUAGGUGGAACAACAAUAGAAGCAAGACUAAUUAAUUCAUCUUUACUAGGCAAUUCUUUUUCAUGAAGUUUUCUAUUAAACUUGGAAAAAUUAAACUCAUGAGACUCAUCACCAAAGCUAACACCCACAAUUUGUUUCUUACAAUCUAUCUUAGCAUUAAUUGUGUUCAAGAAAGGUCUACCAAAGAUAAUGGGACAAAAGCCAUCUUGUGGGGAACCAAGAACAAGAAAAUCAAUAAGGUAUUUUAUUUUCCCACACAAGACUUCAACAUCUCUAACAAUCCCAAUUGGUGAUAUAGUGUCCCUAUUAGCAAGUUUAAUAGCAACAUCUAUUUCUUCUAUCUUAGUAGGUGCUAUGUCUUUCAGAAUUUCUUGAUAUAAAGUGUAAGGAAUAACACUCACACUAGCACCCAUGUCACAUAAACCAUGAUAACAGUGAUCUCCUAUUUUAACUGAAAUGACAGGCAUGCCUACAACAGGUCUAUGUUUAUCCCUUUUAUCAGGUUUAGCAAUUCUAGCAGCUUCUUCAUAGAAGUAAAUAACAUGCCCAUCAAUAUCUUCUUCCAAGAGAUCUUUAACCAUAGCAAUGCUAGGUUCUACUUUAAUUUGUUCAUCAGGUUUGGGUGUUCUAAUAUAGCUUUUGUUAACCACAGUUGAAACUUUAGCAGGUCCCUUUAUCCUAACAGGAAAAGGUGGUUUCUCAAUAUAAGCAGAAGGGACAACUGGAUCAACAUUAUAAAUUAUAGUUUCUUAUUUAACAAGUACCGGUUCUUUAAUUUCUUCUUUAAUAGGUGGGUGAUAUUUAAACCAUUUCUCUUUAGGGAGUUAAACAUGAGUAGCAAAUGAUUCAGAAAAAGAGGCUACUAUCUCAGAGUCAAGUCCAUAUUUAGUGCUAAACUUUUGAAAAGCAUCGGUGUCCAUAAAAGAUUUAAGACAAUCAUACUUAAGUUUAAUAACUGACUCUUUACCUUCGCCGAGUUCCCAAUCUUCAGAGUUGCAUUUAAUUCUUUCCAAAAGAUCCCACCGGAAUUCAAUAGUAUUAUUCAUAAAAGAACCAGCACAAGAAGUAUCAAGCAUGGUUUGAUCAUUACGAGAAAGCCGAGCAUAAAAGUUCUGAAUAAUAAUUUCUCUUGAGAGCUCAUGAUUGGGGCAUGAAUAUAACAUUGAUUUAAGCCUCCCCCAAGCUAGAGCGAUACUUUCUCCUUCACGAGGCCAAAAAUUAUAUACAUAAUUCCGAUCACGAUGAACUAGAUGCAUAGGAUAUUUUUUUUGGUGGAACUCCAAUUUCAAACGAUUCCAAUUCCAUGAUCCAAUAUCAUCGUAUAGCCUAUACCAUGCCAAUGCUUUUCCCUUCAAAGAUAAAGAGAAAACCUUUUUCAUCUCCUCAUCUCCGGGUAAACCUGCAAGCUUAAAUAGUCCACAAAUUUGUUACAUAUAUCAAGUGCAUAUCAGGAUGUUCUCUUCCAUCUCCUACAUAAGGAUUAGCUAGCAGUUGUUCUAUCAUACCCGAAGGAAUUUCAUAUUCAAUAUUUUCAGUAGUUGCAGUAGGUUGAGGGGUAAAUAAUUGUGGUUCCGGACAAGGUGAAGAUACCCCGAACAAACCCCUCAAAGGAUUGUUUUCCAUAGUGACAAGUGACAAUAAAUUUCAGCACACUAUAUAAAUGUUUCCUUACCUAAUUCCACUUACCAAAGGCACUUCACUCCCCGGCAAUGGCGCCAGAAAAUAGCCUUGAUGACCCACAAGUAUAGGGGAUCAAUUCUAGCUCUUUUCGAUAAGUAAGAGUGUCGAACCCAAUGAGGAGCAGAAGGAAAUGACAAGUAGUUUUCAGUAAGGUAAUGUCUGCAAGUGCUGAAAUUGUAAGUAGCAGAGUUGUUUGAUAGCAAGAUAAUUUAUAACGAGCAAGUAACGAUAGUAGCAAUAAGUAUGCAGCAAGGUACCCCAAUCCUUUUGAGGCAAAGUACAGGACAAAAUGGUCUCUUAUGAUAAGCAAAGCGUUCUUGAGGGUACACGGGAUUUUCACCUACACUUUCAUCAUGUUGGUUCGAUUUGUGUUCGCUACUUUGAUAAUUUGAUAUGUGGGUGGACCGGUGCUUAGGUGCUAUUCCUACUUGAACAAAACUCCUACUUAUGAUUAACCCUCCCGCAAGCAUUCGCAACUACGAGCAAAGUAUUAAGAAUAAAUUCUAACCAUAGCAUUAAACUUAUGGAUCCAAUCGGUCCCUUACGGAAUAGCGCAUAAACUGGGGUUUAAGCUUCUGUCACUCUCAUAACCCAUAAUCUAGUUGCUACUCCACAAUGCAUUCCCUUAGGACCAUAUAUGGUGAAGUGUCACGUAGUCGACGUUCACAUGACACCACUAAGGGAAUAACAACAUACAUACUAUCAAAAUAUCGAACACAUAUCAAAUUCACAUGAUUACUUGCAACAUGAUUUCUCCCGUGACCUCAAGAACAGAACUAACUACUCACAAAUAAUAAAUAGGUUCAUGAUCAGAGGGGUAUUAAAUAGCAUAAUGGAUAUGAACAUAUAAUCUUCAACCAAAUAAACCAUAUAGUAAUCAACUACAAGAUGUAAUCAACACUACUAGUCACCCACAAGCACCAAUCUAUGGUUCCGGUAAGAAGAUUGAACACAAGAGAUGAACUAGGGUUUGAGAUGAGAUGAUAUUGUUGAACAUGUUGAUGGAGAUUGCCCUCCCCAAGAUGGGAGAGUUGUUGGUGAUGAUGAUGACGAUGAUUUCCCCCUCCUGGAGGGAAGUUCCCCCGGCGGAAUCGAUCCGCCGAAGGGAAAAAGUGCUCCUGCCCAAGUUCCGCCUCGAGACGGCGGCGCUCUAUCCCGAAAACCUUCUCCUUAAUUUUUCUAGGUAAAAAUGACUUAUAUACCAUAAGAUGGGCACCGGAGGUGGGCCGAGGAGGGCACAACCCACUAGGGCGCGCCUGGGCUCCCUGGCGCGCCGAGGAGGGCACAACCCACCAGGGCGUGCCUGGGCUCCCUGGCGCGCCCAGGUGGAUUGUGCCCACCUGGUGGGCCCCCUCUGGUAGUUAUUUGCUCCAAUAAUUCUUAAAUAUUCCAUAAAAAAUCUUCGUGAAGUUUCUUCUUGUUUGGAGUUGUGCAGAAUAGGUAGCCUGACGUAGCUUUUUCAGGUCCAGAUUUCCAGUUGCCGGAAAUCUCCCUCUUAGUGUGUACCUUGAAAAUUAUGAGAGAAAAGCAUUAGAAUUACUCCAAAAAGCAUUAUUAUGGAUAAAAACAUUAUAAAUAACAGCAAGAAAACAUGAUGCAAACUGGACUUAUCAAUGUACAGUUUCAGAUUUGAUAUCUAGCAUAUCAAAUUCAAUGGUAAGCUCAUUCUGUUUUUUCUAAUGCUAGCUUCUAUGUUUUUACUCCACCCUCUAGAAAAUCUUCUAAACCUUCUCACCUUCUCUUGCCACACAUCUAUAGGUUUAGUCAUCUUAACUGGAGCAGCCCAAUGUCUGGCAGCAAGCUCCUUAAAGUCUUGGUGUAAAAGCCACCAUUUUUCAAACUUAUAGCUAGAUGCCCUAGGGGUGCUCCCAGAGCAGAGGAGUGUGGUCACUACCUGUUCUAGGAAGAACUUGGGAUGUGCUCAAAGAAAAAAUGGCAUCUAGUUCUGUGGUACAAAAGAUCCUAUCAAUUAUAGACAUGAUAGGAUCCCCUUGGUUAUUAGCCCAAGUGAAUUUCCUUCCUAAUAUCUUAAUCUCUAAUAAACUCCAAAUCUCCACCAAGCAUUAAAAUUGUCAGCCCAAUGGUGAUUAAUAUUACCACUGCUUUUAUCUUGCUGGUAUCUAACUAGAUUAAAGUCUCCCCCUAUUAGAGUUGGAAGCUGAUCAUCCACAAAUAAGCUAUGCAACUCUGAGAUGAAAUCAUCUUUUCCUUCUUCAUAUGGAGAACCAUAAACAACCACUAUUAUAAAGCAAACACCACUAGAUUUAACUCUAAGAUUACAUGACACCGAAAAUUUGAGGGAGCUCCAUUGCAGGAUAUCAAACAUGUCUAUAUCUACUCCAACCAAUACACCUCUUGCUGACCCGACUGCGGGGAGGUGAUGCCAUUGGAAGUUUUUACUACCACUAAUAGACUUCAAGAAAGAAGCUGAAAGUUCUUAUUUCUUAGUUUCUUGGAAGGCAACUAUACUAGCAUUGGUUUUAUUGAGGGUGUCCACUGUACAUAAUUUUUUUUUUCAUGUGUAGUGAUCCCUCUUAUAUUCCAGAAAAGACAAUUCAACUAAACAAGACUUUCCUGGGGUGCUUGCCCCGCCCAUGUUUAGAGAUCUUGGUCCAGAUUUCACUUUGAUCCUCUACACUAGAAAAGACCCUUUUAACCCUUCAAGUGUACUAGGAGACUAUUACAUUAUCUGGACACUUUGACCCUACAGGUCUGUCCAGACCCUGAUCUUUAAUCACAUCACUUCUUUUGCUAGUGUUGUUCACCAUUUCAUUUUCUCCUUGUCUGAGCCCUUCAGGCUCUUGAGGAGGAUGAUUUUUGGUUACUAUGCUAGCAUAGGAAGUUUUUUUGCUUAGCAACCUCUAUACCUACUUUCUUAGCUACAGAAAUGAAUACUGGAUCAUAAAAGUUAUCAAAAGGAUUAGUUUUGAUAGUACCUUUGAAAUUUCCUCUAGGUUCUUCAAGGUUUUGCCCUGUUUUGGAUCCCAUGGCUAUUUCCAGCAUAGUCCUAUCACCAAUGUCCACCCUGGUGCUUCUCCUUUGUGCCUGAACAGGCCCCCGUUUCUGAUGGAGAGGAGCCUGUUUUGUGGCUUAUGUGAGACUUGGGUUGAAUACUACCUCAUCUUGAUCAUCACUCCCCUGCAUCUCACUAGUUUGAUCAUCAAGCAUAAUGUCGUUGUCUUCCUCUUCAUCUUCCCCAUUAUCCAUAUCUUGUAGUAGCUUGAAACUUUCAUCCAAGGAGAUAGGAUCUUGCAGCUGGUGGAGAUAGCUCAACACAUUCCGCCUGACUUGCUGUGAAGCAUCUGAAUUGGCACUGCUUCCUCUGUUUAGAUUGGAGGGGUUUUUAGGGACUGAAUUGGAGCCUCCAGCUCCAGCCCCAUUGCUAAUGUUGUCCUGAACUGCCUUUGGCCUACUGUUAUCAUUAUCUUCAUCUAGUAGGUCUUCAUCCUCUCCUUCCUCUACUAGAGGGUCCACUACAAUCUUGAUCUUGUACAGCUUAUCUCCUAUCCCAAAGAUUCUCUUAGAUGAAAUUUUGGUGAAGUCUUUGCAUCUGAUCUUGAUAUUCACCACUUCAAAGAAGGAUUUGAAAUUCCCUUGCCAAUGUACAUCAACCAAAGUGCCUAGGACUGAUGCAAACUGUUCUAGCACUGAUUACUCUGCCCAGUUGGGUGCAACUCCUCUUAACUGGAGCCACACUAUUUGUAAUUCUACAUGGUGUUCCAUCUCACCUUUCCACCCUUCCACAUUUACUAACACCCCUUCAAUCUCAGGCAGACCAAAGUUAGGAUAUCCAACAACUGUGGCAACUGGGAUAUGUGGUGGAAAUUUAACUAGAAAGGUCCAACUGUCAAGCAUCCUGAUAUGCCAUGGCCAGUUGGUCUUAUAGAUUGCAGAGAAGUUAUGAGCUAAUUCCUCCUUUGUGACUUGGCCAGCUUCCGCAUAGACUAUACCAACAUUCUUCAUGUUCCCCACAUGCUGCCCAUUCACAUUAGGCACAUCAACCUUGAAGAACCCCAGGCCUGAAGCUGCACUCCCAACAUAUAUGGCAUUGUUCCUUGGCUUCUUCCUAACUAGGCAUUCCUCAACCUUGUGUGUCACCAUUUUGCAAAUAAAGCAAGAAGGAGGAUUGGGACACUGAGCUUUGUGAUGCUCAGGUUCCCCACAGGUGUAACAGGUAACAUCACUAUAGUCAGUAUCUGAAGAAUCUUUGGCUUUACCAGUUGCCUCGCCUUUGUUCUGUAGCUUGUUCAUCUUCUGCUGCUGAGGAUAGGUGCUGAUCCCUUUGUUGGCUUCACCACUUUUUUGUCAUGUGAUCUGUUGCCCUUGUUGACCCUGGUUCUGCAUCUGGUCCUGUCCCGGGGUCGGCCGCUCGCCUGAGCGGGGAGUCGAGAUCUAAUCCCUCUUGCUAAAGACCUCCCGCCUCCAUGCCACCGAAACGCCGAAUCAUGGCCGCGGGGGUUGCAGGGACCAGAACGCUCGCCAUUUGGCCCUGCUCGCCGGCGAGGGCGAGCUCGCCUCCGCUUGCGCACAAGCUAUUACCUCCUCUGGUUCCAACGAUGCCGCUACCAUCGUUCUUCUCAUAUCCUCCUCUGUUGCUUCCACACAGAUCCUUGUAACCAGCUUGACCACCGUGUCGCCGCGGGACGGCCUCCUCAUCGUCCUCCGCAGGCGCGCCCGAUGCAUCUCCUCCGCCAUCUCUGCCCCAUCGUAUCUCACUCUCCUCCCUUCCUCGCCCAUGAUGGCUGACGGGGAGGAUGGGAGGGGUCAGAACCGUGUGCUGGGCGGCUGCGGGGAGGGUGGGGAGGUUGGAGGAGGGGCAGGGCAAGGCGGUCGUCGGCGAGAUCCGCCGGAUCUGGUGGCUACGGUGGUAGGUGGAGGGAGCGAGACACGACGCUUGAUCGAGAGCGAGAGCGCUCAUUUCAAAAGUUUUCCAUAAUCAUUUCACUUGGUUGUGGCAAGUCUUUUGCCUCGUUUCACAAAAAAUGAGAAGCCAGAUGCACAUAGGGAAAACAUAGAUGGAGACUCAUCUGAUAUUUGGCAAUGAUUUCUUAGUUCUUUCAUUUGAUUAUGUAUGGUACAAGGUGAAAGCAGCUCCAGCCGAAUUACAAGCAACUACACUACACAAACAGACUGGUAAAGGUAAAACCAUCUACCAGAAAAAGCUUCCUGGAGCUGCUGCUUCUUCUCCCUGCCGUACAAAACAUGCAGGCUCUAUGUCAAAAUCCACAGCCGCCUAUUCCUCUCACACGCACUCUAUGCUCUAGGUGCCUUUCAGUUACGGCUGAUCAGAAGACGAUUGACCAAAACCCAACAGAACAAGAAGAGGAAAAAAAGACAGAGCCACUGAGUAAAACAGAGGCGGUAGUGUUUAGGGAGAGGGAGGGAUUGAUGGGAUGAACUGCCAUGCUAGCUCUAGCUAAUCCUAACGACUAGCUAGUACCUGACGAGGGUGGUAGUAGUGGUAAUCCAUGGCGGCGUUGUCCCUAUGAUCAGCAGCCUCGUGGCGGCGCGGCGUGUAGGCGCCGUUGCCGGUGUCGUCGCCGACCUUGUUGUGCCACGCGGAGUGCCUCCGCGGUGUCUCGCUGCCAGCCUUGUCUUACAAUUAGGCGGCGUGGUCGGCUUUCAGCGUGCUGUCGUGGUGCCCGGACUCGUGGACGGCGAGGGCGGGCGGCUCGUGGUAGACCGGCGCUGUCACCGAUGCUGACCAGUAGCCGUUUCCUCUACUGCGGCCGUAGUCGUCCCGUCUGCGGCCGCUGAAGCACGAGCCGAACUCCAGGCUCAUUCCUGGUGGCCCUCGUGUGCGUGUGCUGGGCUACUGGUAGUGGCAAGCAACACUAUCCUGGAAGUAGCUGCUGGGAAUGGGUAUUGAUCAGUGGUGGUGUUGAUGGCCCUGAAACUGACAGUGUUGGUGUGGUGGGUGAUAUAUAUUCCGGUUGGAGAGAUUAGAGCUCGUGUUGGACGCGACGUGUGCGUUCGAAGCCAAGCAAAGCUCCGUAGGAUGGGUGGGCUGGGUCUAGGUCCCGAUCGACCAGGCUCGUCGUCAACACAUCUCCCUGCCCUCGGAUGUGGCUGUUUAGGUCCCAGUCGAUCAUUCUCGUCCAACUCGCUCUCCGGACUCCGGUCUCCAGGGCCAGUCAACCGUGUGAAACAUGGAUGGAUGGAUGGAGGGAGGGCGGUGCAGCGGGACAGCAGAAUAUAUUUUUGGGGACGGCUGUGGAUGUGAUUAUGGAGGGCGGGCUCUCGUGAGGAUGUGUUUCAGUUUCAAGCUUUCAACACGGCGCACCUGGCGCGGGCAACACCGACGUUGGACUCUUCGUUCACUGGUUUUCGCUGAAUCUGUCACGCGCUGGAUUCUUUUACCCGUUCAUAAUUGACAAUUUUUUUUGCAGGGUUAUAAUUGACAAUUUUGCCUGAAAGUCCAAUUAAACAUUUUCUGCAAUCUCUUGUCAAAUUGGAGAGCUCUGUUGGUUGUGAUAGCUCUAAAAUUAAGGACCAAAGUGUAUAUAUAGAUAGACAGUGAUAUCUUCCUAAUGUUCUCAAUUUAAGCAACAUAUCUGAACACAACCUAGCCUAACUAAUCACGUGCAUGCAGCCCGCUUUGUAAGCAAAAAGCGAGAGAAGAGCAUGCAUGGCCUUGCCAUAUGCAUGCAAAUUAAUAUAAAAAUGUGAUGAUGUCAGUAAAAGAUUCUCUUUUAUUUUGAAACUUUAAAAUGUUCUGUCGCGGUCCGAUUGAAAAACCACUUUGACAUAAAAAAAAUCGCCGCGACGAGACCUUCCAAGCUAGAUCCCAUAUUGUUAUGUUUCGACAAAUUUUUUUCGGGCCAAAAAAUACCAGACCUAGUACAAGUAAGUUACCACGCAUGCAGAGUGUAUAUUACCAUGCUUUUUGCAGAGAAGUCACCGAGGUUAUUUUUAAUCAAUUCCUUUUCCAGGUCUAAAGUUUACUAAUGGUACCCCCAUCAACAUUGUUGUGGUGUCUAUGCCUAAGUAAUCAUGUAUGUGGUGUGUCUGUUGCCAUCAUAUAAUACAGAAGUUAUUGGGUGUUAUGUAUUCAACAACCUUUUUGCCCAGGCAAAUAGUUACCAUAGUAUUGUACCUAAGUUAUCAGGUAUGCGGUACAUAUAUUACCAUGAUAUUUAACACAAACCUUACCGGCGGUAUGUUUUCCAACUACCCCCCCCCCCCAAACCAAAGUUACCGCGGUGUUUGUACCUGAGUNNNNNNNNNNNNNNNNNNNNNNNNNNNNNNNNNNNNNNNNNNNNNNNNNNNNNNNNNNNNNNNNNNNNNNNNNNNNNNNNNNNNNNNNNNNNNNNNNNNNNNNNNNNNNNNNNNNNNNNNNNNNNNNNNNNNNNNNNNNNNNNNNNNNNNNNNNNNNNNNNNNNNNNNNNNNNNNNNNNNNNNNNNNNNNNNNNNNNNNNNNNNNNNNNNNNNNNNNNNNNNNNNNNNNNNNNNNNNNNNNNNNNNNNNNNNNNNNNNNNNNNNNNNNNNNNNNNNNNNNNNNNNNNNNNNNNNNNNNNNNNNNNNNNNNNNNNNNNAGUUAUGAGCGGUAUGUUUUCCAACAACUCCCCCACAUCAAAGUUACUGCCGUGUUUGUACCUAAGUUAUCAGGUUUGCGGUGUGUCUAUUACCAUCAUAUUUAUAAAGCUAUCAAGGGUGUGUAUAAGACAUUUUUUUGCCCAGGUCAAAAGUUACCGCAGUGUUUGUACCUAAGUGAUCGGAUCUGUGGUAUGCAUAUUACCGUGCUAUCUAACACGAAAGUUGACCGUGGCAUGUUUCCAACAACACCCCCAUCAAAGUUACUGAAGUGUUUGUACCUAAGUUAUCAGGUUUGCGGUGUGUCUAUUACCAUCAUAUUUAUAAAGUUAUCAAGGGUGUGUAUAAGACAUUUUUUUGCCCAGGUCAAAAGUUACCGCAGUGUUUGUACCUAAGUUAUCGGAUCUGUGGUAUGCAUAUUACCGUGCUAUCUAACACGAAAGUUGACUGUGGUAUGUUUCCAACAACACCCCCAUCAAAGUUACUGAAGUGUUUGUACCUAAAUUAUCAGGUUUGUAGUGUGUCUAUUACCAUCAUAUUUAUAAAGAAAUUAUUGGGGUGUGUAUUCCACAUUUUUUUUGCCCAGGUAAAAAGCUACCACAACGUUUGUAUCUAAGUUAUCGGGUUCGGGUUACGUAUAUUACCGUGCUAUUUAACACGAAAGUUAUCCCAGGGUAUGUUUUCCAACAACUUUCCCAUCAAAGUUAUCAUGGUGUUUGUACCUAAGUUAUCAGGUCUGCGGUAUUUCUGUUACCAUCAUUAUAAACAAGUUAUCGGGGGUGUGUAUUCGACAGCUUUUUUGCCCAAGUAAGAAGGUACCCGCAGUGUUUGUACAUAAGUUAUCAGGUAUGAGGUACAUAUAUUACCGUGUUAUUUAAUAUGAAAAUUACAGGCGGUAUGUUUUCCAACAACUUCCCACAUCAAAGUUUUCUCGGGUAUUUUGUACCUAAGUUAUCACGUUUACGGCGUGUUUCUUACCAUCAUAUUUCUGCAACAAUUAUCGGGGGUGUGUAUUGAGCUGCUUUUUUGCCGUCGGCAAAAAAGUUACCGUAGUGUUGGUAUAUAAGUUAUCAGGUCUGUGGUGUUUCUAUUACCAUCAUAUUUAUACAGGAGUUAUCGGGGGUGUGUCGAACACUUUUUUUGCCCAGCUAAAAAGUUACCACAGUGUAUGUACAUAAGUUAUUGUUGGAAAUAUGCCCUAGAGGCAAUAAUAAAGUGGUUAUUAUUAUAUUUCCAUGUUCAUGAUAAUCGUUUAUUAUCCAUGCUAUAAUUGUAUUGACUGGAAACUCAAAUACAUGUGUGGAUACAUAGAGAACAACAUGUCCCUAGUAAGCCUCUACCGGACUAGCUCGUUGAUCAAAGAUGGCUAUUGUUCCCUAGCCAUAUACAUGGGUUGUCAUUUAGUAACGGGAUCACAUCAUUAGAAGAAUGAUGUGAUGGACAAGACCCAAACUAUAAACGUAGCAGAUGGUCGUGUCAAGUUUAUUGCUAUCAUUUUCUGCAUGUCAAGUAUAUGUUCCUAUGACCAUGAGAUCAUGAAACUCACUAACACCAGAGGAAUACCUUGUGUGUACCAAACGUCACAAUGUAACUGGGUGUCUAUAAUGGUGCUCUUUAGGUAUCUCCGAGGGUGUCGGUUGACUUGGCAUGGAUGAAGACUGGGAUUUGUUACUCCGUAUGACGGAGAGGUAUCUCAGGCCCACUCGGUAUUACAACGUCAUAGUAAGCUUGCAAGCAAUGUCACUAAUGAGUUAGCCACGGGAUCUUGUAUUAUGGAAUGAGUAAAGAGACUUGCCGGUAAUGAGAUUGAACUAGGUAUAGGCGUACGGACGAUCGAAUCUCGGGCAAGUAACAUACCGAUGGACGAAGGGAACUAUAUACGGGAAUAGCUGAAUCCUUGACAUCGAGGUUCGACCGAUAAAGAUCUUCGUAGAAUAUGUAGGAACCAGUAUGGACAUCCAGGUCCCGCUAUAGUUUAUUGAUCGUAGAGCUGUCUCGGUCAUGUCUACAUGAUUCUCGAACCCGUAGGGUCGAACGCUCAACGCUCGGUAGCGCUAGGGUAGUAUUGAGAUAUUAAUAGUGGAAAGUCCGAAGGUUGUUCGGAGUCCCGGAUGGGAUCCGGGACAUGACGAGGAGCUCUGGAAUGGUCCAGAGGUAAAGAUUUAUAUAUGAGAAGUCAUAUUUUGGGCUCCGGAAAAAGUUUGGUUUUUUCGGUAUUGUACUGGGAAGGUUCUAGAAGGUUCCGGGGGUUCCACCGUGGGGCCCAAUGACCUAGGAAGGGCCCACAUGGACCGAGGGGUGGGGCUACAGCCCACUUAGGCUGGCCGCCCCAUUCCCCAAGGCACAUGUUGUUUAAGUAUAGAGAUAAGGUCUUAUCUCUAAAUUUAAAGGGUUGAAUCAAGAGAAAAGAUGUUAUCUCCAAGUUUAAAGGGAUUUCAACCUUGUGGCCGGCCCUAGAUGGGCUUUGGACGCCCUCCCUUGCCCCCUAGCCUAUAUAUAGAUGGGGGAGGUGCAUGGGGGCAGCCAACCCUUCACCUUUGCCCAUUGCCUCUCCCAACUCCUCUCACGUUUCACCGGUACGUGCUUGGCGAAGCCCUGCCGGAGUUCCGUUGCCACCACCACCAUCACACCAUCGUUUGGUUCAGAUCUCAUCUACCUCCUCUCUCUCGCUUGCUGGAUCAAGAAGGAGAGGACGCAGCCGAGCCGCACGUGUGCUAACGGAGGUGCCGUUCAUUCGACACUUGAUCGGGAGUUCGUGGACGGAUCGUAGUUGUUCAUCUCCUCGAUCGAUCUUGGUGAGCGUAGGAAUUUUUUUGUUUCCCAUGCAACGUUCCCCAACAGUGGUAUUAGAGUUAGGUUUAUGCGUAGAUGACAUCAUGAGUAGAACACAAAGGAGUUUGUGGGCGUUGAUAUUCAGAUUGCUUCCUUCCUUGGUCUUUUCUUGAUUCGGUAGUAUUGUGGGAUGAAGCGGCCCGGACCAACUUUACAUGUCCACGUACAUGAGACCGGUUCCAUCGACAGACAUGUGACUUUGUUGCAUAAGAUGGCUGCUGGGUGUCUGUCUCUCCCACCUUAGUUGAAUCGGAUUCGACAAAGGCGGUCCUUGUAGAAGGUUAAAUAGCAACUUGCAUAUCACCGUGGUGGCUUUGCGUAGGUUAGAUUCGUUCUUGCUAGAUACCCAUAGCAGCCACGUAAAACAUGGAACCACAAUUAGAGGACGUCUAACUUAUUUUUGCAGGGUAUGUUGUGAUAUGAUGUGGCCAAACACAUGAUGAAAUAUAUUUGAUGUAUGAGAUGAUCAUGUUUGUAUGAUACGGACAAACACAUGUAUGUCGAUGCAUACGGCAACCAGCAGGAGCCAUAGGGUUGUCUUUAAUUAUUGUAUGACCUGCAUGUCAAUCAUUAAGCGCUAUGUAAUGCUUUACUUUAUCGCUAAGCGAUAGCAAUAAUGGUAGAAGCAUGGUUGGCGUGACAACCCCGAUGGCGACACGAUGAUGGAGAUCAUGAUGAUGGAGAUCAUGUGUCAUGCCGGUGACGAUGGAGAUCAUGCGGGUGCUUUGGAGAUGAAGAUCAAAAGCACGAGUUGAUGGCCAUAUCAUGUCACUUAUGAUUUGCAUGUGAUGUUAAUCCUUUUAUGAAUCUUAUUUUGCUUAGGACGACGGUAGCAUUAUAAGGUGACCCCUCACUAAAAUUUCAAGAUAAAAUUGUGUUCUUCCCAAGUGUGCAUCGUUGCGAAAGUUCGUUGUUUUGAAGCACCACAUGAUGAUCGGGUGUGAUAGACUCUACGUUCGCAUACAAUGGGUGCAAGCCAGUUUUGCACAUGCGGAUCACCUGGGUUAAACUUGACGAUCCUAGCAUGUACAGACAUGGCGUCAGAACACAAGAGACCGAAAGGUCGAACACGAGUCAUAUAGUAGAUAUGAUCAACAUGGAGAUGUUCACCAUUGAAACCACCUCAUCUCACAUGAUGAUCGGACUUGGGUUGGUGAAUUUGGAUCGUGUUACACUCAGACGACUGGAGGGAUGUCGAUUUGAGUGGGAGUUCUUAGGUAAUAUGAUUAAUUGAACUCAUUUAUCAUAAACAAUAGUCUAAGUUAUCUUUACUAAUUUAUGUUGUAGAUCAAUGGCUCGUGCAGGAGCUCCCCUGAAUUUCAAUGCGUUCCUAGAGAAAUCUAAGCUGAAAGAUGAUGGAAGUAACUUUGUGGACUGGGCCCGUAAUCUGAGGAUUAUCCUCACGGCUGGCCAAAAGGCUUAUGUCCUUGAUUAACCGUUUGGUGCGCCACCCCCUCCAGCGACUGUGGAUGCUGUGAACGCCUGGUAGUCGCGUGUUGAUGACUACUCAAUAGUUCAAUGUGUCAUGUUGUAUGGCUUAGAGCCAGGACUUCAGAUGCGUUUUGAACGUCAUGGAGCAUAUGAGAUGUUCCAGGAGUUGAAGUUUAUCUUUGAGAAGAAUGCCCAGAUCGAGAUGUAUGAGACCUCCGAUAAGUUCUAUGCCUGCAAGAUGGAGGAGAAUGGGUCUGUCAGUGAGCAUAUACUCAGAAUGCCUGGGUACUACAGCCGUCUGGCUAAGUUGGGAUUUGAGCUCCCGCCAGAGGCUGUCACUGAGUUGGGAGUUCUUCAAUCGUUACCACCUAGCUACAAGAGCUUUGUGUUGAACUAUAACAUGCAAGGGAUGAACAAGUCAGUCUCCGAGCUGUUUGUGACGCUGAAAGUCGCUGAGUUAGACAUCCAGAAGGAGCAUCAAGUGUUGAUGGUGAAUAAAACCACUAGUUUCAAGAAAGGCAAGGUAAAGAAGGGAAACUUCAAGAAAGGUGGCAAAGAACUUGCUCCUCCAGUGAAGAAACCCAAGGCUGGACCCAAGCCAGAGACUGAGUGCUUCUAUUGCAAGGGAACUGGCCACUGGAAGCGGAACUGCCCCAAGUAUCUGGCCGACAAGAAGGGCGCCAACGUCAACAAAGGUAUAUAUGAUAUACAUGUUAUUGACGUGUACCUUACCAACUCUCGUUGUAGUGCAUGGUUAUUUGAUACCGGUUCGGUUGCUCACAUUUGCAACUCAAAGCAGGAACUACGGAAUAGACGGAGGCUGGCGAAGGAUGAAGUGACGAUGCGCAUGGCAAAUGGUUCCAAGGUUGAUGUGAUUGCCGUCGGCACUCUCGCUCUUUGAUUACCAUCGGGAUUAGUGAUGAACUUGAAUAAUUGUUAUUUAGUGCCUGCAUUGAGCAUGAACAUUAUAUCUAGAUCUUGUUUAAUGCGAGAUGGUUACUCAUUUAAAUCAGAGAAUAAUGGUUGUUCUAUUUAUACGGGUAAUACUUUUAUGUUCAUGCACCCAUUGUGAGGGGUUUAUUCUUGUUGAAUCUCGAUAGUGAUGAUACACAUGUUCAUAACAUUGAUGCAAAAAGAUGUAGAGUUGAUAAUGAUAAUACCACUUUCUUGUGGCAUUGCCGCUUAGGUCAUAUUGGUGUUAAGUGGAUGAAGAAACUCCAUGCUGGUGGGCUUUUGGAGUCACUUGAAACAUGCGAACCAUGCCUUAUGGGCAAGAUGACCAAAACCCCGUUUUCUGGAACAAUGGAACGGGCAAGUGACUUGUUCGAAAUCAUACAUACUGAUGUGUGCGGUCCGAUGAGUGUUGACGCGCGCGGUGGAUAUCGUUAUUUUCUCACCUUCACCGAUGACUUGAGUAGAUAUGGGUAUGUUUACUUAUUGAAGCAUAAGUCUGAAACGUUUGAAAAGUUCAAGCAAUUUCAGAGUGAAGUUGAGAAUCAUCGUAACAAUAAGAUUAAAUUCCUACUAUCUGAUCGAGGGUAGAAUAUCUGAGUUAUGAGUUUGGCGAUCACUUAAGACAAUGUGGAAUUGUUUCACAGUUGAUGCCACCUGGAACACCAUAGCAUAAUGGUGUGUCCGAAUGUUGUAAUCGUGCCCUAUUGGAUAUGGUGCGUUCUAUGAUGUCUCUUGCCGAUCUGCCACUAUCAUUUUGGGGUUAUGCGUUAGAGACAACUGCAUUCACUUUAAAUAGGGCACCAUCUAAGUCCGUACAGAUGACACCUUAUGAACUGUGGUUUGGCAAGAAACCUAAGUUGUCGUUCCUUAAGGUUUGGGGCUGAGAUGCUUAUGUCAAAAGGCUUCAGCCGGAAAAGCUCGAACCCAAAGCGGACAAAUGCGUCUUCACAGGAUACCCAAAGGAGACGAUUGGGUAUACUUUCUAUCUCAGAUCCGAGGGCAAAGUGUUUGUCGCUAAGAACGGGUCCUUUCUCGAGAAAGAGUUUCUCUCGAAAGAAUUGAGUGGGAGGAAGAUAGAACUUGAUGAGGUUGUUCAACCUUUACUUCAACCAGUGAGUAGUGCAGUGCAGAAAGAUGUUUCUGUCACACUUACGUUAGUUGAAGAGGAAACUAAUGAUGGUGAUCAUGAAGUUUUCGAUCAAGUUACUAUCGAAUCUCAUAGGUCGACAAGGAUACGUACUACUCCCGAGUGGUACUGUCACCCUGUCUUGGAGGUCAUGUUGUUGGACAGCAACAACAAUGAACCUACGAGCUAUGGAGAAGCGAUGGUGAGCCUGGAUUCCGACAAAUGGUUAGAGGCCAUGAAAUCCGAGAUGGGAUCCAUGUAUCCAAAACAAAGUAUGGACUUUGGAAGUAUUACCUGAAGGGCGAAAGGCCAUUCAGAAUAAAUGGAUCUUCAAGAAGAACACGGAUGCAGAGGUAAUAUCACCGUCUAUAAAGCUCGACUUGUGGCAAAGGGGUUUUCACAAGUUCAAGGAUUUGACUACGAUGAGACUUUCUCACCCGUAGUGAUGCUUAAGUCCGUCAGAAUCAUGUUGGCAAUUGCUGCAUUUUUUCGAUUAUGAAAUCUAGAAGAUGGAUGUCAAAACAAUGUUUCUUAAUGGUUUCCUUAAUGAAGAGUUGUAUAUGAUGCAACCGGAAGGUUUUGUCAAUCCAGAGAAUGCUGACAAAGUGUGCAAGCUCCAGUGAUCCAUUUAUGGGCUGGUGCAAGCAUCUCGCAGUUGGAAUAUUCGCUUUGAUGAGAUGAUCAAAGCGUUUGGAUUUAUACAAGUUUAUUGAGAAGCUUGUAUUUACAAGAAAGUGAGUGGGAGCUCUAUAGUGUUUCUAGUAUUAUAUAUGGAUGACAUAUUACUGAUUGGAAACAAUAUAGAGCUUUUGGAAAAUGUGAAGGAAUAUUUUAACAAGAGUUUUUCAAUGAAGGACCUGGAGAAGCUGCUUUCAUAUUAGGCAUCAAGAUCUAUAGAGAUAGAUCAAGAUGCUUGAUAGGAAUUUCACACAGCAAAUGCCUUGAUAAGAUUUUGAAGAAGUUCAAAAUGGAUCAGUCCAAGAAGGGGUUCUUGCCUGUUUUGCAAGGUGUGAAGUUGAGUAAGACUCAAUGCCCAACGACUGCAGAGGAUAGCGAAAAGAUGACAGUGGUCCCCUAUGCUUCUCCCAUAGGCUCUAUCAUGUAUGCGAUGUUGUGCACAAGACCAGAUGUCUGCCUUGCCAUAAGUAUUGAUGGAAGGUUUUAAAGUGAUCCAGGAGUGGAACACUGGACAGCGGUCAAGAAUAUCCUUAAGUACCUAAAAAGGACUAAGGAAAUGUUUCUCGUUUAUGGAGGUGAUCAAGAGCUCGUCGUAAAGGGUUAUGUCGAUGCAAGCUUUGACACUGACCCGGAUGACUCUAAGUGUCAAACCGGAUACAUACAUGUUCUGAACGGGGGAGCGGUAAGCUGGUGCAGUUCCAAGCACAGCGUGGUAGCUGAUUCUACAUGCAAAGCAGAGUACAUAGUUGCCUCGGAGGUGGCGAAGGAAGGUGUCUGGAUCAAGCAGUUCAUGAAAGAUCUUGGAGAUGUGCCCAGUGCACUGGACCCAAUGACUCUGUUCUAUGAAAACACUGGUGCCAUUGCUCUAGCCAAGGAACCGAGGUUUCACAAGAGGACCAAACACCUAAAGCGACGCUUCAAUUCCAUCCGCGAUUACGCUCCUAGAUCGAUCUUGGUGAGUGUAAGAAUUUUUUUGAUUCCCAUGCAACGUUCCCAACAGUUAUCAGGUCCGUUGUAUGUAUAUUAUCAUGUUAUUUUACACCAAAGUUACCGGUGACAUGGUGUCAAUAGGAAGUAAAUUUGGCAAAUUAAAAUGGACCUCCCCUAUUUUCUUAGGUAAAACAAUGUAGAAAAAGGAACGACAACAGAUCUCUGUCUACGAGAGCAUGUCUUAACUUAAAGCUAUAAAAACAUUCUAAUAUGUAUCUAAUCCCAACAUACACUCUGUUUCGAUGGUUAUUCGUUAGAUUGCUCACUCACUAGGUUCCAAGUUCAACUCCCCAAGUUGCUUUUUUUACCGACAUAAAAAAGGAGACAACCAAAAAGGAGACGUGCGGGGAUCGAGAAACCUGGAUCGGGAUCGUUCGGAUAUGAAACGAAAAACGUUCGGACAUUACAAAUUUCGUUUUAGAUAGAUUCACAUAUAUAUUAGGCUUAAAUCAAUGAUGUUGUUGGCGGAGGGGGAGGAAGGAGCCCCCAUGCUGGUCCCCGAUCCUUGUUAGUGUUGCCGUUGUAUCAGAAAGCAACCUUAAAAAUGCUUAAUAUUUCGUCUCUAGACUUGAAGACAUACAAAACCCAAACAUGCGAAGGUGAAACACAUACAUAGUUUGAAAAAAGUACACAGACAUGAAAACACUUAACACUUAAAGCGGCAUCCUAUGACAGCUUACACCACCUCAUGUGACUUCACUUGAGUGAGUUCAACUCCCCAAGUUGCUUUUUUUACCGACAUAAAAAAGGAGACAACCAAAAAGGAGACGUGCGGGGAUCGAGCGACCUGGAUCGGGAUCGUUCGGAUAUGAAACAAAAAACAAAACAUUUGGAAAUUACAAAUUUCGUUUAUAGAUAGAUUCACAUAUAUGUUAGGCUUAAAUCAAUGAUGUUGCUGGCGAGAGGGGGAGGAGGGAGCCCCCAUGCUGGUCCCCGGUCCUUGUUAGUGUUGUCGUUGUAUCAGAAAGCAACCUUAAAAAUGCUUAAUAUCUCGUUGAGGGAGUCCUGGACUAAGGGGUCCUCGGGCGUCCGGCCUAUUGGACUUGGGCCGGACUGAUGGGCUAUGAAGAUACAAGACCGAAGACUCUCACCCGUGUCCGCAUAGGACUCUCCUUGGCGUGGAAGGCAAGUUGGGCGUCCAAAUAUGAAGAUUCCUUUCUGUGUAACCGACUUUGUACAACCCUAGUCCCCUCCGGUGUCUAUAUAAACCGGAGGGUUUAGUCCGUAGAAACAAUCACAAUCAUAAUCAUACAGGCUAGACUUCUAGGGUUUAGCCAUUACGAUCUCAUGGUAGAUCAACUCUUGUAACACUUAUAUUCAUCAAGAUCAAUCAAGCAGGAAGUAGGGUAUUACCUCCAUAGAGAGGGCCCGAACCUGGGUAAACAUCGCGUCCCCUGCCUCCUCUUACCAUCGCCCUUAGACGCACAGUUCGGGACCCCCUACCCAAGAUCCGCCGGUUUUGACACCGACGUUGGUGCUUUCAUUGAGAGUACCGCUGCGUCGUCACUAAAAGGUUCGAUGGCUCCUUCAAUCAUAUAUAACGAUGCAGUCCAUGGGGAAGUUUUCCUCCCCGGACAGAUCUUCGUAUUCGGCGGCUUCGCACUGCAGGCCAACUCGCUUGGCCACCUAGAGCAGAUCGACAGCUACGCCCGUGGCCAUCAGGUCAGAUUUGGAAGCUUGAACUACGUCGCCGAUAUCCGUGGAGACUUGAUCUUUGACGGAUUCGAGACUACGGUGGUUGUUCCCUGUCACCAUGAUGAACAUGACUUCAAUCUGUCAUCGGACCAUACGCAGGAGAUAGCGCCUGUUACUACUUCGGCCCUAGAUCCAAAGCAGAUCGCGCCAUCCGAGGAUGGGAAGCUCAACUCCGCCACGGAAGCUGCAGACUUAGCAGCGUCGGAGCCGCACACAGACCCAUCCUCGAGUGGAAUCUGUGUCACCGGAACCUCGGACUCGCUUCCGGCUACAGGUUCCGAACCAUGUGCGUCCGCGUGUGUCGAGCUUGAUCAAGCAUCGAUCAUCGAAUUCAGCUCCGCGGACAUCUUCUGGCACUCGCCUUUAGGCGAUGUGCUAAACUCAUUAAAAAUACUCUCCUUAGCAGGGGACUCACAGCCGAAUUGUAUCUAGUUCAAACUGGAGGCUGAUGAUGGGGAAUUUUGCUUCCACCCACCUCCCACAUAAUAGCCACUGUCGAAGACUUAACCGACAUGCUGGAUUACGACUCCGAAGACAUCGACAGUAUGGACGACGAUGCUAGAGAAGAGCAGGCCGAAAACCCGCCAUUUACCGGACGUUGGACGGCCACCUCCUCAUACGACGUAUACAUGGUGGAUACACCCAAAGAGAAUGGCGGCGAUGACAAGGAAGAUCUAGUAGAGGAUGAACCUCCUGAGAUACAACCAAAGCGCCGACGUUAGCGGCGCCGCUCUAAAUCACGCCGCAGAAAAGACAGCAACACCUGCACAGGAGACGAUAACACUCCGGCGGUGCCGAAGACAGAGAAGACCCCGAUGAGCAAACUGCCGAACAGGACGAUCGGGAAGAUGGGCAAGUUAGCCCUGAUGAACAGGCCAUAAACGAAGACUCGGAGGACAGCAAUUAUCUACCACCCUCCGAGGAUGAGGUGAGCCUCGGUGACGAAGACUUCAUCGUACCUGAGGAACCUCUCGAGUAGGAGCGCUUCAAGUGCCGGCUAAUUGCCACUGCAAGGAGCCUAAAAAAGCAGCAGCAGCAACUUCAAGCUGAUCAGGAUCUGCUUAAUGAUAGGCACUGUUCAAGAUAUCUUCCAAUAUUCCGAUAAAUUGUCGGAUUUAUCGCUUACCGGUGUCUCACCGAUAAGAUAAAUCGGUCGAUAAAUCAGCCGAUAUGGCGAUAAAUCGGGCGAUAUGCCGAUAAACUGGCCGAUUUACCCCUUAUCAUGGGUCGACCGAUAAGUUCCCGAUAAGUGAUAUCCCCAACAUUGAUGACAGGUGGACUAAUGUCUUGGCAGCUGAGGAAUAUGGCCUCGAGCGCCCAACCAAAAGUUACCCGAAGCGCAGACUACUACCUCAAUUCGACAACGAGGCCCUUGAGCCCGUUCCAUUAGCGCGUAAUGCGGCUGACCGACCACCACGUGGCCGGGACAAAGCGGCAACUCAUGCCGAACACCAGCCCAUACCACCUCACCGUAAAGGCAGAGAUAAAACAACUCGGGAUAUACGUAUGACCUGCAGCAGGACCUGAGGAAUAGAACAGGUCAGACCAGAUCGAUCUACGGAUCGCGGGGUCGUGCCCCAACGCGCGACGACAACCAUCUGGCCAGACGUGACAAACAUAACCACGCCCGGGCCAAAAACCACAGACAUACUACAUCCAAACUACGUCGCGAAUUGGCCGGAUACAGAGGCGCCACACACACCCUCUGCUUCACUGAUGAAGUAAUGGAGCAUGAAUUCCCAGAAGGGUUUAAACCCAUAAAUAUCGAAUCAUAUGAUGGAACAACAGACUCCGCGGUAUGGAUCGAAGACUUUCUUCUCCAUAUUCAUAUGGCCCGCGGUGAUAAUCUCCAUGCCAUCAAAUACCUCCCAUUAAAACUUAAAGGACCAGCUCGGUACUGGUUGAACAGUUUGCCCGAAAACUCCAUUGGCAGCUGGGAGGACUUGGAAGAAGCGUUCUUUGACAACUUCCAAGGUACAUAUGUUCGACCUCCGGAUGCCGACGACUUAAGUCACAUAAUUCAAUAGCCCGGAGAGUCAGCCAGGAAAUUCUGGACCAGGUUCUUAACUAAAAAGAACCAGAUCAUCGAUUGUCCGGAUGCCGAAGCCCUAGCGGCCUUUAAGCAUAGCAUCCGCGACGAAUGGCUCGCCCGACACCUCGGCCAGGAAAAACCGAAGUCCAUGGCAGCCCUCAUGGCGCAUAUGACACGCUUUUGUGCGGGCGAAGAUAGCUGGCUAGCCCGUAGCAAUAACAAUGCAAGUGAACCUGGCACUUCUGAAGCCAAAAAUAGCAACGGCAAGCCCCGACGCAACAGACACAAGCGUCGAAACAACGGCGACAAUACCGAUGACACGACAGUUAACGCCGGAUUCAGUGGCUCCAAGUCCGGUCAGCGGAAAAAGACAUACAAAAGGAGCAAUCCGGGCUCUUCCAGCUUGGACCGCAUACUCGAUCGUCCAUGUCAGAUCCAUGACACCUCUGAUAAACCAGCCAAUCAUACCAACAGAGACUGUUGGGUUUUUAAACAGGCCGGCAAAUUAAAUGCCGAGAACAAGGAGAAGGGGUCGCAAAGCGAGGACGAUGACAGAAGGAGUCCCGUCCGCCGAACACAGGAGGACAGAAGAAGUUCCCUCCCCAUGUUAAAACAGUGAACAUGAUAUACGCUACACAUAUCCCCAAGAGGGAGCGCUAACGCGCGCUCAGGGACGUCUACGCGAUGGAGCCAGUCGCCCCAAAGUUCAACCCAUGGUCUUCCUGUCCGAUCACUUUCGACCACAGGGACCAUCCGACCAGUAUCCGUCACGGCGGUUCAUCCGCACUCGUCCUCGACCCAAUAAUAGAUGGAUUCCAUCUCACGCGAGUCCUCAUGGAUGGCGGCAGCAGUCUGAACCUGCCCUAUCAGGAUACAGCGCGCAAAGUGGGCAUUAAUCCCUCACGGAUCAAACCCACAAAGACUACCUUUAAAGGAGUCAUACCAGGUGUAGAGGCCCGCUGUACGGGCUCAAUCAGACUAGAGGUUGUAUUCGGAUCCCCGGACAACUUCCGAAGCGAAGAGUUGAUCUUCGAUAUCGUCCCUUUCCACAGUGGCUAUCACACACUGCUCGGACGAACCGCAUUUGCUUGAUUGAACGCUGUGCCAUACUACGCUUAUCUCAAGCUCAAGAUGCCUGAUACGUCUCCAAAGUAUCUAUAAUUUUUUAUUGUUCCAUGCUAUUAUAUAUUAUGUUUUGGAUGUUUAAUGGGCUUUAUUAUACACUUUUAGAUUAUUUUUGGGACUAACCUACUAACCCAAGGCCCAGUGCAAAUUGCUGUUUUUUUUGCCUAUUUCAGCGUUUCGCAAACGUGAUUUUUGGAACAGAAUGAUACCUUCGGGAACGUGAUUUUUGGAACAAACGUGAUCCAGAGGACUUGGAGUGGACGUCAAGAAACAAUCAAGGAGGCCACGAGGCAGGGAGGUGCGCCUGCCACCCCUAGGCGCGCCCCCACCCUCGUGGGCCCCUCGUGGCUCCACCGACCUACUUCUUCCUCCUAUAUAUACCUACGUACCCCGAAACCAUCCAGGAGCACCACGAAACCCUAUUUCCACCGCCGCAACCUUCUGUACCCGUGAGAUCCCAUCUUGGGGCCUUUUCCGGCGCUCUGCCGGAGGGGGCAUCGAUCAUGGAGGACUUCUACAUCAACACCAUAGCCUCUCCGAUGAUGUGUGAGUAGUUUACCUCAGACCUUCGGGUCCAUAGUUAUUAGCUAGAUUGCUUCUUCACUCUCUUUGGAUAUCAAUACAAAGUUCUCCUCGAUCUUCUUGGAGAUCAAUUCAAUGUAACUCUUUUUGCGGUGUGUUUGUCGAGAUCCGAUGAAUUGUGGGUUUAUGAUCAAGAUUAUGUAUGAACAAUAUUUGAAUCUUCUCUGAAUUCUUUUAUGUAUGAUUGGUUAUCUUUGCAAGUCUCUUCGAAUUAUCAGUUUGGUUUGGCCUACUAGAUUGAUCUUUAUUGCAAUGGGAGAAGUGCUUAGCUUUGGGUUCAAUCUUGCGUUGCUCGAUCCUAGUGAAAGAAGGGGAAACGACACGUAUUGUAUUGUUGCCAUCGAGGAUAAAAAGAUGGGGUUUAUAUCAUAUUGCUUGAGUUUAUCCCUCUACAUCAUGUCAUCUUGCCUAAUGCGUUACUCUAUUCUUAUGAACUUAAUACUCUAGAUACAUGCUGGAUAGCGGUCGAUGUGUGGAUUAAUAGUAGUAGAUGCAGGCAGGAGUCGGUCUACUUGUUGCGGACGUGAUGCCUAUAUACAUGAUCAUGCCUAGAUAUUCUCAUAAUUAUGCACUUUUCUAUCAAUUGCUCGACAGUAAUUUGUUCACCCACCGUAAUAGUUAUGCUAUAUUGAGAGAAGCCCCUAGUGAAACCUAUGGCCCCCGGUGUCGGUGUCAAAACCGGCGGAUCUCGGGUAGGUGGUUCCGAACUGUGCGUCUAGGAUCGAUGGUAGCAGGAGACGGGGGAGACGAUGUUUACCCAGGUUCGGGCCCUCUCUAUGGAGGUAAUACCCUACUUCCUGCUUGAUUGAUCUUGAUGAAUAUGAGUAUUACAAGAGUUGAUCUACCACGAGAUCGUAAUGGCUAAACCCUAGAAGCCUAGCCUGUAUGACUAUGGUAAUGUAUAUCUGCCUAUCCGGACUACGCUCUCCGGUUUAUAUAGACACCGGAGAGAUCUAGGGUUACAUGGAGUCGGUUACAUAAGAAGGAAUCUUCAUAGUUGGUCGCCUAGCUCUCCUUCCACGCCAAGGAGAGUCCAAUCUGGACACGGGUAUAGUCUUCGGCCUUCAUAUGUUCGCAGCCCAUCAGUCCGGCCCAAUGAAUAACAGGCCGGACGCCCGAGGACCCCUUAGUCCAGGACUCCCUCACCCGGGUCUAUUUUCCAUCAUAUUAAUCUCCCGUCAGCUAGGUAUUUUUGUUGCCGUUUAUUUUGCAAUCUUUACUUUCAAUCUUUAUCAUAAAAAUACCAAAAAUAUUAUCUUAUCAUCUCUAUCAGAUCUCACUUUUGCAAGUGGCCGUGAAGGGAUUGACAACCCCUUUAUCGCGUUGGUUGCAAGGUUCUUAUUUGUUUGUGUAGGUACAAGGUACUUGCGUGUGGCCUCAUACUGGAUUGAUACCUUGGUUCUCAAAAACUGAGGGAAAUACUUACGCUACUUUGCUGCAUCACCCUUUCCUCUUCAAGGGAAAACCAACGCAUGUUCAAGAGGUAGCAAGAAGGAAUUCUGGUGCCGUUGCCGGGGACUCUACGCACAAGUCAAGACAUACCAAGUACCCAUCACAAACUCUUAUCCCUCGCAUUACAUUAUUUGCCAUUUGCCUCUCGUUUUCCUCUCCCCCGCUUCACCUUUUCCGUUUUAUUCGCCCUCCUUCCGUUCGAUCUUGUGUUACCAUGUACCUUCUUUUUGCUUGCUAAAAGUUUAUGGAUCCUCAUCCACUUGCUAAUCUCAUUAAGAGAUCCAAUUAUGAUGAACCUAUUGCUAGUGAGUUGAGUGCACUAGAUUAUCUUUAUGAGGUUUUGCUUGAAAUUCGUGAAUCUGAAAAUUGUGAUGAAGUACUUUAUGAAGCGAUUUACGAUAGAUCUAUGAAUAAAAAGCAUGAUUGCAAUGAUUUUACUAUAAAUUAUCUUGAUGUCAAUUGUGCUAAUAUUAUGCAAAACCCUAAGCUUGGGGAUGCUAGUUUUGCUAUGUCUACUACUUGUUGCAAUGAUUAUGAUUGGGGUGAUUCUUUUUAUGAUCUUGAAAAUUUAUUUAAGCCCCAUGAUGAAUAUGAGAUUGAUAAUAGUGUUUGCUAUAAUAUUGAAAGUGGGUUUGAAAGAGUGUCAACUUUAGAUCCCACAUAUUUGGAGAAUGUUCAAUCUUAUGGUAUUUUUGAUAAAAGUGAGUUUGGAGAGGUCAUGACUUUAGUUAAUGAUAAUACCACUAUUUUGGAAGAGUGUCAACUUCGCAUACAUGUGCAUCGUGUUGAAAAUAUGUUAUGUGAUAGCUAUUUUUUUGAAUUUUCCUAUGAUCCUACAUGUAAUUAUUAUGAGAGAGGAAAAUAUGGUUGUAGAAAUUUUUUUCUUACUAAAUUACCUCUCAUCAUGUUGAGAUUGCUAUCGUCUCUUUGUCCUUCCUUGCAUAUGCUAAUUUUUGCUUAUAAAAUGCCUAUGCAUAGGAAGUAUGUUAGACUUAGAUGUGUUUGUCACGUGUUUUAUGAUGCUCUUUUUGCGCUUUAAUUCUUAUCUUUUAUGUGUGCAUCAUUGAAAUCUCAAUGCCUAGCUAAAAAGGCUUUAAAGAAAAGAGCUUGUUGGGAGACAAACCAAUAAUUAUCCUCGCUAUUUAGGAAUAAAUCUUUCAUCUAGCCUAUGGUUAGAUGUGUUUUUGUGUUUUAAUUAGUGUUUGUGCCAAGUAGAACCUUUGGGAAGACUUGGGUGAAGUCUUUUUGAUCUUGCUGUAAAAAACAGAAACUUUAGCGCUCACGAGAUUAGCUACAACCUUUUACUGGAGAGUGCUAUUUAGUUGAUUAUUUUUGCAGGUGAUUAAUAGAUAAAUUCCUCACGUCCAGAAAUUUAUUUUAGAAUUUUUGGAGUUCCAGAAGUAUGCGUUUGAUACAGAUUACUACAGACUGUUCUGUUUUUGACAGAUUCUGUUUUUCGUGUGUUGUUUGGUUAUUUUAAUGAAUCUAUGGCUAGUAUUGGAGGUUAUGAACCAUAGAGAAGUUGGAAUACAGUAGGUUUAACACCAAUAUAAAUAAAGAAUGAGUUCAUUACAGUAACUUGAAGUGGUGUUCUGUUUUCUUUCGCUAACGGAGCUCACGAGAUUUUCUGUUCAGUUUUGUGUUGUGAAGUUUUCAAGUUUUGGGUAAAGAUUUGAUGGAUUAUGGAACAAGGAGUGGCAAGAGCCUAAGCUUGGGGAUGCCCAAGGCACCCCAAGGUAAAAUCCAAGGACAACCAAAAAGCCUAAGCUUGGGGAUGCCCCGGAAGGCAUCCCCUCUUUUGUCUUCGUCCAUCGGUAACUUUACUUGGAGCUAUAUUUUUAUUCACCACAUGAUAUGUGUUUUUCUUGGAGCGUCUUGUAUGAUUUGAGUCUUUGCUUUUUAGUUUACCACAAUCAUCCUUGCUGUACACACCUUUUGAGAGAGACACACAUGAAUCGGAAUUCAUUAGAAUACUCUAUGUGCUUCACUUAUAUCUUUUAAGUUAGAUAAUUUUGCUCUAGUGCUUCGCUUAUAUCUUUUUAGAGCACGGCGGUGGUUUUAUUUUAUAGAAAUAAUUGAUCUCUCAUGCUUCACUUAUAUUAUUUUGAGAGUACUUUAGAACAGCAUGGUAAUUUGCUUUGGUUAUACAAUUAGUCCUAAUAUGAUAGGCAUCCAAGAUAAAAACUUUAAAGUGCAUUGAAUACUAAGAGAAGUUUGAUACUUGAUAGUUGUUUUGAGAUAUAAAGGUGGUAAUAUUAGAGGUGUGCUAGUUGAGUAAUUGUGAAAUUGAGAAAUACUUGUGUUGAAGUUUGCAAGUCCCGUAGCAUGCACGUAUGGUACAUGUUGUGUGACAAAUUUGAGGCAUGAGGUGUUCUUUGAUUGCUUUCCUUAUGAGUGGUGGUCGGGGACGAACGAUGGUCUUUUCCUACCAAUAUAUCCCCCUAGGAGCAUGCGUGUAGUGCUUGGUUUUGAUGACUUGUGGAUUUUUGCAAUAAGUAUGUGAGUUCUUUAUGACUAAUGUUGAGUCCAUGGAUUAUACGCCCUCUCACCCUUCCAUCAUUACUAGCCUCUUCGGUACCAUGAAUUUCCCUUUCUCACCUUGAGAGUUGGUGCAAACUUCGCCGGUGCAUCCAAACCCCGUGAUAUGAUACGCUCUAUCACACAUAAGCCACCUUAUAUCUUCCUCAAAACAGCCACCAUACCUACCUAUUAUGGCAUUCCCAUAGCCAUUCCAAGAUAUAUUGCCAUGCAACUUUCCACCGUCCCGUUUAUUAUGACAAGCAUCAUCAUUGUCAUAUUGCCUUGCAUGAUCAUGUAGUUGACAUCGUAUUUGUGGCAAAGCCACCAUGCUUAAUUUUUCAUACAUGUCACUCUUGAUUCAUUGCAUAUCCCGGUACACCACAGGAUGCAUUCACAUAGAGUCAUAUUUUGUUCUAAGUAACGAGUUGUAAUUCUUGAGUUGUAAGUAUAUAGAAGUGUGAUGAUCACCAUUAGAGCAUUGUCCCAUGUGAGGAAAGGAUGAUGGAGACUAUGAUUCCCCCAUAAGUCGGGAUGAGACUCCGGACGAAAGAAAAAAAAGAAAAAAAAAGAGGCAAAAAAAAAGAGAAGGCCCAAAUAAAAAAAAGAAAAGAGAAGAAAAAAAAAAUGAGAGAAAAAGAGAGAAGGGACAAUGUUACUAUCCUUUUUCCACACUUGUGCUUCAAAGUAGCACCAUGAUCUCCAUGAUAGAGCGUCUCUUAUUUUGUCACCUUCAUAUACUAGUGGGAAUUUUUCAUUAUAGAACUUGGCUUGUAUAUUCCAAUGAUGGGCUUCCUCAAAUGCCCUAGGUCUUCAUGAGCAAGCAAGUUGGAUGCACACCCACUUAGUUUCUUUUGUUGAGCUUUCAUAUAUUUAUAGCUCUAGUGCAUCCGUUGAAUGGCAAUCCCUAAUCCUUACAUUGACAUCAAUCGAUGGGCAUCUCCAUAGCCCGUUGAUUAGCCGCGUCAAUGUGAGACUUUCACCUUUUUUGUCUUCUCACACAACCUCAACCAUUAUAUUCUAUUCCACCCAUAGUGCUAUGUCCAUGGCUCGCGCUCAUAUAUUGCGUAAAAGUUGAAAGGGUUUGAAAUGGCUAAGUAUGAAACAAUUGCUUGGCUUGUCAUCGGGGUUGUGCAUGAUGAGAGCAUUUUGUGUGACGAAAAUGAAGCAUGGCCAAACUAUAUGAUUUUGUAGGGAUAAGCUUUCUUUGGCUAUGUUAUUUUGAUAAGACAUAAUUGCUUGGUUAGCAUGCUUGAAGUAUUAUUAUUUUUAUGUCAACAUUACACUUUUAUCUUGAAUCUUUCGGAUCCGAACAUUCAUGCCACAAUAAAGAAAUUACAUUGAAGAAUAUACUAGAAAGCAUUCCACAUCAAAAAUCUGUUUUUAUCAUUUACCUCCUCGAGGAUGAGCAGGAAUUAAGCUUGGGGAUGCUUAAUAUGUCUCCAACGUAUCUAUAAUUUUUUAUUGUUCCAUGCUAUUAUAUAUUCUGUUUUGGAUGUUUAAUGGGAUUUAUUAUACAAUUUUAUAUUAUUUUUGGGACUAACCUACUAACCCAAGGCUCGGUGCAAAUUGCCGUUUUUUUGCCUAUUUCAAUGUUUCGCAGAAAAGGAAUAUCAAACGGAAUCCAAACGGAAUGAAACCUUCGGGAACGUGAUUUUUGGAACAAACAUGAUCCAGAGGACUUGGAGUGGACGUCAAGAAACAACCGAGGAGGCCACGAGGCAGGGAGGCGCGCCUGCCCCCCUGGGCGCGCCCCCACCCUCGUGGGCCCCUCGUGGCUCCACCGACCUACUUCUUCCUCCUAUAUACACCUACGUACCCUGAAACCAUCCAGGAGCACCACGAAAACCUAUUUCCACCGCAACAACCUUCUGUACCCGUGAGAUCCCAUCUUGGGGCCUUUUCGGGCGCUCCGCCGGAGGGGGCAUCGAUCACGGAGGGCUUCUACAUCAACACCAUAGCCUCUCCGAUGAUGUGUGAGUAGUUUACCUCAGACCUUCGGGUCCAUAGUUAUUAGCUAGAUGGCUUUGGAUCUCAAAACAAAGUUCUCCUCGAUCUUCUUGGAGAUCUAUUCGAUGUAACUCUUUUUGCGGUGUGUUUGUCGAGAUCCGAUGAAUUGUGGGUUUAUGAUCAAGAUUAUCUAUGAACAAUAUUUGAAUCUUCUCUGAAUUCUUUUAUGUAUGAUUGGUUAUCUUUGCAAGUCUCUUCGAAUUAUCAGUUUGGUUUGGCCUACUAGAUUGAUCUUUAUUGCAAUGGGAGAAGUGCUUAGCUUUGGGUUCAAUCUUGCGGUGUCCUUUCCCAGUGACAGCAAGGGCAGCAGGGCACGUAUUGUAUAGUUGCCAUCGAGGAUAAAACAUGGGGUUUAUAUCAUAUUGCUUGAGUUUAACCCUCUACAUCAUGCCAUCUUGCCUAAUGCAUUACUCUGUUCUUAUGAACUUAAUACUAUAGAUGCAUACUGGAUAGCGGUCGAUGUGUGGAGUAAUAGUAGUAGAUGCAGGCAGGAGUCGGUCUACUUGUUGCGGACGUGAUGCCUAUAUACAUGAUCAUGCCUAGAUAUUCUCAUAAUUAUGCACUUUUCUAUCAAUUGCUCGACAGUAAUUUGUUCACCCACCGUAAUACUUAUGCUAUCUUGAGAGAAGCCACUAGUGAAACCUAUGGCCCCCGGGUCUAUUUUCCAUCAUAUUAAUCUCCCGUCAACAAGCUAUCUUUGUCGCCUUUUAUUUUGCAAUCUUUACUUUCAAUCUUUAUCAUAAAAAUACCAAAAAUAUUAUCUUAUCAUCUCUAUCAGAUCUCACUUUUCCAAGUGGCCGUGAAGGGAUUGACAACCCCUUUAUUGCGUUGGUUGCAAGGUUCUUAUUUGUUUGUGUAGGUACGAGGGACUUGCGUGUGGCCUCCUACUGGAUUGAUACCUUGGUUCUCAAAAACUGAGGGAAAUACUUACGCUAUUUUGCUGCAUCACCCUCUCCUCUUUAAGGGAAACCAACGCAUGCUCAAGAGGUAGCAAUGCCCAGACCACGCGGCGUCAUAACAAUCAAUGGAAACACGGAACGCUCCCUCUGCACCGAGGAGCACACCGCGGCUUUAGCAGCAGAAGUACAGAGCGGCCUUUUCAAGCAGAACCUUAAUUCGGCGGCCGAGCUCCCGGACACCGUCAAACGAGUCCGGACCACUCUGCAGCAGGACAACCCAGCUCGUCAAGAGCUCGAUUAGCAAUUUGGCCUCCGUCCCAGUCCCGACCAAGUGGCGGCGUUCGUACCGCGCAUACAUAACUACGCACUCAAAAUACCAUGGGCAUAGACGGAGGCAUGACUAGAUGGUGAUCCAUAAUACGACUCGACCUCUCCUGGACACACAUACUUUCACUUUUUCUUUUUUAUCCUUUUUAGGUUUCUUUCCCACAGGCUCUUCCUGACGGCCUGAUCAUCGGUCCUUUCGAAGGAUAGAUACACCAAGACGGCAAGAAGCAUUGACGUAUAAAGGAAUUUCUAGGUGGUUUCUUUGACAAUCACUCUACCUGUUUUCAGGACCCGCACGCAGCUCUCCCUUGGUUGUGGCAUGUUAAAUAGCCCUGUUGCUUAUUGCACUACUUGUACAAAUACGCUUUGACGCAUUAAUCAAACUAUAAUGGAAACAGUUUGUAGCCCAACUUCUGUGGCACUAGCUUGCUACUAUUCCUUUUUCCCUGAUAAUCUUAUCAAAUUGUAUCCAUACACUUCGGUACGCUUUAAUACGUCAGGGCUUCAUCGCGCCCCAUAAAACGACAACAAAGUCUGAACACUUCUUACAGUAUAGCUCGGCACCCCGAAUUUAGCAUUAUAUGCAUUGGCUCCGAAUCAUGUCUUUGGUGAAUAGUUGGGUUGCCCGGCUCCUGUGCUUACUACCUUACGUUCUGCUAUAUUGGCUAGGGUAGUAAAGGGAGAACUACUGCGAUUGUGUCCUAAUUUAUCCGGAUGAGCACCUCAAUAGAGAAAGCCGAAAACUGACUGUCAUGAUGCGGCGUGAGCCGGUCAGCUCUUCGGAGGUUUCAAAUCCUUAGAGAUUUUUUCCGCAUUAUGCGAUGAAUCGAUUCUUACCCGAUUAGUUGUUCACAGCACCCUAGUUCGGAUACUAGGGGCUGCGCCUAAAUUUUUAUUGUCAAAUUCCUAUGGCUACGUGAGAGUGAUAAAGCCACAUAGUGCAAUUGCCUGGUUCGUUGCGCUAAACACCUCCUUCAAGGACCAAACAAUUGGAUCAAGAGUGAUUAGAUUCCAUCCUGAACACCCCCGUACUACCUACGUGGGGGCUGAAGCCGACGACUGGCCAACUCUCAGAUUUCAUCAACACGGCUGCACAGGAGGUGAAAUUUUAACAAGCAUUACAUUACAUAAUCGACUUUGUUUCAUAAUACAGGGUGAGAUACAUGAAUGUAUUCAUUCAAAGAUUAUAUCUUUCGCACAUUGCCCCGCUAUAAUGCGGGAUCCCUCCAGGACAUCGCUAAAUAAUCGCUCGGGCGUGCGGAGCUCCUUGCCCUCCGGCGUUCCCUCGGUCGCGAGCUUGACGGCGUUCAUCUUCGCCCACUGCAUCUUGACGCGGGCGAAGGCCAUCCGCGCACCCUCGAUACAGACCGAUCGCUUGAUAACAUCAAGCCGGGGGCAGGCAUCGACGAGCUGCUUGACGAGCCCGAAGUAGCUGCUGGGUAUAGCUUCAGCAGGCCACAACCAGAUUAUUAAAUCCUUCAUGGCUAGUUCGGCAACCCUAUGCAGCUCGAUCAGCUGUUUUAGCUGGUCGCUAAAGGGCACCGGAUGUUCUAGCGCAAGGUAUUGCGACCAGAACAGCUUCUCCGUUGAGCUCCCCUCUUCGGCUCGGUAGAAUUGCGCAGCGUCAGACACACUGCGCGGCAGAUCCGCAAACGCCCCUGGAGAACUCCAAAUCUGGGUUAGUAAGAGAUACCUCUUCUUCACAUACUUGCUUUGCAUAAUAAAAGCCUUACCCGCCACGAUUUUCUUGGCCUCCUGGAUUUCCUGGAGGGCGCCAUGGGCUUCGACCCGGGCCUCUUGUGCGCUCUGGCGAGCCUUGGCGAGUUCGGUCUCUUGAUCCGCAAUGUCGCGCUCCAAGGACUCGCAUUUCUUGACGGCGUCCUGGAGCUCCUGCUGGACGUCACCAACCCUGGCCUCAUGUUUUUCACGGGCGACUUGCUCCUUUGCCGCCUUCUUAUUGGCCUCAGCCAGCGCUUUCUUGAGGGUUUCCACCUUAGCAGCCGCUCCUACACAUAUCAUGGCGCCAUGAUCAGCACAAUUCAUUCUUCCUUUCCGGAUAUACAUAAAGUUAUCACAUACCUUGCUUGUCCUCCAGUUGCUUUUUUACACGGCCGAUCUCUUCCUCGGCCCACUCCAGACUCUGCUUUAGUCCGGAGACCUCAGCAGAAUGAGAGGUUGCGGCCAGCAACGACGCCUACUUGUUCACAUAAGGCAUAUUUAGUUAGUUUCCUGCGAAAAUUACUUGAUCCUCUGUCCGGCUUUUCUUUCCGAACACCGGACAGUGUCUCAGGGGCUACUGUCCAUACUGUGACAUUCUUUUUACGUGAUCACGUUGCUUACCUCAAAGCCUGUUAGAAGGCUUGUGCAGGCUUCGGUCAGUCCGCUCUUCGCGGACUGAAUCUUCUCAAUCACCGUACCCAUGAGGGUACGGUGUUCAUCUACAAUGGAAGCACUUCGCUGCGCUUCCAAGAGAGCAUCGGGUGCCUCUGGUUGGACAGAGGUCACCGGCGGAAUUGGCACACCUUCUUCUUUCGAAGGAGGCUGCUCACCGGAUUCCGGAGCCGUAUAGGUCUCCGGGAUCGUAUUCGGCUGGAGGCCGAAUUGAAUACGGCCCCCAUCGCCAGUCUCCAUGGGGAUUUGCUCCCCCAUGUGUUCGGCGGCCGAGGCUUCACCCUCUGGCGCCGCCCUGGCGGCCUCCCGCGUCUCCCCCAGGCUCGGGAUCCAUCGGGACAACACCUCGGUGUCAUCCAUGGCCCUAGGAGAGGUGGCCGCGGGAAGGGACCCGCUAUCCAUCACCUUCGGGUCCAGCGAAUUCCCCGGAGAUGAGGAUCGCUCGAGGUCAGAAUGGGCCGGACUGCAAGUGCAUGAUUCAACGUGUUAAGACUAUGAGAUAGAGAGGCCGGAUAUAUGAACCCAUCCAAGUUUUUUAGUACUCACGAUUCGGCCAGGGGCUUGUCUCGGGGGCGUGGUUCUGGGCUACUGUCGACGUCCCACGCGGAGUUAUCCGCGAGGGAGCCUUUCCCCCUCUUGGACGCCUCUGCCUCCAGAUUUGUGGAGGCCGCCCUCUUUUUCCUUCCUCCCUCAGGGGGGGAGUUGCUUUCUUCCUCCUCCUCGUCGUCGUCUUCGGCGGCGGAGGAGUGAGUCUCGCUGUCUUCGGAUGUCACGUCCGAAGCACCCUUGCGGUGGGGCCACUUCUGGCCCCCUUGACCUUCUUCUUGGCCUUCUUCUCCGGCGCCUGGUAAGGCGCAGGGACCAGCAUCUUCGUCAGGAGCGGGAUGGCUGGUUCCUCGGGCAGCGGAGCUGGACACUUUAUCCGCUCCGCCUUCUUUGUCCAGUCCUGAAAAAAUAAAUGGUGAGGCUUAGGUAUCUUCCCUGAACAAGCAAGCAAGGGAUACACCUUGUAAUGCGAAAGACUUACCGCACUGGCGGGAUGGGCCAGGUCGUGCCCGCGGUCCUCGGUGAUCUCCGGCGGCGUCUCGUUACCUUUGAAGAGCACCUUCCAGAUAUCUUCGUGCGUAGUUCCGAAGAACUGUUGCAAGGUCUGGUGCUCGGCCGGAUUGAACUCCCAUAAAUGGCAAGUCCGGCUCUGGCAUGGAAGGAUCCGGCGAACUAGCAUCACCUGGAUCACAUUGACAAGCUUGAUGUUCUUGUCCACCAUGCUCUGGAUGCGUGUCUGCAGCGCCGUCAGCUCGUCCGACGAAGACCAAUUCAGGCCCUUCUCUAGCCAGGAGGUGAGCCGCAUUGGGGCUCCAGACUUGAAUUCGGGAGCCGCGGCCCAGGUGGCGUAGCGGGGCUCUGUGAUAUAGAACCACAGUUUCUGCCACUCUUUGACGGUCUCCACAAAGGUACCUUUGGGCCAUGUGACAUUGGGCAUCUUGCUGCCCAUGGCACCUCCGCACUCUGCGUGUUGGCCAUCCACCACCUUCGGCUUCACGUUGAAGAUUUUAAGCCAUAGUCCGAAGUGGGGUGGAAUGCGGAGGAAGGCCCCGCACACGACAAUAAAUGCCGAGAUGUUGAGGAAGGAGUUUGGGGCUAGAUCACGGAAAUCUAGCCCGUAGUAGAACAUGAGUCCGCGGACGAAAGGGUGGAGAGGAAACUCUAACCCGCGGACGAAGUGGGGGAUGAACACCACCCUCUCAUUGGGUUUCGGGGUGGGGACAAUCUGCCCCUUGGCCGGAAGCCGGUGGGCGAUUUCUUUCGCCAAGUACCCGGCCUCCCGAAGCUUGGUGAUGUCCUUCUCCUUGACGGAGGAGGCCAUCCACUUGCCUUGCGCUCCAGAUCCGGACAUGGUCGAGUUCUUUCUUGAGGCGGAAAAUAUGAGGACUUGGGCGCUGGAGCUCGAGAAUGGGAGGGCAGAAAGAGAAGGCGUGGGUGAAGGAAAUGAAUCCUUAUGUCCUUAUAAGGGCAGCAAAUAUCAAGCGCUUCCCCACUCGCCUUAAAACUCGCCUGUUCCCAAGGGCUGUGCAGACGACACGGUUGGAUUACCCACGCCCGUAUUGAUGAGAAUCCCGUAAUAAGGGGACACGAUCUCUGCCGCGGCAAGACAUGCCAAUAGAAACCGCAUCUUGAAAUAUGAAGCGGCGGGCAGGAAAACGGUUCGAAAUAAUAACCGGGCAGAGACGUGAUGUCACGCUACAAAAAUUUGUCAGCAGAUUGGACUCGUGAAAUAUUAUACUCUCUACGGUUGUGUGUGGUACUUGUUUUGCAGAGCCAGACACGUUCGUUGCGUUUGAAGACCGUGUUGGAGUAUUCGGAGAAGGAACCCGCCUUGCAAUGCCGAAAACAAUUUGCGCACCGGACUCGUCGUCAUUGAAGCCUGGUUCAGGGGGUACUGACGGAGUCCAGGACUAUGGGGUCCUCGGACAUCCGGCCUAUUGGACUUCGGCCGGACUGAUGGGCUGUGAAGAUACAAGACCGAAUACUCUCACCCGUGUCCGGAUAGGACUCUCCUUGGCGUGGAAAGCAAGCUGGGCGUCCAAAUAUGAAGAUUCCUUUCUCUGUAACCGACUUUGUACAACCCUAGUCCCCUCCGGUGUCUAUAUAAACCGGAGGAUUUAGUCCGUAGAGACAAUCAUAAUCAUAAUCAUACAGGCUAGACUUCUAGGGUUUAACCAUUACGAUCUCGUGGUAGAUCAACUCUUGUAACACUUAUAUUCAUCAAAAUCAAUCAAGCAGGAAGUAGGGUAUUACCUCCAUAGAGAGGGCCCGAACCUGGGUAAACAUCGCGUCCCCUGCCUCCUGUUACCAUCGACCUUAGACGCACAGUUCGGGACCCCCUACCCGAGAUUCGCCGGUUUUGACACCCACACUCGUCUCUACACUUCGAGACAUACAAAACCCAAACAUGUGAAGUUGAAACACAUACAUAAUUUGAAAAAAGUACACAGACAUGAAAACACUUAACACUUGACAUCCUAUGACGGCUUACACCACCUCAUGUGACUUCACCUUGAGUGAGUUCAACUCCCCAAGUUGCUUUUUUUUACCGACAUAAAAAAUGAGACAACCAAAAAGGAGACAUGCGGGGAUCGAGCGACCUGGAUCGGGAUCGUUUGAAUAUGAAACGUAAACCAAAACAUUCGGAAAUUACAAAUUUCGUUUAUAGAUAGAUUCACAUAUAUAUUAGGCUUAAAUCAAUUAUGUUGCUGGCGAGAGGGGGAGGAGGGAGCCCCCAUGCUGGUCCCCGGUCCUUGUUAGUGUUGUCGUUGUAUCAGAAAGCAACCUUAAAAAUGCUUAAUAUCACGUCUCUACACUUGAAGACAUACAAAACCCAAACAUGCGAAGUUGAAACACAUACGUAGUUUGAAAAAAAGUACACAGACAUGAAAACACUUAACACAUAAAGCGACAUCCUAUGACGGCUUACACCACCUCAUGUGACUUCACCUUGAGUGCCAUCAUGGGCGUGGGGCGCCGAGCUCAUGGUGGUUGUGUGGCAAUGGUGCAGUGUGGAGGCAGUCGUGCCGUAAGACUCUGUACUGCACGUACGUGCAUUAUCUUCCCCACAAAACAUAGGAAGAGGAAAUGACUACAUUGUAAGGGCAUCAAUCAAAGCAUGUCACCACCACAUACUCCAGGCCACACAUGCUAUUAUGUCUUAAACGAAUCUUUAUAGUUUAUAAAGUAACUUUCAUCAUGCUAUUUCUUAUAUUUUUCUCCAUUGUUUUAUAUUUUAUUGGACCAACUUACUAAUAAAGCAUCAGAGAUGCAGCUGCAUGUCUAAUGCCUAUGCCGAUAACUCAUCAUUUUUAGUAUAGCUUAUCUCUAUGUAAUUUAACAAUUUGACAAAGAUUCCUUUUCUCGCUUUGAAUACCUAUCUUCUUUUAUAGUACUAACUUGCUUGUUUUCAACUGAGGACGCAACAAUACAAAAAUUCACGCAGAAACAACAUAUUGACAUUUUGACUAAGGGAGGAGUCAAGUGAAUAGUAUUGCCUGAAUUUUGUACUGGUAGAGUAGAGUACAAAAAGUGAAUUGGCGCCCCUAAACUGGUAGCCUACCAAUUGUGGCGGGACGAUAUACUAGUUUCUUUUAAUAGUUCAUAAAAAGAUGAGCUAUACUAUGUUUUUACUUGCUCAUUUUUGUAAAGAAUCAUCGUGAGCUGAAAAAUGAAGACGUGGGGUGUCAACCACAGAAAGGGAGCAAGUAACCAAGUUUGGUGGGCCCGUCAAAUGAUAUUUAUUUUUUGCACGAGGAUAUGGUAAUGUUGCUCAUGCUUUAUCCAUCAUGGCCGAGCAUUUGUGGGGAUAGGAUUGUGGGCUGCGAUCACGACGCCUUGUAUCAAGAGUUGUCGCACUGCACUCGCACCAGUUAGCCAUUCUGGAGGUAGGCAAAGAUGUCAUGGGAUUUACCUUUUGGGUUUGGCAUUCUUGUAGAUGGUGUCAGUGCGCCUGCGGCCUUGCGGACAACAAGACUGGUUGUGGGCGUUACUUCCUGCUUGUUCAUCAAAGCUUACGUCAGAACACGACUUCUUCAAGAUACAUAUAACUUGAAUCUUAGAUUGGGCAUCUACCAAUCCACGUGUUCGCAAACAUACCGGCUAAGUAGUCAGAAUGGCUGCAAGAAAAUCCCCUCGAAAUGCAAACAAUGCAUCGGUCAUGAUUCAAAACACAGUUUGGACGUCAGACAAUCUUAUGGUUAGGAGUAGAACAUAUGAAGGUUGAGGCUUUGAUUCAACCGACACUUCUCCGCCUUAUGGUUAGGGAGCAGAACGGAUGAAGGUUGUAACAUUAUCAAUCUUAGUAUUUUUAGAAUAGAAUGAACUAGUCUUCCUCUCUCCUUGUUACAAUAGUGAGUGUACAUCGAUGAAGGAUACCACCCACCAAUUAACCCAUGCAUGUGGCAUUUGACCUUUAUUUAUUGUGCAUAUGUCUUUCUACUCACAACAAUGAUAUCGCAUCAGCUACCAUCGGGUCAUGGAAACAAUAAGGUGGGCAUCUGGAUCUAUGAGAUAGCUGACAUUUUGGACCAUGUGCGAACUACCAUAUCGAUUGUCAUUAAAAGGCCCUAUGUUCACACUCCUUCCCCUCUCAAGUCUUCACAUCUCACACAAAUAACAUUACGAACACAAUGUCAGUAGUCAUAGUUUAGUGUGUAUAAUGGGAGUUCCAAAUAAAUUUCUAUCACUUCAAAUCUUCUCGAUUCAUCAACCAAAAUUAGUUGUCUAAUAGCUAGAAAUGUCAAGAUGGAAUUCCUUCUUGGGCUCUCACGCGUAGGAGUUGGAGGCAUCAGAAAGUUAGUGAGGACAUGUUGAUAUGGUGACGCGCGAGACACACACGAACACAAGUCUACGCACCCUAGUUCCAGUUGCCUAGCUCCCGGUCGAUUAGGUAUGUCCACAAACUAACACACAUCUUCGUUGGGUCUGACCUAUGCUCCGCUCAUUAUUUUAAGAUUCAGCACCCAGUGAUGGUGCCAUUAUAUAGUGCGUCAGGAUUGUGCUCCCCAUGGUUAACUGUGUGAAUAGAGGUAUCAGAGGCCAGUAUAGUCAAAGAGCUCACAUUCUUGAGUCUGACAAGUGGGUGUGGACAACCUUGGGAUGAUUGGUCCCUCCCAUUGGAGGUGUGUCCUAGGUCAAUUGCUUUGUCGACAACUGGACGAAGUGAGCAUUGCCAAUAUGCUCCAUCGCACCAUGUUCACAACCCUCUGUUCCCACCAAUUCCCCAAGCAUGUCUUUUUUUAGACAAUUAUAUUUUUACCUCAACAUAGGUUUUCACUCCGCUUUAUCUAUAAAUGUCAGGAAAGCCAGUUGCAUGUCUUAUAUUUACACCAAUAACUCUUUAUUGUUUUGUACAUGUUAUCAUAAUGUCAUUUAAAUUUUUGCCAAAGAUUGCCUUUCAUGGCUUUAAAUACCGGUGUUUCCAUAAUGUUGGGGUGGGGCGAGGCGGUGGAUGGGAUCUAGUGUCAGGACAUCGCUUUAUUUAUUUGUUUUUGAUUGUGGGGAGGACAUCGUUUGAUAUGAUGGGGAUGAACCGGUGGGUUAGAGUAUUUGUGUAUAAUAUUGGGUCUUUGUGGUCACAGAAGAGUUGUUUCCGAAAAUAUCUAACCAUGAUGUCUAGCUAUAUUAGUACAUACAUGUAAGAAGAAAAGUGAAAAGCACUACUCAUGUGAAAAAGCACCACGAAUGAAAGCAAGAAAAUGACCAUUGAAAACCUCCCUUUGUGGCUAUUCUUGUCAUUACCGGUUCUAGUCAUCCGUCAAUGGUCCACCAAUAACAAUAUGCAAUUAUGCAGCAGUGGACCUUCACAGAUUAUGUGAUCUUAGACACCGUGAUAGACAAGUCUUGGCCUUCCAACUCGCUGACAAUCCAACUUUUUCACAUGAAAAAUUUGAGAAAUUCAAGGCACAAAACAUCCAAACCUACUUUUUCCCGCAAAACAUCCGGACCCACAUAUCGGUCCGCCGACCGAUCCAGACCUACUUUUACCUCCUCAGAGGACCUUUUUUAAGCGGGCAUCGACAAGAGAGACUUGUGUAAGAUGGCAGUUGUGGUGUCAGGAUUUCUGUGGCAAUGAUGGCGGGGUGAGCAAUGGUAGGGUGAUGGCAGUGGUUGCGGUAGUUGACUCUUUUGUGUGUCCACCGGAUUGUUUUGGGUUGUUUGUUGCAGAGAAGUUGGACCUAAGAUGAAGGCCGAGAGGCGGCAACGAAUUUUUCUCACGGGCGCUGUCGAUGGAUGUAGGAGGAAAAAACCUCAGCACUCCAAGGAAUUUGGAUGUAUGUUGCAAUUUUUGUAUGGGCGUUUUGGUAAGUGAAUGUGUUUACUUGAUAUAUGGCCCUUGGCCUAUCCACAAAAAAGUACGAAUUUGAAAGUGGCUAAGAGGUGACAAAGCAGACACUAGAUGCUAUGUGUGCUUACCAAUGUGGCACUUUCUUCAUACUUACAUGGUCUGCGAGACAUCGAUUGUGACGAGUCAUGUUGGGCAGUGCCGCGCGGUAGGUAGCAUUCGCUGGACUGUUCGAGUUUGGGGCAAUAAUGCUUGCCUGAUUGGUUGUUGUGCCUUGUUGUUUUCAGGUAUUGCGUCGUUGACAGCAAAAGACUGACUGUUGCCGAUGCUCCAUCUAUGUUCAUGAUACCCACCGACUUGGUGGAACACAAGGUUUCAAGACAAUAAUAAUUUAGUUAGGGCAUUUGAUGUUCUGCCAAAUACUCACCAGGCAGACAGACUAAGGUAAUGAUUUUUUGCUGGAAUUUUUCAUGGCAAGCCAAGCACAAUCCAGAUCCUCAUUAAAGACCCUACGGAUCCUAAAAGUAAUGAUUUACUGUGUGGCCUGUCGAUCUACUCUUUGUUCAUUGCUCUAGGGAAUAUUUUGAUUCUCACAACAAUCAAUCAGUACGGUGGACUGGGUCACGAGUCAUGAGAUCUGUGUCUACACUUGCUUCAUUAGUUUGAAAAUGCUGACCAUUAAUCUGGACUGGCAGUAGAGUAUGAGUUUAAGUCAUGGUCACUGUUGCUAAAGAAUGUACUUAACUUUCAUCAUUUUAACCUUCAAUAAGGAAAAUGAUAUUAUCAACCGCCAAAAAAAUCAACAAAUUUGACAUCAGAACAAUAUGAGCCACUCGCAAGGAAAUUGAAAAGAAAGCACAUCUUUUGUCACGUGGGCUUAUUCAGUUGCAUUACUCGCUAUAUAUGGAGAAACAAAUGAAGAAUCAACUGUCAUUUGCUUCUGCACUCCGUAUGCUACUGCCUUUAUUCUCCUACACAAGACUGGCGGAAUCUGCUGCCCUCCCCCCUCUUCUAAUUGGAUAUGGCAAAAUGAUUGUUCAGGCACACCACAAUAUGGUUAAACAAGAAGAAACCAAAGGGAGGGAACAUUCUUGCUAGAAAAGAGGAAUCCAGAAUUCGAUUGGGGACAAAUUGCAGGGUGCCACCAAGGAUGGGCAUGUAUGAGCACCGAAAAGUUAGUUAGAUCUCAGUCCGUGGAGGUGAUUGUCCACCGAAAGUCCUAAUUAUUGUAGACUGAUGCCACCCGUUAUGUAGUAUCAGGUGAUUAAUUUCUCGCUUGCGCUCGACCAAGAUCUUGAUCGGUAAUCCUAUGUAAACAAGAGCAUCUGUUAUCAUACCACUGGAUUUUCCAUAAUGGAGAUUUCUUUUGCAUAUUCCAUGCAGCACGAAUUGGAUCGAAUUUUGGGUAGGGACCGCCUGUGCCAGAAAAGGAAAAGCUGGAGUAAUAUUCUGCAAAAGAGAAGUUGUCCCUUAUUUUAAGUAGUGUAGUGCUUUCCGAGCUCUUCUUAAGUUAAUUUAUUACACAGACUUUUGCACUUAUUCUCCAAAAGUAUUUUAAGCCCCAUCAUAAAGCACACUUUUUUGAUAUGUACUAUCAAAGCUUGUGACCACUAAUAAAAUUAUGGAACCACUAGUAGGAUAUGGAUGAUCACUGUUCUUAUAGAGGAUCUACUAUAGUUAUGAUAGUUUGUAAUGUAAAGUUAUGUCAUAGACCCGUACAUCUCCAAGCUCACAUGCCAAAGCAAAAUAACUUCUUUACAAAAAGCACCCAUCGAAUUAACCACUUGUGUAACAUGCUCUAAGAACGAGUUUUAUCGGUUUCUGAAGCUUGAUCAUUAAUCUUAACAGUCUCCAAGUUCCUUUUUGUUUUUCUGGUGCAAGAUCUCGAUCAUAAAUCCUGUGAAAAUAGGAUCAUUUCCAUGGGAGAUCUAGCAAUUGAAUUUCUUAUGAUGGAUAUUUCUCUUGUAUAUACUACACAGAAGAAUAUGGAUCAAACUCUGGCGUGAUUGCCCAGGUGGCCAGGCCGAAACAGGGAAAGUUGUAAAAUCCUGAAAAAGUGAAGUUGUUUCUUCAACAUAGCUAGUGCUGUUUUAGCCGUUUCCCAUUUAAUUAUAGUUGAGGAGUAAAUGUAUAAUGCUUUAUCAUCAGUGCAACUGCGUCCUGCUAUUCCAAGCUGAUAAGAAGAGAUCGACACGGAUUGAAGAUCUUAGUUUUUGAGCUAGAGGGACAGGCACCAGAGCACUGAAAUCUCUGCUUUACACCAUGAGGGCUACUGCUGCCUGCUCUGUGAUUCCAUGUUAUGUUAGUCUUGCUGAAAAGCAUUUCUAGGUGUUGUUAAAUACGCUUCUGUCGCACGCACACCGGGUAAAAGCUACACGCUUCGGUGUGUGUAUUUUAGGUUUAAACAAAGUGGUCUUCACUUCUUAGGUAGAAUUUCACUGAGCAUCCCAAUGUGUGUGUUUAGCCAACAACCAAUAGUGCCAUUUCAAGAAGCAUGAUUAACAGUUUAACAGCAGUAAAAACAACUAGACCGUGGGCGAUUAUUCGCCUUUCACUUUGUCCAGAAAUCAGUAAGGUCAGUUUUCACCGUCUGUAAUCUGUAUAACUCAACCACGGGAUAAGAGGCUGAAGGAAUAAGUUGGAAGAGAGUUGAUUAACUUUAGGAGUGUGUUGCUGGACCAGCACAGAUAUAUGAAUACAAGAAUGAAAACACUAUCGAAAAUACUAUGAUUCAUGCACAGAUCUGCACUUCCCUUUUCUGAGAACCAAAAUCGCGUCUGUAAACAUGAUAGAGUUGUGUAAAGCAAAGUGAAAAUGAAAGGCAAGUCCUUUUUGUUUCAAGAACAUUCUUUUUGUUUUCGUUUGAAAACUUCCAAGAUAAGUGAGUUGUUAACUAUCUAGAAAAACAGAGUUAGUUGCAACCUCCAUCUGUCACUUUAUUCUCUAAUGUGCCGGCAAAAACUUUGUCUAUGUGGGGUAUCUGGUUUGCUUUAACCUCGCCUUGUUGUUCAACUUCCAAUGCAUCAAUAUGGGCGGCUUUCUCGCAUAUCCCCGUGACAUUUCCGUGACACAAUAUGUCUGUCUUUCUUUUCGCCUAGUCGUUAAUGAACAUGCAGGGCAUGACUGUAUUUGGUGUUCCUUUCCUGGUCUCAUCAAUAAAAUGGGGCCGGGGGGCUUAAAACCCCCUUUUCUCUUAAAAAAAAUCAUGUCACACCAGUGACGAAAUGCAACGGGCGAACAGCCCUUCUCUUUGGAAAACUGUCAGUUAAAUACUUAGUAACUACUCUCUGUUAAAAAAAGGUAAACCUCUUUAUAGAGGAUUUUAGCAGUUGGUGUGUUUGGCAAGUGUGCUGAUCCAGUGCAACAUGGUGGGGUGCUGAGUUGUGUUCCAAGCAGUAGAUGAGCUGCGGACCUGCAAAAAAACAUUCUUGGCAAGUGAUAAGUGUGUGAAUUACAGAAGUCAGAGAAGCCACAUGCACAUAGGGAAAACAGAGAUGGAGACUCAUCUUUAGAUCUGGCAAUGCUGUCUUUCACUUUAUUAUGUAGUAUGAUACAAGGCGAAAGCAGCUGCAGCUGAAUUACAAGCAACUACACCACACAAACAGACUGGUAAAAGUAAAACCAUCUGCCAACAAAAGCUUUCCUGGAAAAAUCAUGGAGGCUCUCUGUCAAAAUCCACAGCCUCCUGUUCCUCUCACGCAUGAUACACUACUCCUCCAGGUGCCUUUCAGUUUCAGCAGAUUGGAAGACGACUGACCAAAACCCAAACAGAGAAAGAGAAGGGGGGAAAAAAGACAGCUACAGAACAAAACAGAGCUGCUGGACAGAACAGAAGCAGAGGCGUACUAUAGCUAAUCCUAAGUCCUAACGAGAGUGGCGCUAGUGGUUGGGUACUGGUGGUGAUCCAUGGCGGCGUGCUCCCUAUGAUCAACCGCAGCCUCAUGGUGGCGCGGCGUGUAUGUGUACGCGCCGUAGCCGGCGUCGUCGCCGACCUUGUUUUGCCAUGCGGGAAGCUUAGACGGCGUCUCGCUGCCAGCCUUGUCUUGGAAGUAAGCGCACCCGCCGUGGCUGCCGGCGUCGGCAUGCUCGGCUUUCGGUGUGCCGUCGUGGUAGGCCGUGUGCCCGGCCUCGUGGACGAUGACGGUGGGCGGCUGCGGAUACGCCGGCGCUGACCAGUUGGCGUUUCCUCUUCUGCGGCCGUAGUCGUCCCGUCUCCGGCCGCCGAAGCACGAGCCGAACUCCAAGCACAUUCUUUCUUGGUGGCGAGUAGUGAGGUGGCCGACUAGGCGCCGGGUGCUUCUUCGAACUACUCUAGCUGGGAGGUGGGAGCUACUGGUAGUGGGAAGCAGCACUAUCCUGGAAGUAGCUGCUGGGGGGUCGGUUAUCAGUGGUGGUGUUGAUGGCCCUGAAACUGACAGUGUUGGUGUGGUGGGUGGGUGAUAUAUAUCCGGGGCCGAGAAGAGAACUCGUGCUGGACCCGACGUGUGCGAGCGAAGCCAAGCUAGGCGAAAGUUUCGUAUGAAAAGAGGGGUUUUCCGUAAUUCGCUUUAGAGCAUCUCCAACAGCCGCGUCAAAAGACGCGCGCGUGGUAAACUGGCAUUUUAGCGCGCGCGGGGUGUUUCUGCGCACUCCAGCGGUGGCGUGAAACGAUUGCGCGCGCGGGAAAAGGCGGCAGCUCGCGCGCUAAAUUUGGCGCACCGCUCGGCCGCUCUCUCUCGCUCCCUCUACUGCUUUCUCUCCUCGCCGCCGACACGACACCACCACGCCACCAUGCCGCCUCACCGCCGGGGAGGUUCGGGCUACCGCGGCGUCCGCGUGCGUCCGUCCGGCACCUACUCCGUCGAGAUUCGGUCGGGCGGCGGCAUGCGCCUCCGCCUCAGAACCUUCGACACCGCCCAGGAGGGCGCCCGCGCGUACGACGCUGCGGCGUGGCGCCUUCGGCGGUCUCGUCAGGACAUGAACUUCGCCAACGUGGCGACGCGGGAGCGGGCACAGGAGUUUGCGCCUUUCCCGCGGCUUAUCACCGACGAGGACCGUCGCAAGAACCGGAGGCGAGAGCGCCGUCUCAACCUGGCCGAGAUGGACGAGGAAGCCAUGGCGCUGUGGAGCCAUCGCUUCCCGCAAGACAUCAUCAACGAGGAACAGUUCUUCGCCGAGAGGAGGGCGGAGAGGGCGAAGAGGAGGGAGGAGCGAGCCGCCUAUCGCGAGGACAAGCGAACGCAGAAGAUGGUCGCUAAAUACAACAUUGCGCUAGGAGAUGCGUCCUCACGGGACUCCGGCGACGAGCGGUUUCUUGACGCCUACGCUCAGACGUCGGAGGAGGUCAUCACCGAGGCAGAGCCCGAGUCGGAGAAUGACGAGUAGUAGUAGUUUUUGGUUUUAUUUUUUAUCGUAGAAGCAAGCUAUGUGACGAACUAUGAACUAUCUAUCGUAGGAGAAGACUAUGAACUAUCUACGCACUAUUUUGUAUCAACUAUCUCCAUAUUUGUACUAUCGGAACCAAAUAUGUAUCGAAUCGUAGUUCACAUAGUAGGAAAAAAACAGAUGAAAUAUAGCGUGCCUGCUGGAGCGGCUCGGGCGCGCUUUAUUUUGCGGCGGCCGCUGGAGCUAGCGCACCGCCGCGCGCAAAAGCUGGCUCACCCGGCGCUGUAUUCUGACUUUUAGCGCGCCGCGGGUUGCGUGGCUGUUGGAGAUGCUCUUAGGUCCCAAUCGACCAGGCUCACCCGGCACGUCUCAUGUUGACACGUCUUCUAACACUCUGAUGUCGUUGUUGAGGUCCGGAUCCAUCAGGUCCGUCCAACACCAUCUGUAGCGUGUCCCGCGUCUCGGUUCGUUAGAGUAUCUUCGACCGAGACAACAAACCGCCCCGGUUACUCGGACGGUGUCCGGAUAAAAAAUGCCUCCAUUCACACCCCUCAAAUUCAGCCUAAUUGUUUGAACCAAUAUAUGGUUGGAUGGUUAGGAGGACGGUAAUAUCCUCAUAUCAUCAGGUUUAAUUCCUCGUGCUCGCAUUGUUUCUGGAUUUAUUUCAGGGUUUUCGGUGAUGCACGUUUAGUGGGAGGAGACGUUCCCGUCGAAUACGAGGCGCCUGUGGUGACUUCUUCAAUCCCACGAUGAUAUGCCGGCUUACGCUCUCGGAGGUGUUCAUAGGGGUAGAGUUUGUGUGUGUAUUCAUAGGGAUGAGUAUAUGCGCGUAUAUAUGAGCGCAUGCAUCCGUACUGUGUUCUAAAAAAAUUCAGCCCAAUUGUUAUGGCUACCCGAUACCCGGCACGUUUCACGUUUGACACGUCUUCUAACACUCGGAUGUCGUUGUUUAGGUCCCGACCGAUCAGGUGUUGACACCAGAUUUUGGCACGACCAAAAACUUAAUUAAGAUGGUUUCAAAUAGAGAAAUGCUGAAAAUAAGAAAGUUCCGUAUCGUCAAAAGGAGAAACUUUGAUGUUUGGGCCAUCGCCAUCCGAUCUCAUCUUGAAGGCAGAAGUUGUGUUCGAAAUACCGAGUUUUGUAUUCAGUAUACUAUUCGCAUGAUUACACCCCAAGACUGCCUCGUAUGGAAAACUGAUCUACACGAAUCGUCUUCGCCUCGUCGAAACGGUCGAUUUUGAUAUAAAAAUCGUCUUAAUCCAAGGUCAUAUGCAAAAGUUACAGCAAGUAUAAGACACUGCUACACUGGAUGACCGGACACUACGGGGAAAACCAUCGGGGUUUUGAUUUUCUCUGUCGAUGCCCGGACACUCCGGAUAUGUUCGUCCGGGUUUUGAAUUUCGCAGCUGCAGACUUCGGAAAACAGCCGAAAACCCCCUCAAGAUGGCCUCAGAUAAAAAAACGUUCAACAUCAAAGUUGUUCGUCUCGUCAAAACGGUCAAGAUUGCUUUUGGGCUGGUUUCCAUCCGAGGUCAUUUACUCCCCCAAACAUGGCCCGCAAGGUGCAGCCAGAUUUUACCGAACAGUUUUGGAAAGUUUGGACCAAACAAAUCCGAAUUGGACUAGGGUUUUGGAUGUGAAUUGAAGCCUUUUCCUUGCACGGGAAGUCCAGUCGCCUCUUAUAUACUUAAGGGGUGACGGCCGAUGAACAACGACACACAAUCGCAAAACCCAUCUACUUUUUACCCUAGUUUUACAUCCCUCCCUUGUUCUUUCUCUCUCGUUCUUCGUUCGUUCUUCGUGUUGAAGGGCAGCGAUCCUCGAGGCUCUAGGGGCGGGCGAACCGACCUAGGGCAACCCAUAGCCGCCGCACGUCCAGACGGUGUCCCUCCCGGGCGCGUGGGGUUUCGGGUCCUGAAAAGCACCCGCCGGAUUGCUUGCGUACCGCGCUUCCCGACGGGUCUCCUUCGACGUGAGCUGCGGUGCAUCACCCUCGGCGUUGGAGGUAUACGGUGACAUGUUCGUGUGCGAACACAGGGCCGUCCAACACCACCUGAAGCAUGUCCCGCAUCUCGGCACGCAACAACACCUGCCCACAAACCGCCCCACUUGUGUGGGGGACAACUUGGACAUUUUGCCUAGAUAUAAAAAAACAACUUCAACCUUGUCAAGGAAUAAAAAACAUCUUCAACCGGACUCCUAAAAUUCAUCCCAAUUGUUAUUCUGGCCCGCCUUGAACCCUACAAAACCCUAACCUUAACUUACUUCACUCUAUUUGCUCCGCCACUCUAUGUUUUUCCCUCUCCGGCCAUGUCGAGCUUUGGAUCGGAGUUUGCCUGCUUCGGAUUUGAUGCCAGCGUGAAUUGGGAGUUUAUUGCCUGCUUGGAUGACGAUGAGUUUGCCCUCCGUCUCACACUUCGCCAGUCUUGGCUUGAGUCCCAAGCUCUGCCGUCAGCGGGCCGGCACAGAUGCAACAGUACGACGCCUUGACCGCCACUUCAGUGUGAGUUCAGCAGCGGCGGCGCAUCAAGCGACAGAUCAAGGCACCUGCGCACUGCCGACGCAUGUUCGUGCCGUUCCCGCAGCAUGACCGUGCUGGCUCGAGUGGCUUCGUUCCGUCCAUGUAGGACCAGUGCUAGGUUUUUAUUCACCGCACACCAUUGUCGACUUUGGCCGCGUCAUCCCCGUUGGCAUGUGGUGGCUACAGGAGUCGAGGCGUGGCAUGCUCGUCGUGAGAAGGAGAAGGCACACCGUGACUCUACUCGGGUUGUGCUGGUGCUGUCGGACUCCGACAAAGACCUGGUCAUCUGCAACAUAAAUGAGCAGUCCCUCACCACCACCAAGGAGUCGGACACGCACCGCUGCCGGAAGAUCAACACCAAAGGUCUUCGCUCGGCAUGGAGCAAUCGCGUUGCGACGCUAAGAAGAUGGCCGUGGAUGAAGCCUGUGCCCUCACGAAGGGGCAAGCCCGGGUCACCCGUUCUCUCACCGUCCUGCCGCCGGACUCGGAUGGCCCCAUUUCGGACACCGUCUCCGACUCCUACAACCCUGGCGACGACCUCGGCGAUGACCCCUACGUCAUCUUUGAAUGCUACUACCGCGGCUAAGCCGAGAAAGGCAAGGGCACGAGCCCACAUUGUUGAACUAUGCUUUCCGCUAUCCUAUUCUAGUCCUAGUUGAACCAUGUUAUCUUUUGUUGUCCUAUGUUGUCCUAUGUUGAAUUUAUGUCCCAUGUAGAAGUAGGCUAUCCACUUAUAUAUUGAUUGACGUUGCAUGGAUGGUGGAUUUGAGGUUGAAAAAUAAGGAUUGCCGUUGCGUGAGCGGACAAAUGAUGGUCCUGGACAUGUUUGCGGAUAAAUGUGAGAGUUAAACUUGUGAAGAUGCUCUCAGUCUGGUCGGAUUGAAAAUGCUUUUGUCCACAUAUUGGAUCUGCGAGGCUCCCUUUCAUCCUUCUCAAGACAAGUCUUCUUCCUCCUCCCGCGGACGCCGUCGCUCGCCCACCCCGCCUCCGACGGCCUUUGGGCCUUGGAGAUGCCGAGGAUCUCGGCCCCACGCCGGCAGCAGUGACCCCGAUUCAUUUUUGUUAGGUUUAACGUCGUGGUUUGGGCUGUGUGGCGGUGGUGAUGUCUCUCUGUUGGAAUAAUGUCUUCCAUGUCCGAUCCUGCCCCGUGGUGCUUCUAGCAUCGUUGGAGCACGUGUGGAGAUGUGUCACCGUCAGAUCUCACAGGAUUCGGUCAAUGCUGAUCUUCGGUAGAUCUAUUUGGAUCUAAUUUUCGUUCGUCUUCAUUUGUGUGGUUAUAGGUUUGAUCUUUUCAAUCUACGACUCUCUUCAUCGGCGAUGGUUGAUGCUCUGGUGCGCUGGUCCUUUGGCGGCAUAGCACGACGACUUCCCGACUGUCUACUACAAUAAGGUUUGCCCGACUCCGAUGAGGAAGGCGAGAUGACGCUUUUGGCUCGCUCAGUGUUUAUAGUCGUCGCUGGGUGGUCUAUGGAUCGAGUUGUAAUUUUACCUCUAAGCUUCCUUGUACUGCCAUGAUUGAUUAUGAAUAGAUUGGGAAGUUUUGUUGAGAAAAAGAUUGAAAAUGCUUUUAAAGCCUGGACCAUACAACUCUGCAUUACCUGUCUUGCUUAGUGUGCUUUUGCCAAGAUCGACUGGCAGUUCUAGCUUUAGGGGUCGGAUGUUGAGGUGAUGUGCGUUUGCGGGUCAACCGUGCGAACUGCGGAACUGGACGCUGACACGCAACGACUCGUGGCGCGGGCGGUGCCGCGGGACGGAGAGAAUCGAUCCAACCGGAGGCAAGCAAGUCGCGCGGGACAAAGGAUGAUGGCCGUCCACUGGAGCAUGCGCUCGGCCGGUUGUGGUCUGGUCGUGUUGGAAUGUUGGACGAGCUGGUCUUACCAUGUUGGAAGCUGUCAACAUACGCGGCGCCACCUGGGGACAGCGACGACGUUAGACUCUUCACUGGUUCGCUUAUCCGGGCCGCAUAUUCCUUUUAUCCUUUUCGAAUCAAAAGGGAAAAGUUUCUCCACAAAUAAAUAUAUAUAAAAAAAUUGCGUGGAAAAUGAAUUUUUAAUGGCGUAAGCUUUUAAUAAUGUUAUCAUCAUCGCAUCAAAAUGAUACGUUCAUAAAUUUUUUUAAUAUCUUGUCUCUGCAUUCCAAAGACACACACUGUUGAGAGUAUGUAUGUUAUGUGCAUAUUGUGUAUUUGUCCGUCUCCUAGUUCCUUGUAUAACUGAGAUUCAUGAUCCAUCUUUGUACAUCAUAUAUACGUGCCUAUGCAUAGAAGCAAUACAUCGUACAAUUAUAACAUCAUACAUGGUACCAGAGCCAAGAGGUCUUGAGUUCAAAACAGUUUUUAGGUUUUAAUCCUCGCCUCCGCCACCGCUGCGCGCCUCCUCCGCGCCGCCACCCCGCCACCGCCCGCGCGCCUCCUUCCGCGCUGGCCGCCGCCACCCCAAAAUCCCGCAUCGCCGCUCCGCGCUUCUCCCGUUCCCGCACGCCGCGUCUCCCGAUCCCGCAAGCCCGCUUCGCCCCGCGUCAAACCAACCCGCUCGCUAGCCGCCAUCCCGCCAGAUCCCGCUCACCGCGUCAGCCAACCCGCUCGCUAGCCGCCGCCAGCCCGCUUCGCCAGUUGUAUCGCCCCACUGCAUCGCUACUGCCGCCGCCCGCUGCAUCGCCCGCUAGCCGUGAGCCGCCGCUGCAUCGCCCGCUAGCCUUCGCCGCCCGCUGCAUCACCAGCUGCCGCCGCUAGCCGCCCGCUACAUCGCUCACUAGCUGCAUCGCCUGCUAUCCAGCUCACCCGCCCACCAACCGCAUCGCCAGAUAGCCCAGCCCGCCCGCUGCUUCGCUCGUCCCGCCGCUAGCCUUCGCCAAGCCUCCCGCUGCUACCGCCCAACCGCGCCGAUCGCCGCCGUCGGACCAGCAAUGGCGUAACCAGGCCCGUCCGCCGCCGCCUCUGCCGACCCGCCGCCGGCGCCCUACGGCACGGCCACGCCGCCAUACGGGGCGGCCACCACCUACGACGCGUCCGUUCCCACGUACGGGAAUCUUAUGUACGGGGCAUACGUGACUCCGCCCCAUCCAUGUACGAGUCUACGCCUGCGUUCGGGGCUCCGCCCGCGUACGAGUCUCCCGGGUACUGGUGGGGGUCGUCAGCGGGCCGGCACCCGCCCGCUGGGCAGCAGCCAGACGGCGCCCAACACCUGCACCAUCUGUCAGCGGGGCCACGGGUUUUUCCGGCGGGCCAUCCGGCCUACCCGGCACCGCAGUUGCAGCCGGGGCAGCCGGGGCUUUAUGGAGCAUACCCAUCGCCGCCGUUGAGCGGCGGCUAUGGCUUCUCCAUGGCGUCUCCGCCCCCCUCGCCGGCCCUGCCGCUGGCGGCCUGGGACCCGGUGCUCCUCACCGGGCUGCAUGCCGCUCCUACGCCGAACAACUACCCUGGAGGUGGUGAUUGGUACAUGGACAACGGUGCUAAGGCUCACAUGUUUGCUCAUCCUGGUACCCUUGCCUCCUUCACUCCUCUCUCCACCGACCGCCGCAUCAUUGUGGGCGACGGUUCCACACUUCCUAUCACACAUGUUGGGCACACUUCUUUUCCUUCUACUUCUACUCCAUUAUCUUUGUCUAACAUACUUGUGUUACCUCAUCUUAUUAAGAAUUUCAUUUCCCUUCGUUGUUUCACUCGUGAAAAUCCUGUUACCUUUGAAUUUGACGAGCUUGGUUUUUGUGACAAAAGACGCUCGAACCAGGAUGGUACUUCAUCGCUGUGACAGCCCCGACGAGCUCUAUCCGGUGCACUCGCCUUCAUCCACCACCACCGCACCGGUUGCUCUCUCCACUGGCGUCGAUCUCUGGCACGCUCGCUUGGGUCAUCCCAACCCCGUCACACUUCAUCAUAUUCUUAGGAGUUUCAGUUUCAGUUGCAAUAAGGUCGAGAUCACACUUGUCAUGCAUGUCGAGUCGGCAAGCAUGUUUGCCUGCCGUUUAAUAAUUCUACCACCAUUGCUUCUUUUCCUUUUCAGUUGAUUCAUAGCGAUGUGUGGACUUCUCCGGUUCGCAUUAACUCGGGCUAUUUAUAUUAUCUGGUCAUUCUUGAUGAUUAUUUUUAUUAUGUGUGGACUUUUCCUUUGCGCAGAAAGUCGGAUGCACUCUCUACCUUGACGGCUUUUUACUCCUAUGUCCGCACGUAGUUUGGGCGUCCCAUCCUUGCGCUUCAGACGGACAAUGGAAAAGAGUUCGACAACCUCGCUUUCCACACCUUUUUGUCGCAUCACGGCACAGUUUUCCGCCUCACAUGCCCGUACACUUCACAGCAGAACGGUCGAGCCGAACGGGUCCUUCGCACUCUGAAUAACUGCAUACGCACACUCCUGUUUCAUGCCAAUGUGCCGCCUCGUUUCUGGCCGGACGCACUCGCCACUACAUCACUUCUUCUUAACAUUAGACCCUGCCUCCCACGGUGGAACUACACACCUCACAAUCUUCUUUUUGGUACGCCCUGUCUUAUGACGACUUGCGUAUUUUUGGGUGCCUUUGCUAUCCCAACAUUGCCGACACUGCUUCUCACAAGCUUGCACCUCGAUCUGUCGCGUGCAUCUUCAUCGGCUACCCGUCCAACUCCAAGGGAUAUCGGUGCUACGAUCCCAUCUCCCACCGCGUGUUCACUUCCAGAACGUUUACUUUGAUGAGCAUGUGUUUCCGUUUCACCAGUUACCCCCGGCUGUUCCUCCCGCCACUGGUGACGCGGGCUCCUCGACACCUCUCCCAGGGCACUCGCGCGCCUCUCUUGGCCCGCCCCUGGCUUUGAGGCGCGCCCUCCGCAUGCGGCGCCUCCUACAGCCGCGGCGCUGGCGCCCCGGCGCCCCCGACGUCGGCGCCCGCGGCCCCCGCGGUGCCCCCCGUGCCUGCGCCCCCCCGGUGCCCCCGACGNNNNNNNNNNNNNNNNNNNNNNNNNNNNNNNNNNNNNNNNNNNNNNNNNNNNNNNNNNNNNNNNNNNNNNNNNNNNNNNNNNNNNNNNNNNNNNNNNNNNNNNNNNNNNNNNNNNNNNNNNNNNNNNNNNNNNNNNNNNNNNNNNNNNNNNNNNNNNNNNNNNNNNNNNNNNNNNNNNNNNNNNNNNNNNNNNNNNNNNNNNNNNNNNNNNNNNNNNNNNNNNNNNNNNNNNNNNNNNNNNNNNNNNNNNNNNNNNNNNNNNNNNNNNNNNNNNNNNNNNNNNNNNNNNNNNNNNNNNNNNNNNNNNNNNNNNNNNNNNNNNNNNNNNNNNNNNNNNNNNNNNNNNNNNNNNNNNNNNNNNNNNNNNNNNNNNNNNNNNNNNNNNNNNNNNNNNNNNNNNNNNNNNNNNNNNNNNNNNNNNNNNNNNNNNNNNNNNNNNNNNNNNNNNNNNNGCCCGCGGCCCCCACGGCGCCCCCGGCGCCACCGGCACCCCCGCCCCCCUCGGCGCCUGUGGCUGGUCCGGUCACCCGCGCCCGUACGGGCAUUUUUUUGCCCGAGCUCGGCUACGCCUCGGAUGACUACGUCCAUGCAGUGUCCACCUCUGAGCCAUCGCCGUUGCCGUCUUUCGUUCGAGCCGCUCUUCGUGACCCGCUCUGGAUGGCUGCGAUGCGGAGUUUGACGCCCUGUUGCGCAACCGGACGUGGUAGCUUGUUCCACGUCCCCGGCACGCCAACGUGAUUACCGGGAAGUGGAUCUUUAAACACAAACUCCAUCCUGAUGGUACCCUUGAUCGCUACAAAGCGCGCUGGGUCGUUCGUGGCUUCCAACAGCAUGCUGGCAUCGACUUCAACGACACCUUCGCUUCGGUCGUCAAGCCCGACACGAUACGCACGGUUCUCCACCUUGCGGUCUCCCGUGCUUGGCCGAUGCACCAGAUGCACGUCUGCAACGCCUUCCUCCAUGGUCACCUCGAGGAGCAGGUCUUCUGCCAGCAGCCCACCGGGUUUGUUGACCCGGCGCUUCCCAACCAUGUGUGCCUGCUUUCGCGGUCCUUGUACGGACUCAAGCAGGCUCCGCGCGCUUGGUACGAGCGCAUCGCGGCGUUUCUUCACGAGCUUGGGUUCCGCUCCACCCGCUCGGAGGCCUCGCUCUUCGUCUAUCAUCAGGGCUCUGACACAGCCUACUUGCUGCUCUAUGUCGACGACAUCAUCCUGAUGGCAUGUACGGCUGGUCUCUUCAGUCAGCUCACGGCUCGUCUUCGCGUUGAGUUCGCCAUCAAGGACUUGGGUCCUUUGCACUACUUCCUCGGUGACGAGGUGGUGCGCCGUCCAGAUGGCUUCUUCCUUCAUCAACGGAAAUACGCUCACGAGCUCCUCGAGCGCGCCGACAUGCUUAACUGCAAGCCCGCCGCUACGCCUGUUGAUAUGAAGGCCAAGCUUUCUGCCAUGGAUGGUUCUCCUGCUUCGGAUGUUGCUUUCUAUCGGUCUAUUGUUGGUGCUCUCCAGUACCUCACUCUGACUCGACCGGAGAUCCAAUAUGCCGUGCAGCAUAUGUGCCUUCAUAUGCAUGCUCCUCGAGACGUUCACUGGGCUGCCGUCAAGCGGAUUCUCCUCUAUGUCUGUGGCACUAUGGAUCUUGGCAUCAUGCUUCACGCCUCCGCCGACACCGCCCUCGCCGCCUAAUCCGAUGCAGACUGGGCGGGCUGCCCUGACACUCGUCGCUCCACCUCGGGCUAUUUGUGUCUACCUUGGACCCUCACUUAUCUUGUGGUCCUCCAAGCGGCAGCCUAUGGUCUCUCGUUCCAGUGUUGAGGUUGAGUAUCGUGCGGUGGCCAACGUCGUCGCUGAGUGUUCGUGGCUUCGCCAGCUGCUCCAGGAGCUUUCUUGCCCUGUUGACCAUGCCACGGUGGUCUACUGCGACAACGUCUCGGCGGUCUACCUCUCCGCCAACCCGGUGCAUCAUCGACGGACCAAGCAUAUUGAGUUGGAUAUUCAUUUUGUUCGGGAACAGGUGGCCCUUGGCCAUAUUCGUGUUUUACACGUCCCUACUUCCCAACAAUUUGCCGAUAUCAUGACCAAGGGCUUGCCUACGNNNNNNNNNNNNNNNNNNNNNNNNNNNNNNNNNNNNNNNNNNNNNNNNNNNNNNNNNNNNNNNNNNNNNNNNNNNNNNNNNNNNNNNNNNNNNNNNNNNNNNNNNNNNNNNNNNNNNNNNNNNNNNNNNNNNNNNNNNNNNNNNNNNNNNNNNNNNNNNNNNNNNNNNNNNNNNNNNNNNNNNNNNNNNNNNNNNNNNNNNNNNNNNNNNNNNNNNNNNNNNNNNNNNNNNNNNNNNNNNNNNNNNNNNNNNNNNNNNNNNNNNNNNNNNNNNNNNNNNNNNNNNNNNNNNNNNGUGUUGAGUAUAUAUAUUAUGUGCAUAUUGUGUAUUGGGCCCGCCUCCUAGUUCCUUGUAUAGUUGAGGUCCGUGGCCCACCUUUGUAUAUCAUAUAUACGUGCCUAUGCACAGGAGCAAUACAUCGUGCAAUUACAACAUCAUACACACACGACCCAAACACGUGAAGUUGAAAACAUACAUCAUUGGGAAAAAAGGGUACAAAAAUAUGGAAACACUUAAAGCGCCACUGCAUGUGACUUCACUUUGGCAUCAUGCCCCCACCACAUUCUCUAGGCCACACAUGCUAAUAUAUACGCCCUAGACGAAUCUAUAAUUUAUGAAGUAAUCUUCAUCAUGCUAUUUCUUAGUCUUCAUUCCUCAUUUAUUUUUAAUUGGACCAACCUAUUGAUAAAGUGUCACAAAUGCCAGUUGCAUGUCCUAUAUUUAUGUUGAUAACUCAUCAAUUUUUUGUAUAUAGCUUAUCUCUAUAUAAUCUGAAAUUUUGCCAAUGAUUGCCUUUACUUGCUUCGAAUACCUAUGUUUUUUUUUGUUAUCAUAGUAUAAAAAGUAUGGUUGAUAGUACUAUUUUUCUUGGUUUCAAUCAAAAAAGGAACAAUACGAAAGUUCAUGAGGAAACAACAUAUUGACGUUAUUACUAAGGGUGGUUAAGUAUAUAAUACUGCCUGAAUUUUGCAGCGUAGAGUAGAGUACACCACGGCCAUUGCUUAUGAUGCCCAAUUCAUCGGAACCAUUGCGAAGCCAGAGUUGAAUACCAUUUGUAAGCAAAUCUGGAAGGGAAAAAUCAAGUUUUUGCAUGGCUACCAGCUCAAAAUAGACUGCCAACUGUUGAUCAUCUCCGCGCACGCAAUCAUGUGAACACAAUGACACCUGCUCCCACUGCGAUUAAACGAUUGAGACUGCCGCUCAUCUGAUCUGUACCUGCCCCUUCGCAAAGGAAGUUGGGCAAAAGCUCAACAUCAUGCUUCCUAACAUUCAACGUCGACCCACCUUGCCGUUUAGUUCAACAGAAAGUUUGUCCUACGGGAAGAAGAACAAGGCAGCUAUUGCACUCUACUUCGUCUGGAACAUCUGGAAUGAGUGAAACCAAAGAAAAACCAAUCUUCAACUGUUGACAUGGUGACUUCUUAGUCAUGUUUGACUUAACAUACUUGGAUAUGGCCUCUUCGAGGCAUUCAACUGUGUAAAUCUGUAGUUUUUCCUCUUUUUUUGUCUUCCUUAGGGAUUCAGACUUUUCUCUUGUAAUUCGUAAUAUAUAAUGCAAAGGCACAACACCAGCCAUUAGCCCUAAAAAAAGAACGGUCACCUACCAACCGUGACCAGGCUAUAUACUAGUUUCUUUUAGUAGUUGAGCUAUACUAAAUUUUCACUUGCUCAAUUUUUUAAAGAAUAAUUGUGAGCCGAAAAAGAAGACAUCUGGGUUAUCACUCCCACAAAGCUAAGAAGUAACCAAGUUUUGUGGCCCUGUCACAUGAUAUUUAUUUUUCGCAUGAGGACAUGUUUAUGUUGCUCAUGCUUUGUCAGCCAAUGAUGAUGUAGACUUCCCCAUGCUUCGUAGUCCUAUUAAAAAGAAAUUCAUUGGCAUUUCAUUGAGCUUUUCGAAAUACUAUGUUUUGAUUGAUCCACUAGAAAGAUUAGGGAUAACUGGUCUAGAUUUCGACUUCCAAGUACCAUACGACAACUUUGGACGAGAUGUUGGGUGCNNNNNNNNNNNNNNNNNNNNNNNNNNNNNNNNNNNNNNNNNNNNNNNNNNNNNNNNNNNNNNNNNNNNNNNNNNNNNNNNNNNNNNNNNNNNNNNNNNNNNNNNNNNNNNNNNNNNNNNNNNNNNNNNNNNNNNNNNNNNNNNNNNNNNNNNNNNNNNNNNNNNNNNNNNNNNNNNNNNNNNNNNNNNNNNNNNNNNNNNNNNNNNNNNNNNNNNNNNNNNNNNNNNNNNNNNNNNNNNNNNNNNNNNNNNNNNNNNNNNNNNNNNNNNNNNNNNNNNNNNNNNNNNNNNNNNNNNNNNNNNNNNNNNNNNNNNNNNNNNNNNNNNNNNNNNNNNNNNNNNNNNNNNNGUUAAUGGGAGUAUAUGACGGGGAUGGACUGAUAGGUUUUAUAGAGGGCAGUCUUUGGUAUAGUACAAGAACUUUGUCAUCAUAAAAGUUCUUUGUGAGUAAGGUACCUGUUUAAAACCUCUAUUUGUCCCAAGUCCUACCAUUAACUAUCUGGACCAUCCAUCAAUAAUUAACCAUCAAUGGCAGACUAUUUUGUGGUUGUGGACUUCCAUGACAGACUAUUCAACUAAUAGGGUUCAUGCACCAGCUUCAGGCCACUUCAAAGUAUCAUCAAGCAAAUUGAAGCUGAGGCUGGACAGUGAGCUGUAGCAAGCUGGGGUCACUUGUAGAUGCAUUAGAGAGUUCAUUUCUUGGGUUGCCGUGUGGUAGUACUGGACGUUUUGGGUCGUGUGUGUGUGUGGUUGUUUGUGGGUUUUAUUUUUUUAUGUUUUGCUGUGUUGUGGUCGUUUACUUUUCCCCUUCCUUUAAUAUAAACACAUGCAGUUCUUCUAGAUGGUUUGGAAAAAAAGUUCAUGCACCAUCUAUGUGCAAAAAAUAAGUAAAUAAUAUAAAACACCACAGAUCUGGCUAGGGUUCUCGAAAACUAUCACUUUUUGAAAAUUUCCUAAAACCUACCACUUUAUUGGUUUGAAGUUUCAGAAAACCCAGUCGACGAAUCUUAAAGUUUUAAUGUGGUUUAUGAUAAGAUAUGCCCACCUGUCAGGGCCACAUCAGUCCUCGACAGAUGGCAUGCCCGCUCACGACCGUUAGGCUUCCGACCUAGUCAAAAUGACCCAAGUCGGGUCACUCUCGUUCUCCAUCGCUCUUACUCUCUCCCUCGUUGCCUUUAUCUCUCCGGAGCUCGCUCGACGACACCGACGACCGUAGUUGUUGUCCUGGUGACCAUGCCAUUGUGGAAGGAUGGGGAUGAGAGCACUGAUGAGAACAUCAACAUGGGCAACAACUUCAUGGACAUGGAGCACUUAGUAAGAUUUCUCCUCUUUUAUUAGUUAGGGUUAGGAUUUUUGAAUUUGGGAUUUUUUUAUUUCAAGCUUUGUUGCACCGAUUCAAAGGAAUCUUUCGUUGAUCUGGCUUCUGAUGGAUCUAGGACACCUUGGACACCAUUUCUGAUCCACUUUACUGCGGUGAUGUUAUGGAUGACAUGCCGAAGUGCAGGAUGCACAAACAUAGGAUGAAUAAAUGUGUUUGUUUUGAAGGAAUUGAUACGGGAAGGCGAUUACUUGGCUACUCUGUGCACGUGAGUAACCAGCAAAUAAAUUCAUAAUGUUUCACUUUACCUAGGUAGCACAUAUAUCUCAAAUGUGAGAGUAUAGUGUAGCAGAUGAUGUGGUGAUAGUGGUAUCACUAGUGGAAAAGGUAUUAGACGCAACUUUUCUUUGUGGCGCGCCAUUUCCCAGUGACGCCAACACUAUUUUUUUGCAUAUUUGGUACGCCAUUGAUGCGGCCAUACCGCUGGCAUAGAAUUUUUCUUUCACGACAUUGGUAUUUUCUAAAAAAAAUCCUGUUUCCUACCGUUUUCUAUGGCGUCACCCAUUAGGCCCACGCCAGCACUAUCCAUGUUCUAAUUGCCAUGUCCAGUAAAAAACACUAAGUCCGAUUCACCUACUUCGCAUCGUUUUCACCUUGUUCGUCCCCCUUCUCGACCAGCGCCACCGCCGCCACCUCCCGACCACGCCGCUGUUCGCCGCCGGAACUGCGCGGCCGCUGCGAACUCCGGCAAGGAGGUGAGAUCUCCCCUCUUCCCCUCGCAAAUCUUCUUCCCAUCCCCAAGCAUCUCCCUCCGGUGGCGAUCUGAGACAGAAAAUUUCUUUUGAUUGAUGGAGUAGAUGAUUGGUUAAUAUAUAAAUGAAUAUGAUGGCUCUUUGAUAGAUGGAUGGAUGAAUGGAUAGUGCCAUUUUUUAUAUGUUGGAGUAAUAUUUUGCAAAACAUAAGGUGCCCCUUAUUUUAUAUACUGUAGUGUUUUUCCAGCUCUUCUUAAUUUAAUUAGAAAAGGUUGGAGUAAUAAUCUGCAAAAGAGAAGUCGCCCCUUAUUUUAUCUAGAACCACCUGUUGUAUCUAAAUCAUGUGUUAACAUCGUAGACAGUGUAGUAGCUGGUGGAAGUACUGAGUACGAAC
rnacentral:lncRNA from 1 species